GGCUGGCAGAGGUUAAGGCCUGACUUCUGCUCCCAGUCGACCCAGUCGACCCGGGUUCAAAUCCGCCUGCCGGCUCCUCGGGUGUUUGAGGAGUGAUGAAAUGGGAGGUGUCCCCCCAUCUUAUGGACGGUGUAGGACGUGAUAAUAUCAACUUGCGAGCUGACCAGGAACUAAGUUGAUGCGCCGUUGAUCCGCUAGAUUUGGUUGGAUGCUGGUGGUGAGUUGCCGAACCCAACGAAUACAUUCUGAAGUCGGAUGGGGUGACGGAUUAGGGUGCCCCUCUAGCAGGGGAGAGCAGGGACUGCCCCGGGAAAGGGGGCCGCUGGCGAAGUUAACCACCCUGUAACAACAUACAUAGCGUAUGUAUGUAUGCAUGUCUGUCUACCUUUGCAAAGGCCAUGACCUUGGCCGCAUGUAGCUCGUCCACGCUGUCCGGACCCCGUACGGCCAUGAAGCCAUCCGAAUCCCGGGUCAUAAGGCCCCCCGCCACCAUGUAACAGUCUGGAAAGUGUACGGGAGGGGAAACAAUGCAUACACAUAUACACGUACAUACACGCACAUCACGGUAUGGGAUGAAAUUGCGGAUUGGCGUGUGUGUAUGUGUGUAUGUGUGUGUAUGUGUGUAUGUGCAUGUGUGUGUGUUGUCAGGGACGACACCCAAGGAGAAUGAAGAACACGCUGCCCCCCUAGAUAUUUUUUUAAAUUUCAUCUAACAAUCUCAAAAAAGGCAUGAUGGCAUAAUAAGUAAGUACGCAGUAAGGCACGAAAAGUCUCUUUACCUUUCCACCGUGGCGUACGGCCGACCACGGCAGACAGGCAUGGACUGAGUUUGACUCGCGUCAGGUGGCCACCCCCCCCCCGCUUCCUCAACAUCAACAAUACACGCGACACGCCAGCCCCCCUCCCUCUUUACCGCGGCGGAUAUGUUUGUAUGUAUGCCCGAAUAUACCCGAGUGAACUUCCCCUUCCUACCACGCGUUUCACCCCUUCACCCCCCGCCCCCAUGCACUACACGUACGUGUGUGUAUGUGUACUACACACGCCGUACACAGGUGGUACAAGUCCCGCCUGAUGGCCACCUCUUUCCCCCCCCCCUCGGGGCUCUCACCGCCGAUGGUCUCCACUUUAUACACGCCGUACACAUCCAGCAGUGUGUCUGCCCAUACCAGAAAGAUGGAGGGGGGGAAAGGGAGUGAAGGGGAGUGAAGGGGAAAGGAGGAGAGGUAUGUCUGUCUAUCUGUCUGUCUGUCUGUCUGUCUGUCUGUCUGUCUGUCUGUCUGUCUGUCUGUCUGUCUGUCUGUCUGUACAAGUAGUGGGAUAAGACCACGGCAUCGCGCAAGGAUACAGCGCCCACGGGCAUAUCACGGUUACCGGUUGGCUGUCACAAAGCUUCCCCCUUCCCACCCUCCCCACCCUNNNNNNNNNNNNNNNNNNNNNNNNNNNNNNNNNNNNNNNNNNNNNNNNNNNNNNNNNNCCCCCCACACACACACACAAUCCCCCACCUAGCCUGGAGUACAGGUGGUUGAGGAAGUGCAUGACCCUUGUGGGGGGUAUUUGGUGACACAGGCUCGUGAAGCCCUUGAUGUCGGCGAACAACACAGUCACCUGCCCGGGGGGAGGAGGUGGAGGAGGUGGGGGGGGGGAUCUUAGACAAGAAGCUCAGAAAUUAAGUGCCGGGGAGGAGGGAAGGGGAAGGGAGAGGAGGGGAGGGGUAGCAAGGGAACCACCCACCCACCCACUACCACCCACCCACUACCAAACCCCCACCCACUACCACCCACCCACUACCACCCACCCUCCUACUACCAAACCCCCACCCACCCACUACUACCGCACCAUGGGAUGGUAGGUGGCUGUGGAGGCGCUGUUCUGCGGCAGGGGCAGCUGGGUCAGGCGGUACCUGGCGGCGCACCCCCUCCCCGACCGGGGCCCACCACCACCCCGGUUGCGGUUGGGGCCAGCGCCCGUACUGCUCCUGAUGACGCUGCAUCUGUUCUUGCUGCAGCUGUUGUUGUUGUUGUUGUUAUUGCUAGUCCGCACCGAGGCGGCUGCGAGCUCCAACACGUGCCUGGCUCCAUCAGCACAACGGCGCAAGGGCGGGAGGGGCAAGGGCGGGAGGGGGAGAAUUUCACGGCGGGGUGAGCGGGGGGUUGAGGGGGGGGGUGAGCGGGGGGAUGGGGUGGGUUAAGACGAACCACUGUGGAGCGGGGGAGGGGAGGAGGUUGGAAGCGAGAAGGAGAAGCAAAAGUAAAAAGAAACGUCCCUGGCGAGUUGUCGAAGAAUGCCGCCGCUGGUGGGGAUGGGACUCAUCCUUCCUUUCAGUCGUACACCUCCGAUGUGUGCGAAGCGCAAGUGGUGAUGUCCCUACCUAACUACCUAACUACCUGCCUACCUAAAUCCUUAGUAACUAAUACCCAACUACUACCUACCUAACAACCUACACACACAAGUGCACACAUAUCACCCACGCCAGCCGCUAAAGCCGAGCCCCAAAGCGCACCUCUCAACAGACAGGACAACCACAAAACCGACAACCGACAGAAAACUGAAAAAACUGAAAAAAUGCGUAAACCCGGAGCAGAUGGAGAUGGAGAACACCGCCCAACCCAACCCAACCCAACCCGUGGACAGCAAAGACGGGACAGGGACGGAGCAAGACCAAAAAGGCGGCCCCCCAAGGCUCCCCCCUCCAAAUCGUUCAGUCUACUCUUCCCCCCCCCCACCACCACGCUCUCUAGCCCCGUUAUCCCCUCGCCUUCAUCUUUACUUUCCUUACACCCCCUUCUGUCGAAGGUCAGCCAGUUUGCGAUCCCUAACUCCCCCACCCGCCAAAACCCCACCCGGCAGUUGCUGUAGGGGGGGUGUCGAUGCAACUGCUUCUUUGUGACCACUUUUUGUUCUCAUGAUUUCUCCCCCCCACACACACCCGAGGUCACGGUCUUCACGGACGCCUUUCGGUCAGUUCUACGUUUGUUACUCUCUUGCCCUGGCAGCAGCUUCAAUCGUGUGUGGUUCGUCUUUCCCCCCCCCCACCACCACCCGAACGCCAUCCCUCGGAACUUUGUUACGGGGUGGGAGGCUUCUGGGCCCCACUUGAACACAUCUUGUCAUUUCUACGGUUUAUCACACCAUACAGCAUUACCAUCCACCAGAUCUGACAUGUGUUGCGUAACAUACACAACACAAACACACACAAAACACACACGCACAAACAUACGCACAAAAUACACAAUUACACAAAUACGCAAAUGUGCAAAAACAAAAGCACAAGCAUUCAAAAAACACAUACGUACGUGCAAAAUGAAAAACGUGUCCCCUCUCUCACCUGGGGAAGAUGGACUCCAGCAGCUGGUGCUCCGCCUCCAGGACUCGCGCAAUGCGCCGCUCCGCACGUACCCGGGCAGUAACGUCCGUCUGAGUGUACGACACAUGUACGGCAGCGCAGUACGGCAUGGUAUGAAUGUAUGAGGGCGAUAUGUAUGCACAAGGGGGUCACCGAACCCCGAGGUAUGUGGAUAACCUGCGACCAGCGCCGUUCCCAUGCCCUGUCAUCAUACACAUUCCCACAUGCACACAGGGAUUUAUCCGUACAUUCGUACAAUUUUCCGUACAUAGCAUCUUGGAUGCCGUACUGCACCACGCAUACCUGCAUCAGCAACAGCAGGGGCAUGCCCACACCGCCGCCACCAUCGCAACCACCACCCGCCGUCGCCGUUGUCGCCGCCGCCGCCAUCUCGCCCUCCCCCUCCAGCAGCGUCAACGUCACCUCAUGCCAACAGCCACUACUGCUAGAGCUGCUGCCGCCGCUGCCGCCGCUCUCCCCAUCGCUAAAUUCGUCGCCAUCCUGCUCGAUAACACUACCGCCGCCGCCGCCGCCGUCGCCGUCGCCGCCGCCGUCGCCGCAGCCGCCAAUGCUGUUUCGGGCCCCUGCUGCACAGCCACCCCUGGCAGCCAUUCCCAGUGCGCCAGUGCCGUCGGUCUCCCACUCCCUGUCCAUGGAGACCCGUAGCGCUGCCGCCGCUGCCGCUGCCGCUGCCGCCUCGCCCGCCUUCUCCCUCCCCCCAUCCUCUUCCUGCAAUUCCUGCUCCUCCUGCGUCUUUUCCUGCUUGUCCUCCUCCUCCUCCUCCUCCUCCUGCUGUUGCUGCUGCUGCUGCUGCUCCUGCUGCUGCGUCUCCUCCGCCCCCUGGUCAGCACGCGAGGCCGCUGAUGACACUUCGGGAGCCCCCUCCUCCCUCAACACCAGAAGCGCGCGCACCCCAUCCACCAGACCUCCUGCUGCUGUAGUUUCCGCUGCUACUGCUACUGCUGCUACUGCUACAGCUGACAAUCCUGCUACUGCGUCCCCGUUCUCGUCCUCCUCUUCGUUGAUCUUACCUGGCUGUAGCGGCUGCUGCCUCUGCAGCCCAUGCUGCCACCGCAUCGGCGACUGCUGCUGCUGCUGCGGCGGCGGCGGCGGCGACUGCUGCUGCAUCAGCUCUUGUGUCCCCUCCUGUACCUGAGUGCUAUCCCCGGCGCCUGCAGGGCCGGAUGUAACAAGGCGGUGGGCGCUGGGCAGCCGAACAGACCGCGAACAGACCCGCGUCGAUGCCGCCGACGUCGACGCGGAUGCAAGCGUCGACGUCGACGUUGACGCCGACUGACCCCCGUGGCCUGAUGCCGUAACGCCGCCGCCGGCAGCUGCUUCACCACACAAGACGGCCCCGCCGCCGCCGUCACCAUUGCGAGUCCAGGAAGCGGCAGUUGUUGCGGCAAAACCGGCCCCGUUGCCGAUUGUCUUCUGAAGCGUACGACGAGGACUCCCGGUGGUACCUAGCGCCAGCGGCGGCGGAGGUGGCGGCGGCGGUGUCCACGUGGAAUACCCUCGUUCGGACGCUUCGACGUCGACGUCGACGUCGGCAGCGGCGGCGGUGGGUGCGUGCAGACUGCUCAACGGCCCGGACCCUUCAAUCCCACCUAGAACUCGUUGUACGACAAUGACAUCGACCAUGAGAGCCUGUCGGCUGGCGCCCACCUGGCGCCGCCGCCGCAAUGCGCCGUCAGCGCCAACAUCAUCCUCAAUCUCAGCUGCUAACCCGGACGCCUCUGGCGCCGCCGCCGGUGACGGCGGCCGCGGCGUAGCUCCUGACUCGGAUCGGCUGGAGCGCACAUCGCUGACGGCUCCUCCCCCUCGAGCACCGGCAGCGCCGCCGGUGGACGGCCGUACGGGGGCGGCGGCGGCGGCGGUCGGGUGGCGGCGGAGGGCACCACCAUGCCGGUGCUGCUGCACGAGCCACGUACUCGCGACGUUCCCCCGCCGCCNNNNNNNNNNNNNNNNNNNNNNNNNNNNNNNNNNNNNNNNNNNNNNNNNNNNNNNNNNNNNNNNNNNNNNNNNNNNNNNNNNNNNNNNNNNNNNNNNNNNNNNNNNNNNNNNNNNNNNNNNNNNNNNNNNNNNNNNNNNNNNNNNNNNNNNNNNNNNNNNNNNNNNNNNNNNNNNNNNNNNNNNNNNNNNNNNNNNNNNNNNNNNNNNNNNNNNNNNNNNNNNNNNNNNNNNNNNNNNNNNNNNNNNNNNNNNNNNNNNNNNNNNNNNNNNNNNNNNNNNNNNNNNNNNNNNNNNNNNNNNNNNNNNNNNNNNNNNNNNNNNNNNNNNNNNNNNNNNNNNNNNNNNNNNNNNNNNNNNNNNNNNNNNNNNNNNNNNNNNNNNNNNNNNNNNNNNNNNNNNNNNNNNNNNNNNNNNNNNNNNNNNNNNNNNNNNNNNNNNNNNNNNNNNNNNNNNNNNNNNNNNNNNNNNNNNNNNNNNNNNNNNNNNNNNNNNNNNNNNNNNNNNNNNNNNNNNNNNNNNNNNNNNNNNNNNNNNNNNNNNNNNNNNNNNNNNNNNNNNNNNNNNNNNNNNNNNNNNNNNNNNNNNNNNNNNNNNNNNNNNNNNNNNNNNNNNNNGCCGCCCAGCGCCCCCAGAACACCUUCCCCUCGGACUUCCCCCAACAGAGGUCAACCCCCUCGGCAACUCCCACCGCCAUACACCAUACGCCGUACACGGAAGAUAAGACGCACCGAAGCGCUUGGCCGCCACCGCCGGCGCUGCAGCUCGCAUCCGUCAAUAAGGCCCACGUGCUGGUGCUGAGAGGAUUCUCGGCGGCGGCGGCGGCGGCGGCGCCAAUUCCGCCACCUCCGCCUCCGCCGCUACAUGUAUGUGUACGACACAGCCCAAGCGCGUUCCGUCGGAGCUCGAUCGACUGCCGUACCGACUGGCUCAUCACGCGACCGGUGGGGCUUAUGCAACCGUCGCCAACGCCGCCGGAGCCGCCGCCGCCGCCGCCGGGGAACCCCACUCCGACAGCGCCCAACGUGAGAGACGAACGUUGGGUUUGGCGGUUAUGGUGGUUGCGGUGGUUGGAGGUUCCCGGGUGGUUGGAGUAAGGCGUUGAAAGGGCGCCGAUUCCGGCCCAUCGCGAAAAUUCCGACGAAGUUGCGCCACCAGCGGCCGAGGAAGAUUCGCAAGCCGCGUCGACCUGACUGGCCUCCAAGACAGAGGUAGUUGCGAAGACAGUAGCAGCAGUAGCAGCGGCAGUAGCGGUGAUGGUGGCGGUUGUGGUAGUUGUGGUGGUUGCGGCAAUGACGGAUGCGGUUCGAGACGUUUGCUGAACCCUUCCAGAAGCCCCCGGCAGCCUGUGGUGUUGUCGUACGCACGUUGUACGAUAUUGUACGGCAUAACACAGCGUAGAAUGACGUUAGCAUGGAGUUUAGCAUAUUAUUGAAUGACAUGGCCCAGCAUAUCACCAAUGCAUGAUAUGUGUGGAAAGCGCAAUACGCAAUACGUGUUAUUGACUUCCCAGACGCAGAAGUAGAGCACCGUAGGGGCAGUGCAGUGCAACACCGCACACACAGCUUUUCCUCUUCUUAUCCUCUUUUUUUCUUCAUUUUUAUCUUCAUCUUUACCUAGAUUGAGAAUGCCAAUAUCGAAUGAGUGCCAAAAAAGGCAUAAAAACAAAAACGCGGACACAAUGAGGUGCGUGAAAAGAUAUGCGGAGGAUAUCGUCAAGUGAUGUGACAAAUCAAAUUGUUCAUUCGCACGCGCGAGGUGUAGUGGGAGAGGCGUGGGAGCUGGAGUAAGGAGGAUGUCUACGAAAGGGAUGUACGGCGCCAACGCAUCGUACUCGUGUACGACACCCUCACUAGCUCGGUUUAGUCGUCAACCUAAACAACUCCCUCAACCGAUCCCAUUUCAACCACCAACCGCUUAUAUCGUGCGCCCUAGGCACUGCAACCAACCAACCAACCAACCAAAUAACUGACUUGGAGUUGUGGCGGCUGCAUAACUCCAUCACGGACUGCGUCCGAGGGAAACCGCCGGGCUCCACAUCCGCCGCCACCGCCAGGGCACCGGCGGCAGUAGCCCGUUUUGGCCGUACAGCCGCCGGCGCCGCCACUGCUGCCGCCACCGCUGCCGCCAUCGCGGCCAGCACCCCUCGGGGACCAUUAGCGGCGUCGGAGGGCCUUGCGCCGCGGCCCCGCACGAAUCUUGCCCAACGGCUGAUGCCACUAUCAGCUUGGCGGUCAUCGGCAGUGGCGACGGCCUUGGUGAGGCUGGGUGAUGAUACGCGGUUUGGGGCCACGUCGCCGCCACCAUUACCACCACCGCCGCCGCCGCCGCCCGCGGCGCCGCCGCCAACAUCACCAUCACCAGCACCAGCACCCACACCAGCACCCGCAUCGCCCAUUCCAGAGGUUACUGGUGACGAAGCCAGCCGUUGGAAUGGCAGCUCGUUGUUGACGCAAUUGUACGGUACUCCCAAGCUGCCGUCGUACUCAGUGCCAUACGCCGUAUGGGCAUUCCGAGGCGUUGUCACCCUGGGAGCGGCCUGGCUGCCGCCAAUAGCGGAAGGCGAACCAGCGGCGGUGUCGAGCACCGGAUGGUUCAUCAACAGCAGUAGCAAGCGCUCGUCCUCGUCGGGGGUGCUGGCGGCGGCCUCAGGUACGACGGACAUUGCCGUACGUAUCGGCCCGCCGUACGACUCGGCGGCGGUCCGAAGCUGCUUGGGCUUGGGCGAUGGUAUCGAAGGGUUCGCCCCAGAGGCGGUGGCGGCGGCAGCAGCCGUCACCGUCGACGCCGUUGGAAUACCGCUAGACGUCACUAUCUCUCCGCGAUAGGUGGCAGUGGCGGAGGCGGAGGCGGAGGCGGUGGGGUUGGGAGUGGGAGGCGCAGCGGGGGCCGUAAAUCUUGCCUUCCAGACUUGGGAACCUGGCGCGCUAAUGUGACGAAGAGCACCGCCGCCGCCGCCACCGCCGUUCUCAAACCCCCCGUGUGCGAAUGCUGGUGACUGCAGCGGCGGCUCUGUAGCUGCCGCCGUCGCCGCCGCCGCCGCCGCCGCGGCGAUAGAUGUACUAAACGUCAUCUGUGCGGACGUCAACGCUGCUGUAUCGCGUGCGCUUCGCUGCGGCGGCAGCGUCGUCGUCGUCGCCGCCGCCGCCGUCAUCGUUGGCAUCGGGGACCGCCACGAGGCGCGCCGGGCGGCCGCCGCCGGCGGCGGCGCGCCACGACACUCAGUAGCAGCCCCGGGCGAUGGUGGGUGCAAUACAGUGAGCCGCUCCCAGCAGGACUCGUCGUCCAGCAUGAGAUAGCCGGCCCCCGGCACACCCACCACAUGGCAUUGCUGCGGGUAUAGUGCGCGCGUGUGUGUGUGUGGGGGGAGAAGGGUGAAAUUCACAAAAUAAAAAUUUUAAAAAUCCUUCAAAAAAAACAGACAGAAAAGCUGCUAACAUCCAAAGUUCCCAGCAGGAGGGUGUGAAAGAUCUCAAUACACGUAAUGACACGCAAUGGUUCAAAACUACGGAGCGGCGUCCCUCGAGUUAAAGAAAGAAGGGAGGAGGGAACGGAUUACUCAAGGGCGGAUUUCCGGACCUCUUGGGGCCGGAUUUCGCUGGCAUCCACACGACACGACGGCAAGAGCCUCACUUCCACCCACACCAAGGUGGCCUUAUCAUCAAAUCGUGUAUCCAAAAAAUUCAAGUUAAGCAAAUCCCAGCAAUGUAACAUCCGGCAAAGAGUACUCGGGGAGAUGCCAAGGGAGCUGACCCCUUCUCACAAGCAAGACCUCCCUAAGGGGCCCUGCCCACCAGACACCCGACGGCAGUAGCUGACUAGUCGUAGUCGUCGUACGUAUGAGGGUGUAAGGAGUGGGGGUUUCGGGGGGUUGGAACACCACACCAGCAGCGGGCGCGUUGGAAUCGGCGCGGUGUGGGUCCGUGUGCUCUCUUGCCGUACCUGGCCAAAGCCGUCGACUGCCGUCGACUGCAGUCCGUCUGCCGCCGCCAACUCCGCCGUCGACGCGUUCAUCUCUGACGUGAGCGCGGCGCCGCCAGCGGCUGCUGGUACGGCAGCUGCCGAUAUGCCGCCGUCGCAGCAACCACAGCGGCGCUGGGCUUCCGCGGCCGCUGCCUCCGCCACCUCCGUCACGUGCCGGGUCAAAAGGGGUGGCACCCGUACGAUCCCCUUCCAGCGGCGUCGUACAGUCAGCUCCGAAACUACUUCCCGCCACUGAUGCGGACUCAGAGCGAACAACUCUCGCAGUACGCCCUCGCCGGCGUCUGCAAAGGUGCGACCUGCAAAGCCGCCAGGGCCGGCGGCGCCGAUGAUGCUGCCGUCCGUCUGUAUGUCACCCCACCGCUUGGUGAUAAACCGGUCCCCCUUGGUGCCACUGCUGAAAUCCCCUCCCACACCUCUUCCGGUUUCAAGGGAAAUGGCACCGGGAAGGCAACUGCCGGCGGCGGCGGUGCCACCGCCGCCGCCGCCGGCUGGACCGUCAUGCAGGCCGUUGCCGUCGGCGUACUCCAUAGUGUCGCCACCGCCACCGCCGCCGCCGCCACUGCUAAAGGCAGCGGCCCUGCGGGACACAGCACGGCUUCCAGCAGCCGGCGGCAAGCCCUGUCGCAACCCCAUGUACCGUACGGAUGCCGUAUUUUGGUACAGCACCCGUCGGCCGUCGGCCGACAGCAACGUGACGCUGCUGGGCAGGCCCGAAAGGGCCGUCAGGCAACGGUGCAGCUGCUCCUGCAUCACGCCCACGCCGGCGGAUAGCCUGUACCGCAGUACGACACCUGCCAGGAGCUGCGACGGCGGUGCAUCACCGGCAACAACAGCACUGCGCCGCUGUACGACACCCGUAGACGCUGCCCGCCGUACUAUCAACGGAUGGAUCGUUAAGGGUAGCAGAACUCGCGAGUCGGUACCUGGGAACGGAUGCAGUACAAUGAUGGGAUGGCCGCCGCUUCCGCCGCUUCCGCCGCCGCCGCUGUCGUCACCAUCCAUCCCGGGCCCAGCCGCCGCCGCCGCCGCUGCCGCUGAAGCCGUACCCUCCACAACGGCGAGGCAUGUAUCUUUCAGUGCUGCCAGCAGCACGGGCUCCACCGUCAGGAGCUCAGCCAAAAGGGCCUCGUAGUGCGCGGGUGUAGGGCAGCGCAGUAGAGAGCGGAGGGCGCCGUUUGCGUAGCGGGGAACAAGUCUGCAGCGUGUGGUGUGUGCGGUGGGGGGCGGCAUAUCCAAACACUCGUACCCGGGGGAGGAAGGUCAUAGCAAGGUUUGCCGGGUUAAAGGGUUAGCUCACAGCAGAGUUUGCUGGUAGGUUUGGUUUGCAAGAGCGCAUCCUAAGAAGAAUAUGUAGCUGGGUGCGCACGGUGGGAUGUGCGUAUGCACACGCGCACAGUGCGGGUAUUUGCGGGAAAAGGGGGGAAGGCGCGAAGCGAGCCGAAUCGUCCUUGCGGAUGUGAUUUGCGGGGUCUUGCGAGUAGCAGGGAAGAGCUACUGAGCUGAGGGACAGAUAGGGGUGAAGAAGCUCGUGGCGCCGCUACGUCUGAUGGCCUAAUUGCUAAAAUCCUUGCAAGAAGACCAGGUUGCCCGUUCUUCGCAUUUUCAGUCGGCCACAUGAGCUUGGUGGUACUCUCCGGCAUCUAGCACGUCUAGUUCCCCAAAUUCACAAAAUAGGCACGACGCACAAUUUUGUCAUCUGUGCUGACCGGCGAACUCGCCUUGAACUAACCUGACUGCCCGACAAUUCCUGUAGGCUGCGUGUAGGUGUUUACUGCACCAGUCCAACGAGUUGUGAGGCAGCACACCGCAAAAAUUUAUAUUCAGCAGGAGUUGCUGUGACAACCUGAAUCGUUCCAGCAAGGUAAGCCCAUCGACGGGCUCGUCGGCGCCAAUGAACUCCAAAAGCACCAGCGGAUCUGUUCCAUCAAACAAAAGAUAAUACUCAAAACGGCAUUAUGCCGCCACUCCUUGCCAAGACCAGGCAACGUGCAUCAUUAUUUGGAAAUGAACGUACCAGGGUGUCCCAGGAUUCCAGCGUAAUCGCUGCUUCCUCCUCUAGCCAUACAUGAUGGACUAUUAAUGUGGCUUUGGUGGUGCGAAAACUGACCCCAGAGGUCCCAAAGCUGGCCCGGCGUGGCGUCUUUGCCCUCCGCAUCUUUUCCAAACCCAUGCAGCUGCAAAUUUUGUUUCACUGCAUCCUGUUCAUUGCGCUUUGGGAUGCCAACACAAGGGCCAAAGAAACGCUCAAGGAAUCCCAUCGACCCCACGUGGUUAGCGGAAGCCUUAUAUUAGACACGCUGAAAUAAAUAAAAAAUUAUAACAUAUAUGCGUUUCGUGUCUGCCAAGAUACAUCUCUUGCUUAGUAAGGGACCCCGACGGUGCCCCGACCCCUUGUGUUCAAACUCCGAAACUCAAUAACCCGUAUUGUAGGGGCCAUAAAAAUCUUUCUAACCGAGACUACAUUUGGGAUUUAUUUGCAGUAUGUCAACGGUAUCGUCAUUGUACAGUAAGACAUCGUAUAGUCAGCCACUGCUGACGUGCUUCUCCCUACUCGCACCUGCCACAGCGCACCAUUGACAAAUUGACGCACAAUUGAUGUUUAUGUAAAAACUUAAAAUUAUGUAAACCAUCUGAAAGUCUUAUACUGUGCUUGAUAUCACCAGCAUGCCGGCAAAGCUGCCCACGAGCCGUGUAUGCAACUGAUGUAUAGAAAUGCGCCAUUCCCCCAAGACUGGACACGAUCGCCAGGGCAGGAGCUCCCUCCGGCAUGGCAGCUUCCUCAUGGCAGAAUUGAAAAUACACAAGACAACCGACGAAGUGCAAGAACAUGCUGGAUCACGGUGCUGACAUGCACAGGGCUUGAAACCCCCCACGAACCCCCUACAUCAGGCCCGGGGGGUUCGUCCAGACGGUGAAUACACUGCACGCACGCGGCGCGCUCUUGCGGUGCUAGAAAACACGGGUGGCUUGCUCUGUUAGAGUCUGCGCAUCCCAGCGGUAACCAACAGAACCUACCCCAAGCAACAGGAGCAGUCCCCCUGCCGCCAGCUGCUGUCCUAGGGGAUGCAUAACCCUCAGCUGAGCUGAACCUCAAAUAGCUCUCGAAGGAGGUAGGGAGAUAGGGAAAGAGGUAGGGAGGCAGGGAAAGAGGUAGGGAGGUAGGGAGAGAGGUAGGUAUGUAAGAAAGGGUUCUGAUGGGAGGCAACAAGCUGGGAGGCAGGAAACAGGUCCCAUCCAAGGCGACUACAAGGGGGGGGGGCCCCCCAGUAAGCGGUCCCACGCUGCAUAGGUUGCAAAAUUUGUGACAUGGCGCCAGAUGGGGAUGGCGUGAGCACAUCACCAGGACGAACGCCUCAUGCAGGGCCCACCCCCUCCUGCUGCUGCUGGUGCUGCUGGUGCUGCUGCUGGUGCUGCUGGUGCUGCUGGUGCUGCUGCUGGUGCUGCUGCGUGCCGACAGACAUCGUGUUGCAUAUGAAGGAUGGCUGCUGCUGGUGCUGCUGCUGGCUUUUUGGGUACAAGUGGAGAGGGGGUUGGCGGAGACAGUGGAGGACUGCCCCGGGUAUAUGGAUAAUGGAGCUGCAGUAUCCAUUCUCUUGUAGGGCCGGGAUGUCUGGGUCUCGGAGACCUUCUUGCAGGCCAUCUCAGAGUUCUUACAGCCUCUCAUCCCUUUUCGCUUCCCCCUUGCUUCUGGUCGGGUUCGACCUGCUGACCUUUUUACAGUUAGUCUCUCUGGGUUGGAGCAAGAGAUGCAGAAGCUGGACAGGGCUUACCGCAGCUAAACAGGCCAGUUUCAACGGCAAGUGUAGCCCUGCAAGUAUAGCCCAGCGAUGCUGCAGUGACUGCGUGUAUGGCAAAACAAAAAACCACCGCAAAUAAGGACAAAGGAUUUCUCAUUUCUCUCCAAAGCACAAGAACAGAACGUACAAAUGAUACGCGAACGGCAGGAAACAACUGCCCGGGCGGCGAAAUGGAGGAUCUCAGAAAUAAUAAUAUAUAGCUGAAAUCAAGAACUGUUUGGCACCGUUUUCUGAGGUGAUGCAUCAGAUCCUACAAGUUUUGCCGCUACUCUGGCAACUCCUCGCUGGGCUACCUGAACUACUGGCGGUCAUCGAAGCAUGGCCUAAGCUACGGGAUCUUUUUCAGCGUCCCAGUACAGCAAGAGGAGCAGCGCGCACGGCCACAGCCGGGACCCAUUAUGUUCCACCCGGACAGGAGGCUUCUCCUCCAGGCCUCCGAGGACGCGUUGCCACGACCGCGAGAGCAUUUUGGAGGAGACGACAUUUCAGGUCUCCCGCCCGGGGACAAGCGGCCCCGAUCGGCCCCAUCGGCCCCAUCGGGGGAAAACGGGGUAGACAUCAGCUACGUGAACGCGAACGGCAUGCACGUUCUGUACAUAGGAUGGGCCAUGGGAUGCGGCUGGAGCUGGUGGCGCGCGCUUUUGGAGCAGGCGGUGCAACGGGUGGCGGGGGGGUGGGGGGCCCCGCUGUGGGAGUGAGCGGUGGGGGGGUGGGGGGGGGCGCACCACACGGCAAUCCUUCCAUUCAACGCGGUGUGCGCUGUGAUGACGGCCACGCACAUUGCUGUACUGCUUGCCAACGACACGAAGUGUUCGAGAUCCUGGCCUUUCGAGCAAAAAACACAUCACUCAUCACUAGUCACAACUUAUGAACUCCAAUAACCUGGCAUAGGUAAGUGCAUGUAUGUAAGUUGCUGACGUGUUGACUCCCAUGCUGUACUUCCACUGCGCAUCUUUAUUUCUAACACUGCGCAUCAACAAAUGCGCCACAUCAUCAUUAUUGUCAUCAGCAGGAGCCAAACCACUUUGGAGGUCUUACACCGGGGUUUAUGGGGCGUAGCUCACGCCUAGAUAUCGUUUGAGAUCGAUUGUGUCCUGCGGCAUUUCCGUUGGUGCAUAGUGUGUUGUAUCGGCACUUGCAUCAAUUGCCGCACACAGCUCCAAGAACUUGAUAUUUCGAUGUCGUCGUGUUUUGACUGAGGCUGUUUUGACUGAGGACUGUUUGCACUGAGGCAUCUGUUCCUGUGCAUUGUACAUACAUGCAGACGUAUACGUAAAUACCUGCACGGGCAGCAUGUUUUUCUCCGCAGUCAUGCAAAGCAGUUACUUUUACUAAUUAUUACGUCAGCAGGUAGUUCCACACUAGGUACCGCGAAACCGAGUAGCGAAUCUCGCUCGAGUGUUGUACACUAAGCGCCAUGAACUCAUGACACAGCAGGACUAGUGUGAGACGCAGUUUUUUCUAUGUCCCCUGCAUGGGGUGCACCCGGCGCCCUUCUGCAUCAUUCAUGCAUGGCCUUUUACCUACAUAAACCUGCGGCCCCUCCCUCGACCCACUCGACCGCCCACUAACCCGUUAGGUAUUAUGUCGUUUUAGGGCAAUCGUCUGUUACUGAAGAGUGGUGCCUUGCGUAUCCCACUGCCUUAUAAGGCCCGAAACGUGUGUGCUCGCAGAUUCGUAGAUGCCCUGGCGUCGCGGCAACGUACGCUUGCCUGUGGCAGGCCUUGCAAAAGGGACUAUUAGCACCAGAUGCGAUGGCUACGCGUGGUAAUAAGCUAGUAACCUCUGAAUUUGAAUGUCUCCUAAGGCCGUAACGUUCGAUAAACCAACCGUCAAAGGUAUCCUUCGGAAAGAGGUGCAAAGCUUGCUAAGGACGGAGGUUUUUCAUCUUAGCUACACUAAGCAAGUUCAUUUAGCGUUCGCUUGUUGACAUCGCCCACCCUUUGGUUGGAUAGCUUCGAAAGUCAAAUUGCAAGGAAACAACUGCUCCUUGAUUGAUUGUGUUACCCUGGUGCAGAUGCUGUGCCAUGCUAAAACGCUACUGGAUCAGCCCUUGCGGAGGCUUGUCUUACGUUCUGGCCAGCCAAAAGCCUGCUAUCAGGCACAGUUAAACUUUAGAAGCAAUAGAAAAUUUUAAUUCGCCCAUAUAAUAGGGCUAGGAAUGCUGUUUGCAAGGAUAAUAGGCGAAGGGGAGUUGGAAAGGCGGUUUGUUUGGUUAAAAACCAUCACCAAGGACAAAGCCGUGAUACGUCUUCGCAAUUUUCACAAGGUCUAGGCAAUCAUUUCUUAAUUUCUAUGACGAUAUGUGCAAGCUCACGGGCCCCCUCAAUGGGCUGACAUAUUGUACGGCUCACAGGGUGGAGGACAGGACGAACCGGUUCACCUCCCCUGUUGCAAAGUGUGCAAUAGUCACACGCAACUUCCUGCUCAGGGUCGGCUCCACAACAGCAUAAGGAGAUGUCACCUUCAUUUUUUGUGUUGUGACACUUGUCGUUGAAGUCUUUCAUUAGUGCUUCAUUGCUACCUCAACACAAAACGCCACAGGUUUAAGGACGUGGAGACUCAACAGCUUGAAAAAUUGGUGGCGUGUUGUAAAAGCGCAACGCUUGCACCGAGUAGCAAGUUACUGCGCGAGAUGUUUACACAGCUCCCUUGACUAAAUGAUUGCCGAGUAAUCAGCAGUCUUCAGAAUAUUGCCAUCCAGCACUUCCGGUGGUCCGCACCAUGCCUCUGCGAUGGGCCUCUUGCCUGUUCCGGCCCGCAAGGGUAACAGUUUCAUCUCUGGAGGUCAAUCCAUCUACUUGCCCAACCGCGCUCCAUGAGAUGCUUGCUAUGCGCGGCACCGCCUGCCUGCGGCCUCGCGGCGCCCACAUCCUUUACGAACGUGUCGAUGACGCUGGGCAGGGCGCCUUCACGCCACCCGUCCUCAUCUACAUCAAGCGCCUUCCCGUCUGCGGCGGUCUGGAUGUUUGCAUCAAGCGGACGCUCGUCACCCACUUUGUGUGCCGCGCCGCACGCGAGGCGCGCCUCCAAGUCCAGCUUCAGCACCCGCACCUUCUCCCCGCGCUCGCCUGUGUUCGCGGCAGCCGCCACUACUACCUCGUCCUGCCAGCUGCGGAACGGGACUUGUGGGAGGAGGCUGAGGCCAUGCGGCAAGAAGGCACCGGCUACAGUGAAGACGAGCUCCGGGAUAUCGCCAGACAAAUCCUGCUAGGAUUGGACCAUCUGCAUUCCAGUAACUUGGCUCACAGAGGUAGGGAAGGGGGAAAAAAAGAGAGGACGACAAAGGGAGUCAGGGGGCAGGGGGUGGGAAGAGAGGGCUGGAAGAGACAGGAUUCGGUGAGCGGGUAGAAAGGGAUGGAUGGGCAUGAGGGGAGAGGGAAGGGGGAGGAAGGGGGAGAAAGGAGAGGGAAAGCGGAGUUGACAAGUUGGUGGUGUACUGGUAGGGGGAUGAUCCAGUAGUAGAAACCAUAUUAGCAUUAGCGAUAGAAAUUUAUUGUUAUUUCAUAAAAAGUAGUUUUACUAAACCAGUUUUAAAAGGCGAUAAUUGGAGGAAGAAAGCACUAUCCUCAGCUUUAUACCGCGUGUCAGUCUGUUUUUGUGUCCGUGUGUGUGUGUGUGUAUGUGUAUACGAUGUGUGUGCCGGUGCACGGGUGCAACUCGUGCGCUGUGCGCGUCGGUAUGUUUGUCGAUAUGUCUGUCAAUUUGCGGUUGUUUCAAUUAUAGGUGGACAGACGGGCCGGACGAACAAGCAAAAAAUACUGGAUAAAAAUCUUAAAUAAAUAUUGGAAAAAUUAGCAAAGAAUGAGCAGAAGCUGCUGGCUCCGCUUCUGGCAGUCUGUCCCGGACCAGACGUCCCCCGAGCAUUCCCCCCUUUCCCCGCUCCCCCCUCCUCCUUCCUUCUUCCUCCCCCGCCGUUGCAUGCCGGCGGCUUGCUCUCCGAAUGCUGGCAAAUGUUAAAUUAUACUACACUAAUGUACUACUAGUGUCUAAUUUUCUCCCGUAAACAGCUUUGGUGUGUUGCUUUCUUUUCGUCAAUCGUCUGUGCAUCGUCGUAAUCCCCCUUUUUACAGCUACCUACCUACAGCCAGCUUGCUGUCCAGUUUGCACUCACCCAUCCAUCGACGACGCUGACUUCAACAUAAGGCCCACCCGCCCAGUGACAGUACCCGGGCACAUAACUCCCCCCCUUGGCCCCUUCCCCCCCCGUUCCCCCGCCCAGACAUCAAGCCAGCCAACGUUUUGAGAAUGCCCGACGGCCGCGUUGUGGUGGCGGACUUUGGCUGUGCCGACGGCUGUAUGACGGGCUUUGUGGCGGCGGGUACGGCGCAGUUCCAACCGCCGGAGUGCCGCCGCAAUGCCGGUGCCCAGCUUGCCGUACUAGCCAAAGGGUACGACCAGCGUGUGCAGGACCUUUGGAGCUUGGGCGCGACGUUGGCGUCCCUGUGGUACGGCAAACUGCCAGACGUGAUUCGGGGCACCGGUAAUUCGCGGGUGCCGUCGGCGGCGGCGGCGGCCGCCGCCGUCGCGGCCGCGGCCGCCGCUGUAGCCUCGACAGACGGCAGCAGCGGCGUCGAGCCUCGCUUUAGCUCAGGCAGCAGAACAAGCAACUGUACGGCGGCAGGAGGGCCGGGAGGAUCUUAUGACGAGGCGAUGAUGCCGCAAACACAACCGUCGUUGUCUUUGUUGCCGCCGUUUUUGGCAGCGGCGGGCUUUGCGGCGUGCGGAUCAACGGUGGGAGCUCGAGGCGAGCCCAUGAGUGACCAGCUUCUUGACCUGCUCUCCCGGCUACUGCGCAUACGCCCUUUUGAACGCAUGACCGUGAGACAAGCGCUCCAACAUGACUGGCUACUGGCCGCUGGCGGCGGCGGCAGCAGCAACAGCAGCCGUACCGUGUUGUACGGCAUGUCAGCGGGAGGGGCAGCUGUCGCCUGCGAUGAAGCCUCCCCUGCUUUGAUCAGGCUGUACUCCAUCACUCCGGGGUCGGGGCUGUUGCCGUCACCCGCUUCCUCCCCGCUAUCGCCGACAUCGCCGUGUAUGAGUGCGCUGGAUUCGGACAGGUGCUUGAGGCCCUUUGAGUCGCAGCAACAGCUCGCAACGCUUCACCCCACGUCUUCGUCGCCGCCGAUGACGCCGGUGCCUCACAAAGCCGGCGUUUUCGUUUCAAGUAAUCUGAUGCUCACGGCGAUGGCGGCGUCGGGUAAUGGUAGCCGUGGUGGUGACUUGGAAGGGGACGUCCCCCGGCAUCAUGCCCGGGAGCGCCGUCCUCAACAGAAUCAGAAUCAACAAUCCCGUUGUUCAUUCCCCCCCUCCACUGCGGAGUCUGCUGCUGCCGCCGGCACGGCAGUUAACAACAACAGCAGCAGCAGCAGCAGCUGCUCUCCGUGUAGCGACAACACCGCCACGCCGCAAUCCGACACACCACGGCAACAUAACAUCAUCAACAAUGACAACAAUCACAACAACGUUAGCAAUAUUAGUCUACUGAAGGCCCUCUCAGCGGUGUCGCGAGCUCGGGGCAAGAGCCACAGCCACGACGGGGGAACUCCGAGCACGGAACCCCAAUCGGUCCGAAGUUCAAGCGAAAAAGUGCCGUACCCUACGGUACGGCAGCAGCAGCAGCAGCGGCAGCAGCAACAGCAGCAACAGCAGCAGCAGCAAUCUUCAUCGUUGGGGCCCAUCGUGCGACCGUCGUCGCAUUUCAGAAGCCAUCAGAAGCCAUCAGAAGGUGUCCAGCGGGCGAUUUUGCGCGUGUUUGUCGGGGCUGGGGGCGAUUCCUCUGGCAGUAACUGAUGAACUGACUUUUGUUAACUCAACAGGAAUGUGGCACUGGUGAUGGUGAUGGGUUAAUUAAUGCUGUGACGCUCAAAGCAACAGCAGUAGGAGUAGCAGGAGUAGCACAGGGGAAAGGGGGUAGGCUGAAAUGUUGGUCCGUUUCGGUUGCUUGGCAGGUUCGUUGGUUGGUUGGUUGGUUGGUUUGCGGGUUGGAUGGGUGGAGAUGUAAGGAUGGUUGGACAGGUGGUGAUUGAUGAUGCGAUGGUAAGGGAUGUGAAUUGUGUGAUUUUUGUUGGGUGGUGGUUGGGAAAAAGAUGUUUAGCAGGCAGAGAUGUAUUGACAGCGGUUACAACUGGGACAGAUGCGGAUGCUGGUGGUGGUGGUGGUGGUGGUGGUGAGGCUGGACCAGUCGCCGUGGGACUGAAAGUCUGGGAGGGAGAGUGGUCUAAGACGCCCAAAGGGGUGAGAUAGAAUGAUGGGGUGUGUUUGUGUGCGUGUGUAGAGGGAGUUAAAGGAGGAGUGUGCGGGGGGACGGGGAGCCCCUCCGGCUGUUGGAUGUUUGGUUAAGCUUCUUAAAAAGCUAUCAUUCUACUUCUAACGAGCGAUUUAGGCAUGCAUGCGCCUUUACCCCGAUGUUUCUAUGUACACAUGCACACUCACACACGUACAGACAUCGAUCCAUUACGCACGUACACAGAUGUACACAAGCAAAGAUAGAGAGCAGAACUUUUUUCUUUUUUCCCUUAGCUCUCGAACAGCCUUCUUAUUCUUCUACUUCUUCUUCUUCGAUAUUUUCCCGCGGGCGCGUGUAGUGCGGGCUCUCUGCAUUGCGAGUACCACUGUUGUGUAUGUAUGUAUGUAUGUACGUACCCCUCAUGUGUCCACAUGCCAAUGUAUUUACUGCUAUGUAUGUAUGUAUGUAUGUACGUGUAUGUAUGCAUGUACGUGUGUGUAUGCGUCAAAUUUGCGGUUGCGGUUGCUAGGAGUGCUGAAGGGAAGGAUGACGAGGGGAGCUGUCGUUCACUGCCGCGUUUCGGAAGUACUUUGGUAGUAGACCCCCCUCUCCACACACACACACAUAUAUAGAUGGGUAGGUUAGGAUGUGUUGAUGGUGGUGGUGGUGGAAGUCAUUUUGUUGUUCGGCUGUGCUCGCCACUGCAGCAGGGCUUAGGACAGCUUGCCGACGCGUGGGAGUGAGGCGUGGGAGUGGGUUGUGGGGCGCGUGUUUGUUUGUCCAGGAUGGCCGAGGAGGGGAGGGAAGGGGAGUGCCGUAGCGCCUCCCUCAGAGUGGGGCGGCUGUAGGGCGGCUGUCUGUGGCUGUAGGCGGCUCACUCUUGAGGCGUAUCGGCGAGCGUAGGAGCGGCUCUUGUUACGUGUGCACAAUAGGGCUGUGAAUUCUGUGGCUGUGGCUGUGAGUCCUGUGUCAAUGCAGUCCUUGGGCUGCAAGGCGGCAUGGCCCGGUGGGGGCCGCUAAUAUAACUCUCGUAGAUGGCGGAGUUGGAUAGUAGCUGCACUGCACUGUCCUGCGAGGGUGGCAUGCUCUUGGGCGCCUAGCGCAGGGAAGGAGAGGACGGGGGCCGUGCAGUGUCGUGAACAUGUCACGAUGUCUUGUAUCUCAGUCCUUUUUGUUGUGUUGGGUGAGUUUUGAGGGAACGACAUUUGACACUUAUCUUUUUUGUCGUGGUAAUGAUGAUGAUGAUGAGCAAGAGGAGCGUACAGAAGACCGUCUUCUUCUCUCCUGGUCAUUUCGAGGUCAUUGUGCUGUUUGUUUGGCGAACAGCAAAUAGUCGCCGGAAAUAGAGGAACGGAAAGGGGGAGAAUGAGACUGUGUGCCCUUGGGGGGAGGGCGCUGGGGUGCGUGGGACGGCAUUCCCCAUAAUGACACGUUUCCCUUUUUUCUGUUUCCUUUUUCACUUCCCGAUGCGGGGUGCCAGCUGCCAAUGCUCCGGAGAGGAGGUUGUCAUGAGAGUGGUUGUUUGGAUUCGCGCAUUGUGUCGCGUUGUUUGGAGUUUCGUCACCGUUAGCUCUUGGAGGGGGUUUCUUUGAGUUUGUGAACAAAGGGGCGACAGAGACGAGGGGGAUAGAGCGCCUGGGGGGGAUAGAGCGCCUGGGGGGGCGAAACACACACAUACACACAGGAUUUUGCGUUGGCCUCUUUUUCACAGUGUGCGUGUUAUCAGCAUGGGCAUGAGAGUGGGGCCCCAUGAUGUUGAUGAGGAGGAGGAGGCGGAGGAGGUUUAUGAUGAUGAUUGCGCAAACGCGUGGUGUGCCGGAUCACACCACGCCCGCUCCAGUAUUUUUUGUUUUGUGUGUGUGCGGUGUGUAUAUGUGUGUGAGACGGGGUGGUUUGACUGCAGCCCAGUGUAGGAUAGGACAGGCUACACAGCAGGGCAGGGCAGGCUGCAACCUUACAAGCUGCACAAAGCCCAAAAUGAAACAGCAAAAAGCGCGAUUUCCAUUUCUUAGCAUUACGGUAGUUUCAAUGGCCACACGCUGGCAGUAGUGAUUACGAGCGGCUUGUGAUUACCCGGGGCUCUGUGUUUUGUGCUAUGCGUAUGAUUUUCUAUUUUCUUUGGUUUCCUUCGGGUUGAAACAGAACGGUGUUGUGAUGGUGGCUGUUGGCUCGAGUUUAUCUUCAUCCGGGGGGCUUCACUACGGAGCGUAUUAUCUGGAGAUUAUUUUUGGAGUAUCAGGGAGGCAAAAUGGUAGUAGGACACGUGUGUGACUGUAGGCCUUUAUGCGGAGAAAGGGCUAUGUAGGGCUCGGGUUCAGAGCAGAAGUAGUAUUGUGUGCAGAGCACCAGCAGGAGCGCGCAGCGCUAGGGGCAGCAGCAGGAACAGCAAGGCUGCUUCCAGCUCCUCCAUUUUUGUCGUCUGUCCGGUUCGUUGCUUGACGAACUGGGGAAAAACAGGUUAACAAGCAAAAACAUUAUUUGUAGAAGUAGUUUUGGCUGGAGAGCCGGUGACACGUUACGAGGAAGCUAUGCAGGCCAUGUCCUCUUACUCGUCUUUGCAUUGUACCAGGUCUUGUUCAUGCUUUCAACUCUUCCUUGGAUUUUGCAAGGAAACCUUUUAUUGCCUCUGGCGUGGGGGUGCAGGGUAGACGUGGUGAGGAAGCGGGUGUGUGGUUGGAGGCAGUGCGGCCCGGUGGGACGACGCUGCGACGCUGGGUGGCUGUCAUGUCUUUUUUAUUUUCUAGUGCCGGUUUGGCUGCAGGAUUAUUGCGCGUAAUGACUCUUUCCUUUUAUGAUGAUGAAAGUAUGCGGAAGUAGGAGUAUGGUGGUGAUCCAUUCGGAGCUUGGGCAUAUGUCUUCACAAAAAAUUACAUGACUUGCAUGCGCAUUGUCAUCUUCUCUUUUCCUUCUUGACUUUUUUCCUUCUUUACUUGUCUUCUUCCUUCAAUUUAUUAGUGACCACGUGAGGCAAGAACAGUUUGCGUGCAGUGCUGUUGCGAAUGACUGACCACCGCCAGCUAUACGCACCCUUUGGUAUAUGUAUACCUCUGUCUGGUGAUCGCAUGCAUCCGUGUUGGUGUGUCAGUGUGUGUUGGUGUGUGCACAGGAUCUUUUUUUCGUUCAGGGUACAGGGUACAGAUGAUGGCGACUUGACGGCAGGGUGCGGCGGCAUUCGCUUGCGCCGCCGAGCGCUGAAAGGCUAUAGCAGUGGGACAACGAAGGAUUUUUUUACGAUUUGUGCUUUGUGUACACAAAUCUGAUGCGGUGGGGGACCGUACGAGUUUAGCUAUGCAUGCUAGUGCCAGGUUGUUGGGUUUCCUUUCCGACACCUGAAUGGGCCUUUUCGCCAUUUUGUGUCGCGUCAUGUGUCGUCAGUAACUUGAUACAUUUCUCUCAUCUGCACAGACAACGUUUAACCGAGAGAUGAUGAAGAGCUAUCGUUCUCCAAAUUCCAAAACUAGGAUAUCUCUUACGUGUAACAUAACCAUCCACCCUCAUGCACCUGAGAUCGAUACCCAAGUAAGGCGUUGUUUGUUAUCAUAUUGAGCAGAUCCUUAACCGCAAGAUCCUCUUGCAAAUCACAUGAUUGCGUCGUACAAACACCGACAGGGAGAGCGCACCCGUGCCGAUUGUUUGGCACCACUGCCGCCACCACCACACCGCUAUAACAGUCAUGGUUGUGGCCGACAGAAGUUGCCAGUUGUGGCAGCAAGGGCUACUACCAGAGCUCUGGCUAUUACACUCUGCAUAAUCCAAAACAUUAAGCGCUGCAUACUUCGAACGUAGGACCUGGUGGCGAGAAAGCACGCGCUACCUUGAAAUACCAUUUUCAGCUUCUGCAUUACUGUCGUGCUCAAUCCAUACCACUGUGGCCUUACCACUGCACCGCCCAUCUCAUAGCAGAAAACCUAUAAUAAGACACGACGAUACGCACGCCGCUGGCAUCAUGGCCGGUGACGCAUGACACACACACACACACACACCGAGGACGCUGCAUGAAUUCGCCGGCAAUAUAAUCAGCAGAUGUCACCUCCACCAACCCCCAGCAAAUGCAGGGCCGCCCCGCUUGCGCUCCCCUCUGUCCCCAGGAAACACUGUUGCCGCUUACAACCUCUCUUACGAUGGCCGAAACACAACAGGAGAGCCCUUGUUUCUUUCGUCGCUGUGAAAACCAGCUGGCAUGUCCAGCUCGGCCAGGAGACGUGUCGUGAGUGCACACAGCACAGUGCACCACGCAGCACCAUCGCUCUCUACACCACACCCUGACGGAAGUCCUCUCCGCCUCCCACCCACCCAGCCACGCAGCCAGAAGGAUGACCGCUGCCCGAGCAGGUGGGCCCGAAGGGGUUCCCCUUUAGGGGAAGACUUUGGUUUGGCCCCGGCGAUGGUUGACCAGCUCUCUUCUGCUGCAGCCCAAGCAACGUUGCCUUGCCCACAAUAAUCCUCCUCCCCCUCACCACGGUCCGUCUCCAUAUAGCACAAACCCUAGCCACGUGGAGGACCCCUCCUAUUGCUCCGCAGCACAGCGAAAUAUACUCCCCCGCAUGGGGCCGCCGGGAGGAUGCUGCCAACAGCAGCAGCAGCAGCAGCAGCAGCAGCAGCAGCAGCAGCACCAGGUGGCUCUUCUCUUCUCCCACGAAGCCAAAACGACAAACUGGUUCCCUCCCCCACACGUAUGAUCCAUACCAUACGUACGAUCUGCAUCAUCUCGCACUGCAGCAUACAAACCUUCACCGAUGGCCAACCACCACCACAACGGCACCACAAAUUAAACGUAGUGCGAAUAGUGCUCUGUUACUAUGUAGUACUCUUGCACCAUAUGAAGCAGCAGUAGCGGUGAGUGACAUCACGUUAUUGCCAAACAGCAAUGCCAGAGACAGCUCCUCCUCCUCCUCCUCCCAAACACCCCGCCCUCCUCCACUCCGUUCCCUAGGGUUCCCCCCCCCCCGUAACACGGCCACCUACAGCCACACCAGCUAGCCUGCCGAACCUGCCCAGUAAGUCCCCCACAUCAUGGCCUGGGGAGCCCCCACACCUCUUGUUGCCGCCCGCACCCCCGGUCCCACUCUUUUUCACACAUCAGCACUCCCCCACAGGGCCGGAAAGCGGGCCAGCAGGGACCACUCCCAGAUCCGCCGAGUGGGCCCUACUCGCGGCCCGUAGGACUGUUGAAAAGGCCGUCAUCUACAUGCCGCGAGUCAGGUGGACCAGAGGCUCUAUAAGGCGACCAGAGACGUGUGAAGGUGGUAGGCGACCGUACUGCCGAGCCGCCUGUUGUUGUUGUGCCAUUGAUGCACCCUCUCCGGACUUGCCGUACAGCCAUGCAGCCUUUCCCGCCCCCACACCUCACAGCCGCCGCUCCGAAAGCACCUCCGGGCCCCCUUCCUCGAGGCGGGGGAAGAGCCCUCUGCAUGCUUGGGCUCCCACGGGCAUGUGUACUCUCGCCCUAAGGCUGCCUGCCUUCCCGCCUGCACUACCUUUGCGCCUGCGGUCCCCCCCCCGACCGCUCGCGAUCCCACAUCACACAUGCCCAACAUGCCCACCACCUACUAGUUGAUGGGCACUACCCAGCCAAAUUUGUCUUCAGCACGCUCAGUCUGGAUGUCGGUGAGGUUGGCGUACAUUUCCAGCGCCACCUUGCCCGCCUGGCCGGGCUCCGUGUACUGCUUGCGCUGGCCGCGGUACGUCAUGGAGCCCACCGAGGAGACCACCACGGCCGUGCCGGUGGUGAACACCUCGUCGGCCUGGAGGUGAUCGUGGGGGGGGCGGGAGGGGGGGACGAACCACAAACGAGUGAAGCUGAAGGGGCGGGGGGGGGGGGAGGGAGGCUCAACAGCGAAAGACAGAGGGCUUUCCGUCAGGCAAUAUGCGAUGUGCAGCAGGAAACACGCUUGGCACGAAAUUGUAAAGCUGGGCGUCGUGGAAGGAAUGGGCAGGGGCUCCAAUUACACAACUAUAUUUAUAAACUACGGGGGAAGUCGUCCUAAUACGGAUCAUCUAAAGCUGUUCGUGAGAGUGAGUGUGUGAGUGUUGUGUGUGGGGGGAGGGUGGGGAGUUAAGACGAACCACUGGCGAGUGGUGCGUGUGUGUGUGUGGGGGGGGGGGAAGACGAACCACGAACGAGUGAAGCUGCUGUGUGGGGGGGGGGGGGGCGGGGGGAAAAGACGAACCACACACGAUUGAAGCUGCUGCCAGGGCAAGAGAGUAGCAAACGUAAAAACUGACCGAAAGGCGUCCGUGGCGACUGUGACGACUGUGACCUCGGGGGCGGGGGGGAGAGACACACAAACACACAUAUACACAGAGAGAGAAGCCUGAGCACGUCACCCACCUCCAUGGCCUCGUGCACUGUCACGGGCUCCUCAUGCACAUCGUACCCCCGGCUACGGGCCAACUCGACAAUCGAUCUACGGGUGACGCCUGGCAGGAUGGUGCCCUGGAAGCAACAGCAGCAGCAGCAGCAGCAGCAGUUAACACCACCAGCGUUAGCGGAGCAGGUGGUGACCGCGUAGAAGACCGGGGCAAUAAAAAAACCAGUGGGCAGAAGAGCAGUGGAGGAAUUUACACCGGGCGGGAUCGGGACGGAAAGCGAUCUGUAUCUGCGGGUAAGACGAACCACUGGCGAAUGAAGCAGAUAUACCAGAGAUAGACACGGAUACUAGUCCAGGUCUGUCUGUCUGUCUGUCUGUUGGGGAGAAAAAGAUACUGGUGUACACACACACCCACACAUACUUACGCAUAGACAUCCCCACCCACACCCCCAUACCUGCAAUGGCGGCGUCUUUAUCGUGCGGCCCUUGACCACAAAGAUGUUGCACGAAGAGACCUCCUCCAGGUACGUGUCCGUCUUGGCGUCCAGGUAGACCUGGUAGCACAGCACACCACCCUGAGUGAGAUCACCGUCAUGACGUGUACCACGCACCCGCAUGGGAGUGCACUUUCUGAGGUCGUCACUGUUAUCAUCAUCAUCAUCAUCAUCAUCAUGGCUGAUGUCCUUCCUCCUCACGAUGAACAAGAGCGCGUGUGCACCGUACGCACUGGUGCGCGUGUGCACCGUACGCACUGGUGCGCGUGUGCACCGUACGCACUGGUGCGCGUGUGCACCGUACGCACUGGUGCGCGUGUGCACCGUACGCACUGGUGCGCGUGUGCACCGUACGCACUGGUGCGCGUGUGCACCGUACGCACUGGUGCGCGUGUGCACCGUACGCACUGGUGCGCGUGUGCACUGUACGCACUGGUGCGCGUGUGCACCGUACGCACUGGUGCGCGUGUGCACCGUACGCACUGGUGCGCGUGUGCACCGUACGCACUGGUGCGCGUGUGCACCGUACGCACUGGUGCGCGUGUGCACCGUACGCACUGGUGCGCGUGUGCACCGUACGCACUGGUGCGCGUGUGCACCGUACGCACUGGUGCGCGUGUGCACCGUACGCACUGGUGCGCGUGUGCACCGUACGCACUGGUGCGCGUGUGCACCGUACGCACUGGUGCGCGUGUGCACCGUACGCACUGGUGCGCGUGUGCACCGUACGCACUGGUGCGCGUGUGCACCGUACGCACUGGUGCGCGUGUGCACCGUACGCACUGGUGCGCGUGUGCACCGUACGCACUGGUGCGCGUGUGCACCGUACGCACUGGUGCGCGUGUGCACCGUACGCACUGGUGCGCGUGUGCACCGUACGCACUGGUGCGCGUGUGCACCGUACGCACUGGUGCGCGUGUGCACCGUACGCACUGGUGCGCGUGUGCACCGUACGCACUGGUGCGCGUGUGCACCGUACGCACUGGUGCGCGUGUGCACCGUACGCACUGGUGCGCGUGUGCACCGUACGCACUGGUGCGCGUGUGCACCGUACGCACUGGUGCGCGUGUGCACCGUACGCACUGGUGCGCGUGUGCACCGUACAGCACGUAACACAUCUCCUUGCAUGUUCCCACCACCUCGUCGGUUUUAGCUUUCCGCCGUGUCUUAGCUCCGCAUUCAUCAUCCCCGAAAUCUACAUCCUGCCUCGCUAGCUAUUAAGUCCACUACUUCCACACGACCUCUCCCCCUUUUCCAGUUCGGUAUGAGAGGACUAAAAGGACUGGGAGGGAGGAAGCCGGAGCAAAAAUUCCUCUUGCUUCCUGACCUGCAUGUAAUUGCUCCCCCCCCUUCCCCCUUUUUUGAACCGCCCCAUGUGGCGAUCAGACGUGCACACAUCUCCAACCUACAAGAUGAACCAAACGAAAGCUAUAGCUUUGGCCAACCUAGACGCACUACCCGCCCCCGCUGGGGUGCACAGCCUGGCUCUUUCCGUACUCUUUCGAACGACAUGCCGCGAAUGACGAGCCGCCGCGAAACAUGCAGCUUCUCGCCGUCCUCAAUGGCCCACCCGCCUUCAGAAGCUCAACAAUCCAUGCACCCCCAUGUGUACGUGCCCCUCAUGUAUCCACUCACAACGUCAGCGAAGCCGUUCUUCUUGGCCUCCAGUUGCGUCACCAACACCUGGGGAGUGGGAGUGGGAUGGGAGAGGAGGAGGGGGGGGAGGAGGGGGGGGAGGAGGAGGGGAAACAAGAGGAUGAUAGAAGGCGAAGGGGUGAGGCUUGUGAUGUGAGAUGACGAUGUAUGGCAGUAUGGCGUCUGCCGCGUGACGUGCCGCUGCCAGCAGGUGAAGAAGUACAUCGGGUAUGCGCGGUUUGUUCGCAAGGAAGAGAAUGGUGGGCCAUUUUCGGCAGAAGAGACCCUCCCCUCCCUUCCCUUGCUGGAAGACCCUCCCUCCUUCCCUCCCUCCCUCCUUCCCUCCCUUCUUCCCUCGUUCCCUCCCUCCUUCCCUCCUUCCCUCCCUCCCUCCCUCCCGACAUGGCAUAUGUGGGACACAUAUCUACACUGCACUAUGCCCCCGACCGCAUCGGACUGGAUGAGGGCCGACUGCAUCCAGACCGCAGCUUCCUCUCCUCCUCACCCAGUUGUUCUCCACUUACCGGAGAGUAGUUUCCCGCGGCUUUGGUGCCGCCCAUGCCGCCCGGUGCCGCCCGGUGGAAGCGCUCCUCCACGAGGAGGUCGAUGGGGGUCAGCUGGCCGCCCUGCACACAGGGGGGGAGAGAACGGGGAGAAAUUGAUGAUGAUGGCGUGCAGUGUUGAGGAGAGGUUUGGAGCAGGCCGCCCGUGUAAUCGUGUAAGAUGCAGCAGAGACAGCAGGGGCGGUGGUGCGCUUAAACGAACUAGAAACGUAACUGGGAGCCAACUCCAAAAAUUCAGAUUAGCCCCAGAGCAGCACUAAGCUUCUUCAAGGUCCGUGUUCGUUCAGCUGCUAGCAAGGAGUGACGAGGCUAGUCGACCAGGCCUGCAGAGGGAUGUGCUGCCCUGCCUCUGCCCUGCUGUGCCCUAGGCGGGGUUCUGCCGUGGGCUUAGCAGCAUCAGACAUCCGGCCCACGCCCCGCACCCAGCGCCGCAGGGCAAGGUCCUCCAAACCUUUUCCAGACCUCCUCGCGUUCCUCUCCUUCCACAAGAGACAGACAGGAGGACCAGGACCCUCUCCUACCUUGAAGUAGGCGCCCACAGCCGCUGCAAAGAUGGUAAAGGUGUAGGACGGCGCGGGGCCCAGACCCAGGAUGGGUCCAGUACCCAGCAGCAGCGGCCGAAGGUACAGCGAGCCCUUGCCGAUGGGGGGAACCUGGACAAGGAGGGCCGGUGCCCAGAAACACACACACACACACGCGCACAUACAUACAUACAAAUAUAUAACCCAAUCCACGGCAAGUUCCUGGCAAACGGCGGCCAUCACCUCCUCUUCACCGACUGGGCUGAUCCCUGCAGCGAACGCUGAUCCCCAACUGCCGCUGACCCCUGACGCCUCAAGCUCGGGGCCGCGCUGGGGCCUGAGGCCGCCGUGCUGAUGUCCAUCCCCCGUCCCUUUAGCCACGACCCGUACACACAUGACGACUCCCUGGUGGCCAACCCCUGACCUCAGCCGCUGUCCACAGUCCUCUCACCGUCGCUACUAUUUCACACAGAUGUGGUACACAUGUGUGCGUGCGUGCGUAUGUGUGUGUGCGUGUGUGCACAUAGGUCGCCAUAGGGCCCAGGAUGAUGCCUAAUGGCGGCGGCGGACGCGGUAGCCGGUGUAGGCCCCUCUUCUCCCUACCGCACAUCACCCGCUCAUACGCACACACACACACAUAUAUACAUAUCUAUAUACACACACAAGCGCGCAAAGCACGAGUAAUGCACGCGGUGUCCCCCCUUUCCCCCCCCCCCCGCGCCGCUGGCCUCAGUGCCCACCCUUCCAGGGGCCCUGAACUGCAUAUGCCCGUAACCCAGCUCUGAGGCCACUGCUCACAUAGUCAAGGUUUGCGGCCACGGUGGCCUUUACGGCCUCCACGAACUGCUCCUCGGGCACGGAUGGCAUGCUCAUGCGAGCGGCGCCGGCCUUAAAGCGAGCUGCGUUCUGGUCCGGCCGGAAGACCACCACACGGCCCUUAGAGCUCUCCUGCGCCUUCAUGCCCUCAAAGAUGGCUUGCCCAUAGUUGAGCACCUGAGCGCUGGGCAUGAUGGUGAUGGGGCCGUACGGCACUAGUUUGCCCUGGUCCCACCCCUUGUCCUGCGUCCACUCCGAGACGUACAUUGACUUUGAGGAGGGGGAGGGCGGGAGGGGGUGGGAAUGAGGUGAGAAUGGGCUGUCUGCCUGGUACCGGAAAAGCACCGUCACAAAAAGCGUUCUGCCUGGAUAGGCGGCAUUUCCGCAUGCGCUUGGGCCGUAAAUUGUUUUUCAGGGAUUAUGGCCCGUCCGCCAGAGAGCACUUUGGGUUUCCGCGCAAUGGAGGUGCGACCGGGAGGUUGCAGUGAAGGGAACUAGUCGGCGCCGGUAGACAGACCGGACCCAACCCAGGGCUGUGCUCACCCCUGCGACAUCCUUCAGACCAAAGCCAAGGGUGUCCCAGUCAAUGUUAGCCUUUGACCUGCAGAAUCAUGCAUACAGCUUUUAUGGCCAAGAGGUACGAAAACAUGGCAGCGCGACAAAUUUUGCGUACCGGCGCUCGCCAGCAACAGUCGCAGCCGCUGCAAUCGUAUGCAAACGACUCCGAGGAGCAGCAGGCGGGCAGCACCGCCUUAGGCACCUGCAAGCAGGGACAGCGACUUCAUACAUUUGCGGCGGCUAGACGAUUGGGCACAGCCAAAGCUGAUCCGGUAGCGGCUUCCAGUUCAUCCAGCGUCGUUAAUACAUAAACAUGGACCAAACUUACUGCGCCCGGGACUGCAGAAGGGGCCGGUUGGACAUCUGCGCAAAAGGUUGCUGCGUUAACGUGAAGGGCAGGUCUAAGCUGGAGAUUAAUAUAUAUGUAUAAUUUCAAAUGCGCACCGUAGAUAGCAAGGAUUUCCAGAACGAAAUCCCUGUGUGCAUACAGGUGCUGAAAGAAGCGACGCCACCUGCAACCGGUCUCGCAGGCGCGGGAGGCAACUCCCUUCGAGCGUAUUUGAUGUGUAUGUAUAUACUGAAAUGAGUCUGGGAAAGAAUCCUUGGUACACUAGUCAGCGCUGUAUGCCGUAAGCCUUUGGCCAGCAUUGAACUUUCACCUAACUACGCAACGGCGGGGACUGAGGACAGCAUGCGCUUUCAGGGGCUUUCAGUUCUUGUGGCAGUUACAGCGUAAAAGAAACGCAAAGUACAGAUGUUGCAACCCCAGAAAAGACGAGUUAAUAGUCUCGUGCCUAAGGCUCGCAGGUAGUCCAAGUAAAAUGUUGCUAUAGACUUGCACUAACUUGGCGCAGACGUCAAAAAUUCACAGUCAGCAUUGGACGGAUCAUGCUAGACAAAAAACGACCGUUGGUAGGAAAGCCCUACUGCCCGCACCUACCGCCCUACCAAUCACAAACUGCGCCUUCGACGCCAUGAGAUGUACACACAGAACACCUAGACAGUAUACAGCCUGCUACCUCACAGUUUCGCUCAUUCCAAACCCCUGCGGUCUUCUAACGGAAAGUCCAAAACAGACCUAACGACCCUAAUACGCAUGUAUUCAUCCUCCUAACUGCUACAUCCUCUACAUGAAAGCCGCGAUUUCCUUGGAUGCCCGCUGCAGCAACGUAAGUCGCUUCUUAACACUCUCGCGCUGCUCGGCGAUCUCCUCGCUCUCGUUGAUUAAGCGCCGCAGCUGUGGCUCCUCCUUGCCCGCCACAUCCUCCUGGAGGGCCAUGAGCAGGCCGCCCUUCGCCGGGAUUACCUACAACGGUGAAACGUAGUGCACAUACAAGGGAACAUUCAGAAAAGUGAAUCGCAACAGUGCCAAUAGCGCUCAACGCCCAGGACUGCUAUAGGACGCCGAGCAGACCUCGGCAAUGAGUGUAAACACCACCUCCGGGGCGCACGGAAAGCAACACCCGGAUGUACAUCCUCGUAAAACGCAUCCUGCGUUUUGGACCCAGCCCUAAUUGGCGCCCGUUCUCGGCGCCACCGCCAGGGCCCUGAAUCUGCCUGCCAUUGGCACGGCUUUGGAGAAACUUUUCGGUUACGGUCACACUGUACGUCUUCAUACGGCCGCCCGAAACUAACCAUGCAAUGCACAAUUGCCUUUGGCACGGUAGCCAGCAUCUGCCCCUUGACGAUGGCCAGGUAGGCGGAGACGUGGUCGCUGAUCUUCUGCAGGUGCGCGUCCGCGACCGGCAGGUUGUCGUACCGCUUUUCGAAGCUGUACGAUAGGGUAAACGGUGAUCAGCGAAAGGAUUAGCACGAACGUCAAAUAGGGUCGCGGGACAUCCUCAAACUCAAGUACAAACAACGGUGCAAGGACCCCCUCCCCAUCCCACGGGACUUCCAAGGACAACUGCUCACGGUAUUAAGGCCCAAGCGUCUACAGAUAAAAGCUAAGUAAGGACCGAGAGGCUUGAUGGCCGAAUCCCACCACCUCGGCAAGUAUUGCCCCACGAUGAUACGACAUCGCUUUUCCUCCGGCAGUCGGGCUGUAGGGUAGAUCAGGCGCCUGUUACCGAACCAUUGGUGCUCUGAAGGCCCCGUGGCCUGCGCCCGAUGCUUUCCCAUACACAUGCUGCAGAACGCCGUAGGAGAGGUACGCAAGAUAGUCCGUGGCAUUAGCUGUUAUCAGCUCUAUCGUGGUAUCAGCUGUACAUGCACUCGGGCCUGCCGGAUGCAGGUGAAUAGCUGGGUGUAUUCCCGGGAGCGCAAUGCACAGUUGCAAAUACUACACGUUGAUGAUCGUCACACUUGUCUUGUAAGCCCAGCUCCGCGCUGCCAAUUUUGUUUACAUUAUGGUCACGAUCGGCUGCACCUAGCGAGGGAACGCAUGUCGGCUAACUCACAGGUUCUCUCCCGAGAGCGUGUAGAACGCGGGCCGUGGCCGUGAGGGAUCGUAGGCGUAGCUUUCCGCAGCCACAAUCUCACGGAAGAAGCUGGCCGAUAGGUAAGAGGCCUCCAUGUCCACAAGCGUACGAACCAUGGCGUCGGUAUCCUUGCGGAGGCGCUCUGUAAUGCGGCCAUGGCGUGGUACAGCAUUGAAGCAAAAGCGGCGGCAUGGACAGCUGUCACUGCUGUUCGCGGUGCGUAUGGAUAAACAUCGGUGCCAAGCCUACAUCGGUGCAGUGCACGAAAAAGGAUUGCGCACCUGUCGCAGCGACGGUCGCCUUUGCGAAAUACCGCUAGGUUGACCCCAGUUCCUAGCCUUGCCAUGUAUCAUGAAGCACCUUGGGAGCCAGAAAGUCCUGUGAUUGCUACCUACCGAGCGUGUUGGCGGCGUGGUUGAUAAUCUCCGAUUUCAAGUUGAAGAACCGCUGCAGGUCUCGGCAGUCCGGCGUGUUGACCGCGAGGGUCACAAUAGCCUUGAGGAUUUGAUGCACCUGCACGCGCAGCGUGACAGUUCACCGUUUGUAGGAGUCCGGGCUGCCCCUUGGGCCUCCUCAGGGCUCGUAUGGGCCCGUCACAUCAGACUUACGCAACUCCAGAGGUUGACACACACACACAACAUUUUGGACUAAAAUCUCCCUGACCCAGUCCCCCUCAUAACGUGCGGCCCCUCGAGCAGGCACUCCGACCGUAAACCUCGUUAGAGAAUUGCCAAAGCUUAUUAAUUUGUGCAUACAAAUACUCUCUUCCCUUGGGCUUAUACCUUCCUUUAGCUGGGAAUUUUACCUUUGGGUUUGGAAAUGCACCAUACUUUUUAUUAUUUUAAGAAAAAACAUCUGAUAAAACAAAACUUCUUACCGCCCGUUGACCGCAAUCCCAAUCAACUCCAUUCCUAUAGGUGUUCCACGACAGGACAACGCUAACGUUGGAACGCAGAACCAAUACAUAGGGGAAUCUCCUUAAGGGUAGGAAACUCCGCCUGCCAAACCUCUCCUUCGCGACCCGAACGCCCACCCCAUACACACCAGCUCGACUGCGUUGAGCGAAGGGUCACGCAGCAACGACAGCCCAUCCUCAAUGAGACGGCGGUAGCCGUUCUCUGGCGCGAUAAUGUGCGGCUGGUAGCCAUCCGCCUCGUUCACAACCAUCUGCACGUUUUUGAGCGUCAGGAUCCGCUGGAAAGGCAACUUGUUGAUGGCCUCCUUGAGCUUGAUCUCAAACACGUCCAGGAUCUUCUCGCCACCUGCGUUAACGGGGCCCACCAGCGCAGUAGAGAAUGACUACCAUCCUCGGUGGCGGCCACGGCGUGACGGUCACAGGCUCUGCCAAACUAAGUGGAAUGAUGUUGCUGCGGAGGUUGGCACGGCCAUGCCUCAGGAUGCUGGCGUAUUCCACCUGCAAAUGGCUCGCUGCUCGCUCGACUGCGCGACCUGUGCCGCGAGGGCACGCGCUCCCCGUAAACCUACUCCAUACCAGAACCACAACCGUGGGUUGCCGCAGUCCCCCACUUACCGUCCUUCCCGCCAUCAACAAUACGCUCGAAGGCCCGCUCCAGUUUUUGGCAUAGCUGCAAUGUCAUGUGCAGCAUAGCGCCACGGCUAUGACUCACGUCGCCGCCGAGUGCCUGCGAGGAAAGGCCGGCGGGAUGGCAUGAGCAGCGUUCGAAAUCGUGCCGCGUGGCAAAUAGACUACAACAAUUAUUACAAUCACGCAACAUGGUUCAGCUGACCGGAACUCCGAAAUGAGAAGUAGUGAAUAUCUUAGCCAAAUCGUUCUUUAUGAUUAUGAGAUAUCGAGCGCUAGGUUGGACGAGCGUGCAAGAGCUGGAUCGGGUGACUGGGACAGCCAUUGCGGGCGCUUGCCGGAACAACCACGAUCGUCCUUUUGCCAACAUGUGCGCUCACCCCACUCACACCCCACACUACACCCCAAUCUUGGGCCAAAAUCCCACACUGCUGCCCAUCCAUACCUGCAAUUCUUUCGUAAGCUUGGCGAUGGUAUCAUCGAUGUAUGAUUGGAUGGACGGAAGGCUCUUCAUGAUCUCAUUAAUCAGGUGGUUGGACAAUUUAUCCGCAAGGAAGGUCGUGCCCGUGUUCUGCAGGUCCUGAUACUCGGGUUUGCCCUGGAAGAAUUCACGCUCUUUUGCACGUGCGUCCUUCAUGGAUACCUGAACGGCGGCGACACAAGGGUGUGUUAGACAUUAACGGCGUGUGCAAAUGCGUUGGGAAUGGGUGCUAGGGAAUCUGGACAAAGAGAUAUCAUUUGACGAACACAGCCAGGCGACGUAAGAGGAUAUAUAGGGCAGGAUCCUUCAACAUGCACAGCCACUGAAAAUGUGUCUGUGUCCCUUAUCUACGAGCCAUGCUAAUGUUGGAAUUUGGAUAAACGAUUCAUGGGUUCUGCAACUGGGCAAUUCAGGGGCUGUGUACACUGGCUGACGGUCAAAAUCGACAUGGCGUAGAUGCCAUGGCCACGGGGUCCGGCCCGCCAGGAAAACCGCAUAACAUCGAACAGCCAGUUGCCCCAGCACCCCAAAACGGAAACGUGGUAACUGCAAUCACUACAAAAUUCCUUUGAAAUUUUAGUAGGGCGGAAGUGCCCAUAAGGAUAUCAGCCUCUGGCACUCCACGAUAUCCCCCGUGCGUGUUCCUUGGUAACACGCACCCUGCUGUUAAUGUCGGCUUGGCCACGAUUCACCACCGCCACCCAGCCGUGCUUGAGCUUCAGCGUCCUUCCCAGCAGCACGUCGCGGCAAUCCGUGCCACGGUCCAUGAUAUCCACCUUCGUCAGCACGCCUAGAAGGGCAUCGGUGUCAAGGGUUACAACUCCUUCAGACCCAGGUCCGGGACGAUGCCGGCAAUCAGACAACAAGGCAUGCGCCGGUUAGCCCAGAUUGGCAGUGAUUGCAAAACCAGCGCAUCAGCCACUCCAUCAAUGGACAGCCGAGCCCGGGCCACGUUAGGCCCGGGCCUGGGCUGUGGUCGCUCCCCUACUAUCCCAUACUACUACGUUCAUGCCGGGCCGUGCGCCGCACGGCAGACCGUUAAGCCUCGAUCGCGGCAAGGUUCCAUCUGGGUCAUUGCCUGAUGCGUUCUACUUGUGUGUUAACACGUUACGGAUGCUUAUCCUAGGGGCCCGGCAGCUUGGCACCGGCGGAUUACUAAUGGAAACCCCAGUGCACUUUGGUGGUGCACUUCGUGCCCCCUUCGUGGGUCAGCGUUGAGGAACCCCGGCUCCGCAGCAGUGCAUUUAGCGACGGGCCUUUCGUAUUUUCACGGUCUAGGUAAAUGCCAUUUGCCAAAAAGAGCGCCAUCGCAAUAUGUCAGCCAAGCCUUCCGGUGGGUGGUAGCUACCUAAAUCUCUGCCCAUACGUUUCCCAGGCGGUAACAUGAGGAGGGAAAUGAAACCCAUCCGCCCUGUAUCCGACAUGUCCUUUAAAAAAUUCGGCAAGAGACCCUCUUCUAUAUGCCACCUCACCAAUGGUGCGAUCGCCGCUGGGGUCCACGUCGCGUGCCAUGCGCAGCGCAUCUGAGGUCGCCAAAUCUGCGUUGGCGGGUGUCACUGCUAGGAUGAUGGCGUUGUCGGACUUCACGUACUGGCGCGCCAUUUCGUCCAGCUCCUGCACGAUACUCGGCGGCUGGCCGUCGAUGGGCACCUUUGUAAGGCCUGCGGUGACAUCGGAGGGAAAGACGAACCACGAAAGAGUGAAUGGAGGGAUGGAAAGAACCGCUGACCCACGCUUGCUGUGACAAGAGUGCACGCCAUGUCUGAUGCAAAGGCAGGCCUCUAAACUGCAACUGCGAUUUUCGCAUGGAAAGUCAUGCUCGGAUGGUAGCAGUUGAACCAUAUUAUUUAGUGUCGUGUUCCGAUAUGUUGUACUUUCGCAGUGUUGUCGAGAUGUGAUCAGAUCGGCUUGCAAGGGGCGGGUACCUGGCAUGUCUACCAAGGUUAGGUUGGGAACGUUGUUGGAGUAGACGGUCAGGUAGAUUGGAUCCGGAGAGACCACUUUGUUGCCCCCCAUCUUGUGGAGGUGCCUCUCGGUUUCAUCCUCGAUCUCCUUGCGAAUGUCCUCUGCACGCAUGGAUUUGAGACAACAGAAAGGCAUAAAGAUUAAUUAAUGCCAGGUGACCCGGCCAUUCGCGCAACCCCGCACAACGGUGUCAGUACACACACUACCCGGUGUCGGGAACACAGUCGUCUAAUAAUAAGAGAUGCAGGACUCAUGCGCAUCUCAACAAGGCAGCGGCAAAAUGGCUCACCAAAGCUGGGAAUCUUGCGACCUGGCGCGUGUGAGAACUCCCCAUAGUCCUGGGCACUAGAGUCGUCAGUUUUGACAAGCUGGAGCACCAGAGGGCGACGCGUGACAAUACCAGUGCCGCGCGGCAAGAAAUCCCUGCCGACAACGGCCUCAAGCACCGACGAUUUGCCCGAGCUCUGCAGGCGAACGAAUAGAUGCGAACGAUCCAAACGUGAGCCGCGACCUUAGCACAUCCUCGCAUCAGAAUAAACUUAGUCCAAGCAUCAUUAUUAAAUAUUGCAUUAAGCGUAGUCGAAAGAUAGUAGUGUGCCCUAGCUCCAAUACCAACUGCUCCCAGCUGCCUUGUCCGGAUACCGCCCAAACCAAAAUCAAGCACCUGGCCGCCCACAACGACAAUAGUUGGCAAUUUGUUCCAGAGAAUGCUUUGCGGGCUAAGCGCGUUGUCGCCCAACGAUGUGCAUAUCUGUUGCAGCUUGUUAACAAGUCCAAUCACACGCUCCAUCUCAAUAGAUUGGCUUCAGGGGCAAAAGGUGUGUAACUUGUGCGGGGAAAACGUGUCGGUGCUCGGAAACACAAGAAGAUGGGCAGACGGACAAGUAGAUACAGUCCAGAACUGUAUGGACAAUAUAUCAAAAGUUCAUCUUUAGAUCACAGUUUCCUAAAAAAUCCGUCUACAAGGGAGGAAGAGGGGUGCGCAGGCUGUUUACAACGACAACCCCCGUACGGCGAAGACUGAAGCACUUUGGGAAGGUAGAACAGCAGUAGUUGAGAUUGAUGUAUUACUGUUGUACACACGGGGCAGUCAGCACAGCUGGCUUUAGGGAACACUUCGUUGUUAGCGUACCGGUUAUUGCAACGGGAACGCGCUUGCUCGUCCAGAGUCAGCGCAGCGUUGCAUCGGCAUAGGCCUUGCAGAAACUGGAUUGAGGCGGUGCGCAUGGCGACAUACAACGAUGAGAGUGACGCGGGCUUCUUUGAUGACUUCAACAGGGACCCGGACAAGCAGGUAUGCGUCAGCUAUCCUUCUCUUCAAAUUAUUAAAUACUGGGAUUUGGCUGAAUGGGCCAGCUAGCCCCGCUUUGUCUACCGUAACCAGCUUAACGAAGUGCAGCUGCUUUUCUGCAAGCGGCCAAGUAUCAAUAGGUACCCCGCAACUGUCACUGUCACUGCCAGCAUUCUAUAAUUCUACAUCUCGGCAAAGCAUCGUUUUUCUGAGACGCCUGGCUUUACGGCAGGGGGCCCUCCCUUCCCGUUGAUAUCAAAGUCCAACCGCCCAACUGAACGCCUUCUACGAUGUAAGUCCAGUAGUCAGCUCAAGGGGCCAACCUCGCGAUGUAACUCCUGCUCGUAGUGCCGUACAUUCUGCGCCGGUCCGACAGCCACGCUAUUGGCUUCGCGACUAGCAAACGCGCAAGUCCGCAAGAACGGAAGAGGCACACAUGGCCCAUGUGGGUGCAGUACCAGCUCCGUCCUUACUUAAACACGUGCUAGUAGGCUGUUUGCCUUAAGGCUUGAGACUUGUGUGCUCCAACGUUACGCCGGGAGGUACGCGCACGGAACCGGUUUACCGACCGACCGACCAACCAGGUUUCUUCUAAACCCGUUCCUCAAACCUACUCUCAGCGCCAACACGAGCCUUCCCUUGUGUGAAAAAGCACUUCCCUAGGCACUGCUCGACACAAAUCGAUCCGGUCAGGAACUCCGAGUUUUCGCACACCCUAUCGUCGUCCUAAUCAGGCCCCUAUCACAUUCACCUCCGUAGUUACACUUAACACAGCGAAUCACAUGGCCGGAAAAUUGAAGGUAUGAGUGAACGCUAGCAGCAGCCACGGAUUCUCCAGCAGCACACAAGGUGUCUAGCAGGACAGGGUGUUACUACCCUGUUAGCCAUCAUGCUCUGUCCUCUGUGCCGGACUUCGCCUCGGCAAAAGCACCACAGCCACCGCGCGGCGCGUGGCAGCGCACGGCGGUUUUCACUUUUCAAGCCUCUUGGCCCGUGCAGGCCGUGAUGGAAGAUGUCAACCGCAAGCUCUGCGAAGCCCUCACAGAGCUGGCGGAAAACAUCGUCGAUGCGCUGGUCGAGGCAGACGCCAGGGCGGCGAAGGGAGUGGUAGCGGCGGCGGCGGCGGCGGCGGCUCAGCGGAACGUGGGCGCCGACACCGAAGCAGCGGAGGAAGAGGAGGCAGGGGUCUCGUCAGGGGACACCGAGGAGGUGGCCUGCAUUGACGAGGUCGCGGCGCUAGCAGCAUACAAUGACGCGCUCUCUGCUAUCAUGCGGGAAAAGAACGUCACCAGCAAGGUAUGGCACGAAGACAAGGACACCCAUUGCUGUACAUGCUGCUCCAUUCGCCGCCGCUCCAAUCCAACAAUUGUUUCGGUGCGAGGGCUGUUAUCCGAGACACAGGCUUGGGAUUGGGAACCGGGGCGUAUCUGACCUCACCCUCAUGCUCGCCUGUCAUGACAGACAGAAACUGUCCGCAAUACGCAGCACGGAUUGCUACCGUACUGCUGGUCACCUGCCGUACUUGAUGCCGUACGGCCGCUAUGCAGGAUAUGUGUGCACUGCCUGAUGAGCACCCUUUGAAGGAGCUAUUCUUUUCCGCGUUUGACGAGCAGUUGUUCCACGACUUGCUAGAGCGCUUCGUCAGCCAGGUACGUAACUUCCUCGUGGUUUUGGGUCAGGGGUUAGCUUAGAGUUGGUGAUGAGCUAAUAAGCUUAUGUGAUUGGAAGUGUGCAUGAUGGGCUGAUGUUGCGGAUUGGCUGGCGUGGUGGGCUGGUUAGGGAUGGGCAUUGCGAUGAGGUCAGAUUGGUCGGGGUGAAGCGGAGUGUUUGCCGGGUUCUCGCAGGGAGUGCUGGGUGCCGUAUGGGUGCAUAUGCGUAUGGGUGCCGUAGCGUUCAUGGACGUCUGAUGCGGUAGAGACACGGGCUGGCUGUGGAUUUAUUUGCGGACUUCAGCAGCAGACUUAACAUGUGGCUGCUGGAGCCAUCGCAGAAGAGCAUCCUUCUCUCUUGAUGUGUCUCUCACCCCCUCUCUCUCUCUCCCUGUCACUGUCUCCACACUGUUUUUACCUCUGCCGGCGUACCCUGAUCGGUGGCCCUAGCUGGGCUGUGUGAACCGUGCUUGCCUCACAUUCGAUCUGCCGUGCCGUCAUGUCUCGGACCCGCACGGGGCCACUUAUUAAUCGGGCCGCAGGUACGCAAUCGCAAAGAAGGACCUGGGGAUUGGGAUGCAGAGGCCGCGGACGGCGAGUGCGAUGAGGACCACACGCUUGAGUGAACUGAACCCGGAUGAUGCGGGAAAGAAGCUUCUAGCCAACGACACGGCCAGCCGGCCAGCAAACUAGCUAACGAAAUCCAUCAACCAUCCGGCCAACAAGCCGGCAAGGCAACCAGACAGGACCAUAGGCACGUCCAUGCGGCUUCGAACGGUCCCAGCGAGCCUGGGCGGACCGGUAGCGUGGUGGUGUAGCCGGCGUCGUCAUGGCGGUGGCUGUAGCGGCGUGCGGCCGGCUGCACAGCCUUGGAGCUGGCUAGCUGCGGGAAGGCAUGCGCGGGUAUCUCCAAUGUCCCAUGGUAUCCAGCUUGCAUGGCGCUGUUACACUUGUAACUCGCCCGAGCCCAGCGCCGAGCCUGGGUUACGCGGCUCGGUAAUCCUUUUGAGCCGCUAUUAUUUUGCGGCUCAAUGGAGCCGCCAAGGAGACGUUUGCGGCUGUGGAAGUUGUUGGUUGGUGGGCUAGCCAGCUACGUUAUGGCGACUAGCAAGCCAGUGGUAUGCUUCCAUCAGGCCCUUCGUGCCGCGCCACCACGCACCAGCAACUGGGCAUGUUUUCAUAGCCUUUGGGGGCCUUGGUAAACUGUUGACAUUUUAUUCGUUCUGAAUUCGUCUUGGUCGAGUAAGUUUGUGUGAAUGUGUGUGUGUGUGUGCAUAUCUGGGCUGACACCUCAAAGCUCUGAUACCGGCGACAAAGCUGGCGACCGCAUCCGAUUGUCUUGUGUGCUAUUAAGUCACAACUUCCGCACGAAUGCGGGGUUGUCUGUCAAAAAAGCCUGGGGCCCAUGGACGAUAUAUUAAGUGCAAGGGUGUAUGAUGAAGGCGAUCAACGAGCAGUUGAUCAACGGAUUCGCGGACUCAUUAACUUAGGCUAUCAUCAAUGGAGGGAGACUUGCGCGGCCGUUGUCCGAACAGGGGGCAAAAGGCAAGGGGCCAAACACGUCCAGCCACAAAUCCCUCGCCGCGGUUGACCUCCAGGGCUGCGAAAUGCCUUGGGCGCGUGGGUGCGCCUCGCCCGACAGCGCGUUGGGCCCUACUCAAACUCAAAGAAUCACGCGCCGCGCACAUGCACGACACAUCCUUCACAUCCCCGCGCUUAAGACGAGCGGAUGCACACGCAUGGCUCAAGGGAGCACCGGCGCUGCGCAAAACACUGUACAGGCGUGCGAUAACCCGAAAAGGUACCAAGGCGAGGGCCUCGUACCACGUUUAUGAUGUGUUUUGUUCUCUCGGACUUUGGGCAGGCUUGCGCUCGGGCUGGCGCAAGAGCUAAUGGUAUAGCAACCUUCAUCGUCUGUGGUGUACGGCUAAGCGCAACUUGGGUGUCGUAUUAGCGAUGUGAUGAACGGGAUGGGGGAUAUGGUUGCGGUGCAGGGGGUGGCCGUCCACGACGCGAAAAGGGCGUGCCAGGCAUGCCCAAGGGGCAUGUGAUGUAGCCGAGCGAGGACAGAUCCGUUGGCUGCGUGCGAGUGCGGCGUGCUGUGAUGCAGUCCAGCCGGAAUUGUGACACAUGUGUUAUAGUACAACAUCAUGUAGUACGGUACACUCGUAGUACAGCGCACGCUGUAGUCCACUACAUCGCAUUAGAUCACACUGUUGUGCCGCACCAUGAAGUGCAGUACGAGCGCCUCUCCUGGAGGAGGUUCACCGUAAUCUAAUGCUAACGUGCAAUCCUCCUUGCUAGUGCUGCGUGGUUCCGGAGGCCUAUGUUGUGGUGAUGCUCCAGCGAGUGUAACUCAAGUGAUAAAUGACGCUUGCGUCUUCAUCAGUUUGUGCGACGGUUGCAACUGCAACCGUUAGGGAAGUGUUCGUACUCUUUCUCAAGUUGGAUGUUGCAGGACUGGACCGGGAUGUGAUUAAUGAAUUGCUAUGCAUACGGGACCUUUCUUUGUCGUCGGACAGGAUGACGCGCCAACAACGUGCGCGCUGCCGCCGACGUGUGUGUGUGUGUGUGCGAUCCACGUGAUACCUUUUCAUAUCUUUCCCGCGGGCUACAAUCGUGCAACCGUACAAUCGUGGCUUCUUUCGCGUGCGUACCUGUGUCGUUAGUGGUUCCUUAUUUCCCGCCUGGUGGUUCCGUACGCCGUUCCUGGCUCCUUCCAUGCAUGGCUUCAUCCACCAGCCGUGCUAAUCCUCCACCUCUGACAGCCUCUGGCCGUCUUAUCUCCGAUUUAUCCUUCGCUAGUGCGCUCUUGCUUGCUAUCGCCUGGAUCUACAUACAGUUUAGCUUGCCGGCGCAGGGGGACUUAGGGGCGUGUCCAGUUAGCCACCGGACCGAAAAGUAAGCUGCUCCGCGGACAGACAGACAUCUGGGAAAGACGAUUUUUCACGCUUUGCGGUUUUCGUCUGGCGCGGCGCACGGCGGUCGGUCGUGCAUCCAGUAGUUGCCCGUGAUGAUGGCGGGGUUGAGGAAUGGUGGCGGUGUUGUUGUCGUUGAUGGCGACGAUGGACAAUGACGAUGGACAAUGACGAUGGACAAUGACAAUCACAAUGGAGAAUGCCAGGCAUCCAAUGAGCGCAGUGGCAUUCGAGUUGGGCUACGAAAGGUCUUAAGGCAGGGCGUGUGUGAUGUGCGCACGUAUGUAUGGCGCUGGGGGCCUGCCGGCGAGGCUGGCCUGCAUCGUUGCUCUUGCGUGGUGGUAAGCGCCGAAAGAAGCACCCUCGCAGGACUGCGUUAGAUCUACCAAAGCGAUGCGGGAGGAAGGCGUACAAGUGGUAAACAGCGGUACGGGACAGAUGCUUAACGCACCGCCAGCGCAAGCAACGUUGCGGGACCUCGCGACAUGUCAGCUCAGCCGGCAAAUGAUGCUGGGGACACAGCUUACCCGGCAAUUUUUGCGUCCCUGGAUAGUUCUGUCCUCCCUCCCUGCUUGUAUUCACUUGUGUGCGGAACUUGUAACUUGUAACUUGCUUGUAUUCACACUGUUGGCUUAGGAGCCACCCUUUUCAUGACCUCAUUUCUUUUCCCCCCUACAGUAUGUUAUGUGUAGAAACACCCUGUAGAAGCAAAUGAAGUUGGUUCUGCACUUCUCCCUUUGUAACUGAGCUCCGCUGGUUCCAAUCAUCCCUCAGCUGCCGGCCUUGGAACGGCGAGUUUGGCACUGAAAACUACAACACCAGCGUUGGCGCGCUCGCAGUGUGCUAGGCAACGGGAGGGAGAACCGCUGGGAACGGUUCACCACCCGUGGGCUUGUAGCAGCAGUACGGGCUUGUACUUGCCGGUGUGCAGGCAGGCCACGUCUGAAGGGCAUUUCGACGCAAGUGGGCAUUUCGACGAGGGAGAAUCUCGUUGCGAUUGUCAUGCGUAGCUUUGCCAUAGCAUGCGUACCCGGACAGAUGCAGUCAGGGACGUUGUUGGGAUGGCAGGUGACGGCCAAGACAAGUACGCGAGUUACAGUGAAACAAAGCUUUUGUCCCAAUUCCUAGUGAGACCUGGACACUCGCCCCAUGGCCGGCCCUGACAGUUGCUCCUGGAACUGCAAGGAUAGUUGACAGCUCUUUGGAGCGCAUCGUCAAGUUCCUCUCACCAGACGAGAUGCCAUGCAGUCAGGGUUCGGCGGGGAGGUCUUAACGAGGAUAGGAGAAGGGCAGAGGGCAGUUUUGGCAUUCUGGUGCUCGCUUGGUGUGCGCCCAUUGAAGGCCAGCGUGGAGAGUGGCUAGUUAAUCCCAGCGAGAUGGGUUUGAGUGGGUAAGAACUGGUGUAAGGUACAAGGUGCUACGCAUACAGGUUGCAGGUUAAGGAAGGUGUGUUUUGUGGCAGGGAGGAUUUUGAAAGGUCAGGGGUAGGCACAGGCGUUUGUGACUCGGCGUAUGUCCAGAAGUGCACGGAUAUUUAAGGUGUUUCAGCCGUUAGCAAGCGUCCGGUAGUCAGCUGGGCAUGUGCUGCGUAGCUAUUUCUUGGCCUGGCAUACAGGGCCAGAGCUUAGCGAGUCUGCUUGACGUUCUUUCGCGCACAGCAGCCCCGUUUGCACAACGAUGGUCAAGCUGGAGCAGCAGGUUCCCUCCAGGUUCCAACGAUUGGCAAACUUAAGACGUGACCGCAUUUCGUAAAAGUCCUCGAGAACUGGCACCUAUGCCCAGGGUCUUUUUUUAAGAAACGCUAGCCGCCGAACGGCGUCUCAUACCUCUAUCAAGAGCUCCUUCCCUACUCAAAUGCCUCGCCUUCCUACAAAAUUAACAUGAUAAGGUCAUAUGCGAAAGAUCCUAGCAGACAGGCCCAAUAAAAAAAGUAAGGUGCUGUUUAUGGGCACCUAGCUGCCGGCGCUUAAAAACAUUGUGAAGAGUGUGACGGGAACUUUCGUUGCAAGUAAUCACUGGGUCUCGCGAGAUACAUCAAUGUAGCUGUGUCAGCGCCGGUUCGCUUGCGGACUGCUUUGCAAAGUCAGGAAAUUGCAUUGCUUUUCGGUACACACUGUUGACUGUAAAUCUGCACCUUAGACGAAACCAAUUUUCGAAGGAGACUUGACCAACUUUCCCGCAGUGCCGUACUGUGUCACCGAAAAAACUUUUCAGUCCUGCUCGUCACCGUCAUAUCCCAUCAGGACCAUUAAGUAGCUUAUUGGCUGCAAGCAUAUGUAGAUACCUUUCUCUUGUCGUAACCCACAACAUUUGCACCCGUCAAGUAGACCUAAACACGGGGCGCGGGGUUAGGCACGAGCUAUCAGGCCAUCUCUGCAGUUUUUUAAGGCUGGUAUGAACUAAGAGGUCAUCUCUACCGACUUCUUGCCUGAAGGAGCAGAGGCCUGCCUGCGUACUGCUGGGACGCGGAGGUGACGAUGGGCUCACUGUUCUCAAAGGACAAGAAGCAAAAGAAUGAGGAGCGAAAGGGAAUCGGUUCAGCGCCUUCUAGGUUGGAGGGUCUUGAUGGAACGACGCCCCCUGAUGUCCCUGAGGUCCCGAAGCGAGCGCUUACCCCGGACACGGCGUCGAGGCAGAAGUCCGUCAGCCCCGUUGCAGUAUCCGCUGCAGCUGAUUCACCAUCACCAGCUUCGACAACUUCACCAACCGAGGAGAAGGUAUGUGCUUACUACAACAGUUCGUCAAAGUGCAACGACUUAGAAAGCCCUUGAGCAUAGCUCGGUACUAGCUCUGAACCGUACGUAAGUCCUAAAAUGGUUUAGUAGAAAACCUAACAAGUAGAAUGUGACUUGGCUCUGUGCCUCCAAGCCUGACGGUUGGUCGCAUGCCUCAUGCAGAAGCUGCCUCUGGUAGCCCGCGAGGAGUCGUCACGUGCGCCUGGCCUUGCACCUGGGGCUCGUGGUGUGUCUCAGGCUGAGCCUGAGGAAGCGCCAGAUGAUGCACUUGAGCCCUCGUCAGAGGCAGAGGCUUCAGCCCCUCCUCUAGCAGCUACCGAGUGCCAAACGCCAACCAAGCGAGCUCCUAAGAAAAUAGAUUAUGUGGGCGCACAGUCGGAUGGCACAAAGCUGGCUGCGGACCUGCCAGCGGCCGUGCAAGUGCCUGAGGAGGCUUCGGGGUGGACUGCUGUCCUUGGUGAAAGCACAGUGCGCAGCCUUCAUUCCCCAGACUGGAAAACGCGUGAGCAAGCGCUGCAGGCUGUCAUGCGCAAUCUGGGCAAUGCGCGAUUCAAUGCGGAGCAUGGAGCGGAGGACAUCUGGAUAACUGUAACCCAGCUGCUGGAUAAGGCGCUGAAGUACGUGUGUCGGGAGCCGGGACUGGGGACUGGGGGGACGAGCUUUAGACGGGCCAGGGAACACAACUUCAGAGAAUGAGGUCGCGGCAGCUUGUCGCAACCCUCGGGGGGGAUGAGCUACCGGGAUGUUGGGGUUUCUACGGUUUGUCAGCCGCCGGUAUGCUAUGCAGCUUGCAUGCUUGGGAUCCGCGUGUUCUCCUGUAGCUCGCUGACAUAUGGCGAUCCAGAUGGACCAUGUUCAGGGCAUACUUCUAGGCCCGCGGUCUCCGGAGUUCCAGCUAGUACCUGCUGAAUGCAUCCGACGCCGGUUUCGUCAUCGUCGCGAUUUUCCAUCCACAGCCCGUCCCCAGAUAACCCCUGUUGUAGGCCUAGGCAAAGGAGUUUAUCCAGGGUCGUCUGAAGUGUGGCUCACCCACCCAUUCCGUGUGCCGGCCCGCCCUUAGGGACAAGGUUGCGCCGCUAUACUAUUCGGCUCUGGAGUUGCUCUCGACGUUGGUGUCCAGCUACUCCACCCAGUUACCAUUUAGCGUCCUCUCGCAAGGCCUCGAGCCGCUGAUGCCGACCUUGCUGCAUCGAGUAGGCAACAAUAAUGCUCGUAUCCAGGUAAGCGUGUGCCCUGCCGGUUAGUGCUGAUGUGCAAUGGGAGGCUGAUUGUAUCCUCGUAGCAAACCCCCUUGACGACGGAAACAGCGCCUAUUGGUUGGGAGUUUGCUUAUUGAGUCGUCUGUGUUUUGGGGGUAAAUAUGAUGGCACCGUGAGCGUGCUCAGCGGGCUUAAGGAAUCAUUGCAGACCGUUAUGUCAGGGGGUUAUCCCUGUCGUGAUCAAAGAGUCGGCUGAUUUUUGUGCUCUUAUUUAUUUGGCCGCGGUGUGCGAAACAGGAAACGUCCAUCCAGGCCUUGCUCACUCUCGCCAAUCAGCCCUCGCUGGGGUUGGCGUUCCUGGCCCCCCACGCAUUGAGCGCUAUCCCCAAGAAGUCUCAGAUGGGCGCUGCUGCCGCCUCCCAGAUGGCUGGCCGGCUGGAGCUCAUCACGUGCAUGCUCAAUGUUCAGGUGCGGGUGCGGAGGUACUUUAUGGUAUUGCACCAUUUCAUCCGUUUCGUUGGGUGGCCAUGACCGUGGCUGUGGCCAUGGCUAUGGCGGGGUUUGUGGAUGAGGCGCUUCAUAUCUGCAGUAGCGGAUUCCGGCGGACGGCAUCCUUCCGCGGCCUUUUGCCUGUUAAGCCCUUUCAAAAGAGUACAGCAUUCGGCUUGCCUCUCCAACAUACACUGUGCACGGCUUGCGUUGACUGGUCCCACCGACGAUCCAUGGACGGGAGUACGGCGGACCCUGUGUGGUGGCUCGCGGACUUGUGGGUGCAAACCCUCCACAUCAUUUGUUGAGCAGGCUUGUUGCUGCCCCGUCUCUUGCUUGUCAGCAGGUGCAGCAACAAAUGGGCUUUGGCACGGCGGGGCGCACGGCGGGGGCUGGCGGACGCGGCGUGCCGGAUGCACUGCCAGCCGAGGAGAUUGUGUGUUUUACGCGACCAGCACUGGAUAUGCCGGACGACAAGGUCCGCGCCGCGGCGGUGCGGCUUGUGGCGGAGGUGUACCGCGGCCGCAAGGCGGCAGGACAGGCGUUUGAAGUGGAAAAGAUGCUGGGCGGCGGCGUCAAGCCUGCGUUGCUGCAGGUGCUGCACCGCCGUUUCACGGAAGUGGACGAAGAGAUUGCGGGCGGGGGCGCACGCGCAGCUGGCAACGAGGACGUGCCCGUGGGCCCCGGCAUUACCAUCAAGGCGCCAGGCUCCGGUGGCCGUGCCGCAACGCUGCCGCCGCUGAACGGCCGAUUUGGGGCGUUGCCGGCGCUGGCGGUCAAGGGCAGCCGGCCCGGCGCGGGUGCCCUGGGCGGACCGCCAUUCAGUGCAGGCAAUGCCGGGACUGGGGGCCUGGCGGCUUCAUCCUCGGACCCGCUGGGCCGACCGCCUCGGACGCCGCUAUCACCCGGUAGCGCCGGAGGAUCGCGCGGCGGCCGCACGCCGCCGCGCACAGGCGGGCCUAGAGCGCCGUCGCCCAUGCGCGGAGGCUCGCCCAUGCGGGCGAGCCGCGGCGACCCCAUGGCUCCUGGUGCACUCCUGCCGGGAUCUUUGCCCGACAGCGACGGAGCCGACGUGCUGAUGAUUCAGUCGGGCACGUCCACUCCUGUGCGUGGUAACAGCAGCCAAUCGGUGCGCAACACCAGCAGCCAGUCUAACAGGGGGCACAACUCCCUCAAGCCGCGAAGCCGUGAGAGCUGCACGGGGCGAGGCAACCAAUUGGACGAUGCGGAGGAACAGUUGAUAGAGUACAUCCUCAAUGAUGAGGCGCGGGCAGCAGCAUGAGUAUGGGCCAGUAGUCGACGCUGCGCUCGUGCCGAGGGGGCAUGGCCUGGCGUGGUCGCGGCAGCGAAAUGGCCAAGGGACCGGACGCGUCUUGCGGUUUAGGAGAAGGGGCCGGCAGCAGCUCCCGCCCGCGGAGCACGCGUUGUAUAUUUGGCGGAUCCAGUAGGGUUGACUUCUUGCGUGUGGAGGAGGUGCGUGUGCUGGCAACUGGGGUUAGCCGUCGUAACGCCAUAGCAGGGGCUGUUACGGUCUGUUGAUGAAGGUGGGGAUAUGUGGUAGGGGCAGGCAGGCCAACGGGGAGAGAUGCUAUUAGACGAACUAGGGUCCCCUUGUGAAGACGCGUCGCUGUUGUCCUUGGGCCCACGUGUGCGCGCUUGGGUGCAUGAGACAGCGAGGGGAGGAAGAGGUGCACAGCGGGGUGUACAGGCAAGUGCCGUGUUGGGAAGAGUGGCACUGAUGACCGGAAGCUCCAUGCUGGCGCCCGCCCGCCGGCGCCGGUGAUUUCUGAGCGCACGGUGAUGAGCGGAAACCGCUGCUGCAAAACCGCAGAGGCCGCUUGUGUUUGCCUUGCGGGAUCGUGUACAAAGACUAGGUGCUAGGUGUAAUAUCAAGUGGUAAUGCAGAUAGGUAGGGGGGCGGCUGCGGAGGAACGUAUUGACGACGCGCAUCCCUCUCCCCUGCUCUCUCCCUCUUGCGGGAGGGAGCAGAAGCGGUUGUGCUCGGACCGGCGAGCGGAAGACGGUAGCCAGGCCAGGGGGAAAAUCGGACUGGGCUGGCAAGACUGAGAUGGCAAAGACCCACUGGGUGUGAGCCCAUUUUCGUUGAGUUUCAACUGUUAACCGUCAACCUUUGUCAGCUGUCAACAUAUUGAAUGCCCCAGUCUAAACGAGGUUUUUCGUAAACGCCGUAUGCGCGUGCAUGCAUUCGCGAAUGCAUGCACGUUCGCAUAAUUAGUGCAGUAGCUAUUUAUCAUAAGCUGUAGACGCAUUCGUGCUCGCGCCUCGUAGCAGAGCGAAUUGAUUAGGUUUGACCAGAGCCAUGGCGUCGCAUGACUUUGGGGGGGAGGCGACAGGCGAAGUGCGUGCUCAAGUACUGGACACGGAAUUCUUGGCGAGAGCGUCCCGGGACAGAAGCUACUUAUCACAACAGGGCACUGUGUGAUGUGUCCAGCUGUUACUAGGGCGACACCGCGGUACCCGACCGUGGGGAAGACGUCGGGCUUGGCUAUGACGUUAGUGGUGGUGAGCGAGUGAGCGUUGUCUGGUUGUGUGUGUAUGUGUAGACGUGUAUAUGUGUGUGGAUUGGGAAAUGGGAUUGGGAUGAUGCCAAGCGUCCAGCUCCCAAGAUCUGCCCUGCCGGCUUUGUCCUUCCUGUUCUGUCAUGUCAUGUCGAUGUCAAUGUCCAUAAGUUAUCUCUGGGUCCGCCCCUGUGACCAAUGACGCCGGUUGCACCGUUCACGCGUGUCCGUGUUACUAUACCUAAAUUGCGUAUUGAAAGCGUGGUGAUCUCACACCGAUAGACGGCCCCGCCAGAUUACAUACAGUCAGGUUAAAGUGCGUAUCCUACUAGGUGACAGAGCUGUGUGCUACCACCGCUUCUACAAGCGAAGGAAGCUAUGCGGCGGGCUAGCGGCCACUGUGGCUGUUGGUUGACAGGGGCCCGCAAAAGGAAGCGAGGACAGGACAAGGUAAGCAGGACGCUGGGGCUAUUGUACUGACUAAGAGGUAGGGUGGCAGACAGGAUGAUGAAGCGGAAUACAAUGUCAGGUGGCAUUCAAUGUUAGUCAGUCGUGGCAGGGUAUGCCCCGGCAUAGGAGGGGCUUAGCGCAAUCUGGUUUGCGCCUCCGGGCGGUGGCGGCACGGUUGACGCCUGGUUUCGGAGCGCACCGCUCUGCUGAUGGACUCCAGAAUGUCCUGACGGCUGAGUUUUUUUAUUUUUAUUGACGUUCUGUUCCAUCGGGGCCGCUGGCCAUCCGGAGUUGGUGCUUUCCCUUUUUCGAUGCGGGCUAACUAUUGACCGGUGAGGUUUAAGGCUGCUGACGGAAAACCUUGCCGCAAGCGCGGGUUGGUGCGUUAUGAUGUGUUGCGUGUGUUUGCGCAAAAAGUGUGUGUGUGUAUGUAUAUAAAGUGUGCGUGCAACGGCGAGAGUGCUGUUUGCAUUACGAAGCGUUUCCGUGGGGAAGCGAAGCACUGAGCCUUUUGGUUGUACAAACACCGCCUCUGCCGCAGGGCUCUUUGGGUUUGGCAGUUGCAGGGCUUGCCGGAGAACCUUUUAGGGUCACAGGAGGUGGUUUGAUGUGGCAGCAAAGACUGUGUCGUGUUUUUGUUUUGCGGUGAGCCUGCAAAAGAUUUAAUUGUGGCGGUGGUGGGGUCCGACAUCCGAAGCGAGCGGGAUAAUGGGGACGCCGCUCCUCCCUCACCGCGAGGAGGCUCUGUGACAUAAUUUAUCUGCGGGGUGUGUGGUACCGGUACCGCUUACCGCUAGUAGGGCUUAGACCGCUCAUCAGGGUUGGGAGUACAGUCUUUUUGACAGGCGUAUGCAGAAGUCAAGUAGUAGUAGGCAGAAGAUGCAUCAUUGACAGAAUAACCUGGCGCCGAUUUGCGCUAUGGCGGCGGUAUGGAGAGGAAAAAAACCUUUCUCUUUGUUAUUAAGCAUAAGGCCCGACCGCCAGACGGUUGGGUUCGUCAUUGAACCGGCCUUUCUUACUGAGUUAACUGUGAUCUCUACGCAGCUGCACUGUCUGGGCUUUGGGUUUUGAGCUGAAAUAAGUUUUUCAGGCAUGCGUGGUGUUCGGUCGGAACGGCGGCCCAGCACAGCAGGCUGGCCUCCCUCCCCUUCAUGACCUAACAUCAAGGGUCACGGGACACCACUUGGCCAGCCUCCCGUUAUUUCACCACUGGACAUCGGCCUGAUUCAUAUACUGAUCUUCAGUUCAGGUCUUAUGUAGCCGGCGCCGGCGGCGGUGCGAACCCGCCGUGGGCAGCUGGUAUGGAACGUAAAGCGCUGGCAGUCCAUUUUGUGGGGUCGGUGUCCGCGAGCUUAGCACGCCAUAGAGUGGAUCCUUGUUGCGGCACAACAGCACUGGUUUGGUCUAGGAUACUUAGGUCAUGUUCUCGUCCCGACAACGACAGGCGGUUACCCGACUCUUGAGGGAAGGGCGGCUCGACAUCCUGCCAAAGAGGGCGUUAAGCCGCGACGAGUGAUGCCAACAAACCUGCAUUCAUGGAAAUAAACGCGUUAAUUAAAAAGUACUAAGGUUCUUCUCGGCGAUGGUAAAAACCACGAAAUGCGUUCUUCAGUUGCGCACAGCGAAAAAACUCCAACUACCGGAAAACAGACUUGUAACCAUGUUGCCCAGUUCCCCGUGUGCCCGAAAAAGCGAACUUCAGGAACCAAAUGGAGUCCCCCAGAUUGGCAACAGAUUAAAGUUUUUCGGAUAACCUGUAUGGUGUGGGCUGCUGUAAGGGUUUUCCUUGCCACCGCUCAAACGGCGACAAAAGCUUGCUCAUUGAGUAACGUGUGUCUGACGCAACGAGACCUACUUGCUUGAACUGUCACCCGCGCUCAUGUGCACAUGACGGAGUUUCGGCUGUCGGUUACCUUGUUACCAGUUACGACUUGCUACUGCGCGGGCGCAGAAAGGGUGCCACAUUCCUUUUCAAGUUUUACUUCGUUUUAUACUUGGCUUCAAAAACUUACGUUCGAUGGCUAAGAAAUCCAUACGAGAAUGCAUGGUGCUCUGAAACUCCUGGACGUGCAGCAUUAGGGUGGUUGAAGAUACUGAAGCUCACCCAUUUGCCGUUUUCCACCGUGUUGCAAUGACAUUGACUUCUUGCUAAAAGACCACAUUUUUACACGAGUGGCUGUACGCCGAGGAGGGAACAGCCGUGAGAUGGACCGCCCUGGAAGCCCCAGGGUGCGCCAGCUGGGCUCAAGCACAACGUACCUCCAUUCCAGCUCUCCAGUUUUAUCACCGCGGAAGGCCAGCUUAUCCUUGGGACGCGUUGGCGCUCCGGAAAGGACUGAUGUGCCACCAAGACCCAGUUUAGGUGCGCUUGCUGUUACAAAGUCAAGUUUAAAAAGCAUUAAGGGAUAUACAGAUUAAAAAAUCCUGAGAUGUGCCUUGACCUUCGUCGCGGGUUGACGCCCGCCUUGCGUAGUUCAAGAACACCUAGAACGCUUCAAGGCUUCGCUGCAAGAUCCAGACUUUCCAGCUGGACAUAACGCAAGGAAAAAGGUUACCAAGGCGUAUCCCUCCAGCUCGGUCGACAUUGAGCCCCAGGUAAGCCCCAGAGCGAGCUAGUAAGCCCAUGGCACACGUAUAUGAACUUCAGUGCCUUUCAUAAUGCUCUUCGUGAGUUCUGAAUAUACUUAGCUAUUUCUUGCUCCUAGCUACUUGCCCUUGCUGCGCGGCAACACAACCAGCCGGCGAACCUACUGUACUUACCCGCUUUCGCCUCCUUUUCCAUCCCCUCGUCUUUCGCACCAUUCACUAUCUUCCACGCUCUGUAUGCUACCCUAGUUUUAACAAAUCACUGCGGAGCGCUCCGCCGUCGACACAUGAAUGCCGCUAUGCCAUGGCCAUGCCGUGGCUUGUAGGUAGGGGGUAGGGACUAUGUAAAUAACCAACCACAGGCGCGUUGGCGUCGGUGCACCACGGGCCCCCAACACCUUAUCCCAUCGAUGCCCGUCUGUCACAGCAAACAGCUCGGGGCAACCCUGAACCGCCCUGCCCUUCCCUGUCCCUCUCCUCCUCGACCCGCUCCCCCUCCUAUCCCCUCCCUAUCAUACCCCCACUUUAACAGCUACGUGCCAUGGGCGCUAUCAGUCAGGAGCGCAAGGCGGUGGACAACAGCUCCCCCUUAGGGCCCCGACAGUAUUGGGAGAAUGCUCGGCCCGCACCGGGGGGUCCUCCGCCGGUAUCCGGGGAGUAUUUGGCGGUGAGGGGGGGGAAAGGGCCGGGUGGGGGGGGGAGGGGAGGGGAGAAGCAUGUGGAGAUGAAGGAAGAGGAGGGGCCACCAGCUGUAGAAGGGGGGAAAAGGGAAAGAGAACGCUUUGCCUGCCGACUGUGUAUGAACAUGCCGCCCGAGGGAAAAGGGAAGGGGGGAAAGGGGGGACGGGAGAGGAGAAAAGAGGGAAGCCACUUUGGCGCGCACCUUGCCGCAUCACAAAGGCAGGCGUAUAUGCUUUGAAUAAGUACCCGCGACCCACCGGCCGGCCGCCGGAAUGGGGCUGAAACACACUCGCUCACGUGUGCUGGUGUGUGCGGCCACACAUUCCUCCUCAGAAACUGGAUUGCGGCUUCAACGGACACCGCGGCGGCGGUACCGCUGCCAGGAUCGCCCUAUUGUCACAGCUGGGCCCCAACGGUGGCGCUCACGACGCACGCAGCUGGGGCCGUCGUGUGCCGCCCACUAGUGUGCUAUGGGCGGACAUUGCGGAGCUGCGCGGGGCACGGCGAUUGCGGCAGUACAUUGCGGAGCGCAAACGGGAGGGCGAGUCGCCGCUGGAACGUGAGCGAGGGACCCAUGGGUCGGGACGUCGUGUGAACCGUUGCUCUAUGAGGCAAUGCCGCUCCAGGGCGCUCUCAUUCAUUUCCGGCCGGCCACUGGUAGUGUGCCGUGUGCGGUGCAGUGGAUGACACAGUUGGGUUGGUCUUAAUUUGUUGUUGGGGACGGGAGACCCUAACGAGGGAUCGGCGUUCGUCCCGUGGUAGAGAGAGAGGGAGAGAGAGACAGAGAGAGAGAGAGAGAGACGCUGAACCUAAGCCGUCAUCCUGCCGCCGAUGCCGCCGUACUGACCCGCCGCAGUGCUCACUGAUAUUGCUGACGGCUGGGAGGAACUUCGCCACCGGCAACGCCAACGUCAGCGUAGGUCGCAGCAGAUGUCGGAGGCAUCGCCGCAGCUGCUGCCAGCUGGCGGCAACGUCGUCACCGCCGCCGCCGCUGAGUUGGGUAGUACGGGCAGCGUCGAGUGUCAGCAGCAGAAGACGCAGUCAUCGCCGCAUCCUGUGGUCUACGUGGCGGAGUCGGACUGGCCCACGGCCGCGGCGGCGGUGGCGGCGGCGGCUGCCGCGGCCGCCGCGGGGACUCCGGGGCCGCUAUCGGCAUCUUCGUCAAUGGCGGCGCUUCUGGCACCUCAGCCGUCAACAAUUUCCACCAGCGGCAGCGUCACACGCCUCGUGGACGGCCCCGCCAAGCCAGCGCCGACUUCCGUAGUCCUAGUGCACUUCCCCCGACGGAAGUCCGCUGACGGCGGCUGCUGCGGCGGCGGCGGCGCCGCCGCCGCCAGCGCACCGCCGCCGUCCUCGACGCUACUACCUCCCCGUGCGCCGUUACGGCGCGCCUCCUCUUCCCAGACGCCAGCCACUUCGGAAGUCAAGUCCUCAGUUUCGCUUUCAAUCCCGACGGCUUGCAGGUGCCCAGGCCUCGGCGCUGAGGGCAGCGCCGCCGCCGCCGCCGUCGCCGCGGGCUUUAUCCCUUCCCUGGAGCGUUACCAUACGACUUAUACGCUGCCGAGCCGUGCGCUGACCACUGGUGCCGAUAAGCUAUCACCACGCACCUUGGUAAGUUCAACACGGCUAGUGGAGGUGGUGGAGGUGGUGCAGGGUCCUCGGAUGAGGUCGCAGCAACGAUUAAGUGACAGCAGCGGCGACGUCAACGGCGGCGGCAGCGGCAGCUGGGCGACGGCGACGACACCGCAGCUGCAGCGCCGACGUCACUCGGUUGCCGACCCGUCGAGCUGGGCUGCUAGGACGGGAGCCAACGCCGGCAGCGGCGGCGGCGGCAGCGGUAGUGGUGACAGCGUACGGCUGGCGGCCGAGAUGUCAACGUUGAGUUCUAAAAUGAUUGCGCUGGGACCGGCGUUUCCGGUAGCUGCCUGGGCCAGCUACACGGACGCCGACGCCGACGUGCACGCUGAAAACGCUGACGUGGAUGCAGAGACAGACGCCGGCGCCAGCCAGGCGUCUUCGCCGCGGCUGGGCACGCUGGCGACGGCUGAGCGCGCUGUGCGCCGAGCCCAGCAUUGGAAGCGCCUGGCUGCUAGCCCCGCGGCUGGGACACAGAUUGGACCAGGCGCCUUCUCCCACGUUGCGGCUGUGACGGAAGAGGCGGCGCCUGCAAGAACGCUAGGGCUAGUGCCGGCCCUGGCGACGUCGGCGUCACAAAUUGUGGUGGUUGCAUCGACGCCGGCGGCGUCGCCGCCGCGGGCGCCGCCGCCGCCGCCGCCUGGGCCUCUGCAAACCGAGCGGAUGAAGUCCCGGACGGUAGCACAGCUGGAGAAGUGCUGGUCUUUGAACGGCCGAGCUGCCGCCGCCGCCGCCGCCGCCGCCACGACGGCGGCGGCGGCGACGUCAACGGCGGGAUCGACGUUGUCGAGCUCCCUCCGGCUGCCGCUGCUGGGCUCUUCCUCCUCCGCCUGCUCCUGCCCUAGCGCCGUGUCCACGAUAACGACAUGGAGCGGUGCCUCCUUGACCAACGUGUCGGCGUCGUCGUCCCGCGACGUGCGGGACGCCGCGGCGGGUCAUAAUCAGCCGUACGGUGGCGGCGGCUCUGCCGCUGGCGCCAGCACCAGCACCAGCGGCGGCGCCAUGGACGUCAUACCGGAGAGUCCUAGGGAAGGCGAGGAGGACGAAUCCACAUCCUCCUUGGGUGCCAACUGCGCACAUCCCCAUGUACGCGACUCUCAACCCUACCAGCUCCACCACCAACACCAACAAGAACAACAACGGCGGUUGCACCACCACCACCAGCACGUAGUGUCGGACCCCGGUAUGGACACAACGCCGCCGCCACCGCCGCCGCAGCAGCAGCAGCAGCAACAGCGGCCGGAAAUCCUUCCCGUCUUGCCGCCGCGGCCGCCACCACCCGGGGCGCUGCGCAGCCGCAGCCUGAACACCCUCUCCGUACUCACGCAGUCAGGUGCGGGCCCCGCGGAGGAAUUCCUCGACAAGGACUGUGGCGGCGGCGGCGGCGGCAGCUGCCGUACUCGGAUGCGUACGGGGCCUCUAAGCAACGUCAGGCUCGGGCUGGCAGCCCGGCGGAUGCGCACGCAAGAUCUUCCACCGGCGGCGGCGGGGGCCGCGGCGGCGGCGGCGGUGGUUGCCUCUCCAGAGAGUUCCUCCGCCUCCUUUGCCGCUGGCGCCGGCACCGCCGGUUCUGGUGCCGUACACACCAGAGGCCGACUGUGUCGUGGUUCCCUGCGGCGUCUUCUGAACGACCAGGUGCGUGUGGCUAACAUGGUGUACGGCAGCCCGUACGACGAGUUGGAUGGAGAGCUGGACGAGACAGAUGGCCAUAAUUACGUUGAGCUGCAAGAUGAGCUGCCGCAACAGCAGCGGCAGGGAGGCGAGCGAGGGGAGGUGCUACAGCCUCAGCCGCCUUCACAGCCCCGGGCCGUACCGCACGUGCCGGCGACUCUGGAGCGACAGCAGCAGCAGCAGCUGCUGCCGUACCAGCAUGGCGACGCUCAGGGACACGGCGACGGGCUCCGCUGCAGCCACAGCACAGUGAGCUCCGUUGCAGCCGCCGGCGACGCCGCCAGCGCUCGUACGAGCGCCACGGACCACUGUGCCGACGUGUUAUCGCUCGGCGGCGAGCCGCGCGCGCUGUCGUCAAGCUUCCUUACCGCCACAACGGCGACCAGCAGCACAGGGAGCUCCAGCAUAGCUCCGAGUGAGGAUGACGGGGGAAGUCCAGCACCCAGCGCUGAGCCGAGUGGCUGGGCUCUGGCAGCGGUUCCACCGGCUCCGCCGCUUGCCGUACGCAUCAGUACCGCCAGUAUCGCCGCCAGCAGCAACGGCGAUGGCGUCGUCAUGUCCGCCACGCUGGAAGCGACCGGCCUGGCGGCGCUGACGUCAGCAGACGCAGCGGCGGUGGCGGCGGCGGAGGACGACGAACAGCAACGGAACGUCGAGGCGGCUUUGUUGCGUCAGCAGACGGAUGCGGCGGCGGCGCCGCCGCCGCUGCCGCCGCCGCCGUCACCACUACCGCCGCCGGCCGUGCAGAAUCGUGUUGUCAAGCUGAAAAAGCAUGUUGCUGUCGCCGCCGUCGGCUCCCCUCGCAACAUCGGCCGCCAUCAUCCCGCCGCCGCCUCCCCCCGUGCUCGUUUCCGGGAAUACUCCCUGCCGAAGCGCAGCGGCGGCGGCUUCCUUAUUGUCACGAGCAGCGCGACGGCACGGCCAGCUGCCGGCAAAGCGACCGCCGCCACCGCCGCAUCUGGCAGCGGCGGCGCCGGCGGCACGGCAGUCUCGGCAAGCGCGCACGUCGAGGUUGACGUGGGUUCAUUGGAAACCCAUAAGGGGUCAUGGGUUUAUGAGGCUGCCGCGGGGGGCCCGGGGGCAAAUGUGGUGCCGGGGCGGGCUGUUGGGGCGUCUGACGACGUAACGCCUGUUGGACCGCGUGCCUCUGCUCCGGACGGUACCACUGCUCGUACUGCUGCUCUACCGGAUCAGGUUCGGGGCCCGUUGGCGGUUGUUUCGGUUGGACCUUCCGUUGGGUUGGGUGGCCGUGUGGUGACGAUGGUGUACUGAGCGACGGGGUGAAGGGAGGAGGAGGGGGGAGGAGGAGGAGGAUUGAGAGAAUGAGGAGAUUGGAGGAGGGGAAAAAGGAGAGGCGAUGGGGGGGGUGGGAUGCGAGGAGGGGGAGGGGAGGGAGGGGGACGUCUGUAUGGGUUUUUGUGUAUGAGUGAGUUGAGUGAGCUGGGAAAUGGGCAGGCAUACGCUUGGCUGGUGGCUGUAUUUGCGGCGUCUUUCGUGAAUGUGUACGGCAGGAUAAGUGGGGGUGUGGGGGUGUGGGCGGGUAAUAGUUGGCCGUGUGAGAUUGCAGGUUUUGCAGGUUGUUGGAUAUUGGCCGGGAAGGAAGCGGAGGGGAGCCCCCCUUCCCCUCGACCCCCUUCCCUCCUGUCUCGAAGGGAUACUGGAACCCUGGAAUGGGCUGUAAUAUUGCACGGAUAUGGUGCAGGUGGUAGGUGGCGGCAGUGGCGGCGGUGUGAUGGCUUUUGGAAGAUCUUGCAUUGCACAUGUUUAAUUGACAGGAUGUUUGGACAUCGUUUCGAACACGGUACAUCGAUACUACAAUACAUACAGGUCACGCAUGUGCACGGGCUCUCUCGCUCUUGUUCCUUUCUUUUUCUUUCUUUUUCACGUCAUAAUAUCUUGGGAGGCCAUCUUGGGACCUACAAUUUUUUAUCCUUGUGUCAAGAAUAAUGGAAUUUGUACGUUUUCUCUUCUCCCAGGAUUUUUGCACAUUGUCAUGUAACGCUAUGAGAGCUUUCACAUGGCCACGUCAUACCCGAUGAAUUCACGUUACACAUUACACAUUACACGUUACCUUUUAAACCAAUGUACAGCUCCCCCCUAGGAUUUUGGCCGAACCUGUUCUUGGACUUGGCCAAUUAAUAUACCUGUCGUACCGGCCGUGACGGUCAUCAGUACGACAUGUCAUCACCCACCCACUCGCCCCACAAUGGACUCGCCCCAGACUUUGAAGAGUGUUUUUGCUUCGGCCAUACUAUUGUGGUAGUCGUGUGAUUGAGGGUGCCGGGCAGGAAGGGGGAAGAUGCUGUUGCUCGGGCCCCCUCCCACCUAACCCCCCUCCUCCCCUCCGGGUCGCCGCCUUCAAGAACGCCUUUUGGUCAGUUCUACGUCUGGUACACUCUUGCCCUGGCAGCAGCUUCACUCUUUCGUGGUUCGUCUUUCCCCUCCUUCCCCCCGCCCUUUGGUGCCAUAAGGUCCCCCCCUCCCACACACAUACACACAUACACACACAGACAUACACACACACACAUCUAAUCGGCCAUCUGACCCGACUUGGUCCUUCUCCACUAGACCUGACCACUUUUCUUAACGAAGACGAAAACGAAGACAGUGUCCAAAGGUCAACAUGGCGGCCUAAAGUUCUGAAGGAUGAAGGAAUAUAUCUGUAAGGGACUAAAACAGCGUUUUGGGGGAAUGAAAUUUUAUUCUCUUUUGAAAGGAAAGGAAGAUAUCAACGGCGCAUGAAACGUAUCUUAACCACGAAACACUGCAAUGAUCCACGGAUGCUGGUCCUGGGGGAUUGCCGUUGGGGUAGUUAGCGACUAACCUGGACUAACUGACGACUGGGCGCCGCGCAGGGCCGCUGUCUUUUUGAGCUGUCUUUGGAGUCAACAUCUGGAUGAAGCUCUCUUUCCGGUUGCUGCUCGGCUGCCACUGGGCCCUGCUAGGACUGCAGUAACAGCAGUAUCGCCAACAGCAGCGGUAGCAGCAUCAACAACAGCAGCAGUAGCAGCAUCAGCGUGGGAUUUUUUUCGGCUUUAUAAAAGACCGCCUGUCCUUGGAUAUGUCCUGGAUUCAAAUUCAGAGACAUGUCGAUCUGUAUAAGUCGUACUGGCGACGUAUUUAUUAAGACUGGGAUGUGAAUGCCUAGGCUUUGAAGCUAGGGCGGGUGCGGAAACGUACCCAGGGCCAAAUGGAAAGACGGAGGAGAAGGGAAAAUGGAUUCGGUCUUAUCCCCUGAAGAAAAUACAGGUAGGGACGAAAGGAUCACGUGUGGAAUGCUACAGCGGCGGUGUGAGGUGGCCUCGAAAUGCGAAAUGACAAGAAAGACAAAACAGGCGACGUGAAGUGCCGGGAGGGAAAUGUAUGUGUUCUCCGUGAAGCACAGUCGAGACGAGACAUGAUAAGAUGACAGGUGACGACGCAACCCCGGCGAGGAAGAGCAACUGCCAGGUGUGCGAAGGUGUCAUGUCGCUGUCGAAUUGUGCCGCAACUCAGCGACACAAUUCGACAAAGGCGCAUUCUUACAUCAAAAGCGAUGGUACGCGCAUGCGUCUAAAGCAAUAUUAUGUUAUUUUUUUUCAGUCUGGGAUUUGUAAAGCGUGCGCGCUAUUCAUUUCCCAGGAGAAGCGUUUGGGUUCCGUUUUGACCAGGUGUCAAGUUGCCGUGAUGGGCCCAGCGGCACGUCCUCCAGCCUGUGCUUGCUUACAGGAAAUAAUGCGCCUCAUUAUCCAGUUGAAGACAAGUUUGGAAUUGAAAUAAUAUAAAUAUAUUGAAUCGUGCAUUAGGAGUUGUAAAGCGUAACAUAGCAAUUUUUUUGCGAAGCGAGGCGCCUAAGACUACCUUACUCGUCAUUCAAUCGUUGAUAAAUGCAUCAGACCACGUAUUUCUCAGUCACAUCAAUCUGUGUGACUCUGCUGUGUGACCCGUCGCAUAGUCCACUCGGUGGGAAGUUUACGGGGCGCGACCACAACGACGGCCGCUCCCAACCGUCGCGACGAUAAGCCUUGUGAUAAUAGCAGCUCAAUCUUCUGGCAUGGCGUUUGAUAAAAUUAGCUACCGGAUGCAUGGGCCGUCUUCUUCAUGUUUCGGGGCGCAAACGUGUUCUUGUGACCCAAAACUUGAUCCCAGGUUCAGAAUGUUGAUGCUAAGCCUAUAGCGUCAUACCAAGGGCUUAUGGGUUUCUAAAUGCUAGGCUUUGCAAUGGUUUAGGAUAUUUACAGUGUUGUGGAUCUUGAGGAGGGAAGAACCGAAAGCUUGCUCCUUUUCUGUUCAUGGAAACAAUCGUUGAAGAUGUCAUGCUCACCUUGAACACCUUGGACACCUUCACAUAGAACAUGUUGAGCAGAGCUCAACAUCCUGGGCAUGUUCCGUUAUCGUCAUUCCUUCUGGAGCCAUGCAUAAAUGAUCACGCACAAUCAGUAUGAAAUUCUGCAUUCAGGGUUGUAUGAAUAGGUAUUAGCAUACUGCUUUUUGUAACACAAUCAUUGAAUCAACAAGGUUUUGGGAGCGGGAAACUUACUCUGACUUUUGCGGGCUCUUAACAAAUUGCCGCAUCCUAUCUUUCCAGUGGAAAAACCUAUUUGGUAGGUUUACUUCGAUUACAGGUCUUUCCCGGGGAGUGACGGCGGCGGGACAGUUCGGGCCAUGAAAUGGCAGACGCUUUCUUCUCCCCAAACCGGAUGGUGGCAUUAAGGUUGGUUUCACGAUGCCCAAGAUAAAGCAGCGUAAGUCUACGGCUGCGGUCCAGGGCCUCGCCUCAGCGUCAAAGGUUCCGACGCACGAUGCCGCCAAUCCGGAGCCAACCCCACCAGUCAAGCCACGCAGCCGCCAUAAAGGCGACGCUGAAGAACACCAACGCCGUCACAAGCGCCAGCGUAUCGGCAGCGAUCCAGGACCAGGACUCCCUCAAGCCGCCCCUUCCCCCCAGUCUAUUCCCCACCAUCAUCAUCAGCGCCCAGCCGUCCAAAGCGCCCUCAAAAAGCUCCCCCGACAGGACCACCCAGCUUCCACAGCAGCUACUAACGGUGGUGGUGGUAACCGCGAACUAUUCCAUCUGGGUCCUGGGCCCGCUGCCCACCACACAGGACCGCCGGCUGCGCGGCCGCCCACCGUGAAGCAUGUCCACUUCGCAGACAAGGUCCAUGUCCAAGGUGGUGGUGGUGGUGAAGAUGGACAUGGCGGUGCAGCGAAGGGCGACGGAGGGAACAGUUUCCUUGCGUCCCUGCUAGCGGAUGCCGCAACGGCACAGCGGCGACAGACAUCUGGGUCAGGUAGAGGCGCCGCCACUACCACCACGACCGCUGCUGCUGCUGCUGCUGGUGCCAGCAAAGCUGGUGGUAAUGGUUCUAAGAAGGCGACCAGCCGGACGCCGGGGCUGUCGACAUCGUCAUCUGUGCCUCAUCGGCGCUCAUUAGUUGAGGCGGUGGCAGUGAAUGACAGAGGUGAUGGGCAUGGAGGCGGACGGGGGGCGUGGCUGAAGGAGGCGGACGGAGGGAGGGGGAAGGAGGUAGGAGGGCGCAGCAGCAUAAUCAACAGGGCCAUAUACCUCGAGGACACAGCGAGUAGCAGCGACGGGCUGGAGAGCAUGUCGGACAUGACAACGGGUAGUAGCAGCGGUGACGGUGAUAGGAGCAGCGGUGACGGCGGUGGCGGUGGCGGCAGGGGGCCCAGUGACAGUAGCAGUAGCAGUGGGGACAGGGAUGUCAGCAGUAGCGGUAGUGGGACUAGCAGCAGUAGCCGCGGAGGCAGCGAUAGCGACAAAAGCAGCAGUGACCGCAGCAGCCGCAGUAGCAGUGACGGCGGUAGCAGUAGCAGCGAUAGCAGCAGCGACGACCGCGAUCCGUCCCUUGACGCCGCCGCCGAUUGGAAGGAACCCGUCAAGGCCCAACAUAGUAGUGAGACCAGUACUAGCAGCAGCACUGAGGGCACUGAGGGCAGCGGCAAGAGCAGCGAAAGUAGUGAUGGUGCCAUCCAGAGCAGUGAAAGUGAUGAGGAUAGCGACGAUGACGAUAGCAAUGAUGACGAUGAUGACGAUGACGACGACGAUAAAGACAGCGUUGGGAGUGGUAGAGGCGGUAGUGGCGACGACGGCAACGUUGAAACCGACACCCCCACCGCCAGUGACGUUGCCAGAGGCGAGGAAGAGGAAGAGGAAGACGAGAAGGGAGAGGUGGACGGCGGCGGCGGUGGCGGCGGCGGUGGCAACAACUUGUUCAGCAGCGGCACCACGGGCUCCAACGACAAGAAGAAGAAGAACGAAGGGCGGACAGGAAGUCGAGGCGGUGGUGGUGGCAGCGGCGGCGUUGUCGGUGGGGUCGACUUGGCGGACCUGCUUCGCAGGGUUACUGGCGACGCGGAAGGAGGAGCCGCCGGCAGCGGAGGCGACGGCGACGGGAAGGCGAAGUACGACCGCGCUGACCGGCGGAAGGGAGAUCUGCACGGAGGAGAGAGGCAUCUGGACGGCAAGAGAGUGUCUGAAGCCGCUAUGGCUGCCGUUGCGGAACAAGAUGAUGACGACGACGACGACGGUGACGACUCCGUCGAAUCUGAUGACGAUGGUGAGGAUGCGGAUGCGGAUGUGGGGCCGGACCUCGACGAUGAUCGUGAUCAGCGUGGUGCGGACAAUCCGUACGACGCCGACGAUGAAGACGGCCGUCUCGGCGGCGGCGGCGGCGGCGGCGGCAACACUGCUGCGGAGCUCGCAGCCGAUACCGCAGCCGCGGCGCGCGCUGCCGCCGCCGCCGUGGGGAGCCGUGGACGCCGCGGCGGCGGUACUGGCACGGGCGGCGGGGCCCGCGGCGGUCGGCGCAAGCUGUUUAGCAGGAGGAAACGUUGGCCGAGUCUUUACCACAAGUUCCUGGCCCGAUCUUGUCGUCAACUUGGGCUCCCCGCUGACGGGCAGCGCCCCAUCAGGAUGUUCUUACGGCCUGGGGAGCAGCAACUGCCCUUUGCAGAGGUCAACCGGUGGAGAGCCGGGGAGUUGUGGGAUGCCAGGUAAUGAGGGGGGCCUGGAGGGGUGGGGUGGGGUGGGUGGGUGAUGGGGGGAUAUGCCAUCAGGAGGGGUGAGGGGGUUUUGAGGUGGAGGGGGGCGCGGGGGGGGAAAGAGGAGGGGGUUCUGAUCUACAGCAGCAGCAGCCGCAGCAGCCGGAGGUGGGGAUCGAUCCCUCGUGCUGCUGUGGCAGCGGUGGUGGUGACGGUGGUGGCUGCUGUUACUACGGCGGUGGCGGUGGCCUUGACGCCGUUGUUGAUCAGUCGUACUGCACGGCAGGCGUCGCAAUCGCUUAGCCAUGCCGCUCAAUCCUGGCGUACUGUAUGCUGCUGCUGUUGCUGUCGUUGUCGUUGUUGCUGCUCAGGCUUGCGGCGACAAGCUACCUGGCCGCCUUGGAGGACGAGCAAAUAAGGUACGAACAGUUCAUAUUCGACAGUCCAUUCUAUCUAUUGAGUGUGAGGACAGCUGGUUACGACGUCUUUAUCUGCGACUGGCUCUCCCCCCCCUCUGCCCUACCCCUACCCCUACCCCGGGGUAUACCUCCCUGCCCCUCCCUUCUCGGCUCUCCCGCGCCCUCUCACACACAUACAUACAUACGUACGUACGCAUACUGCUGUUUUCGCUGUUUCGUGCAUACAGACACGCGCGGCUAGUGAAGAAGCGGCGGCCCAACCCCCUCGCCACCUGGAUAGAUCUGGACGAUGACCUGGACACGGAGAUUAGGUUGAGCAGAGCACUCACAGCAGGCGCGCCGCUGCCGCCACCGCCGCUGCCAGCGGUGGCGGCGACCGCCGGCACCGCCUUAAGCGCAGCGGCGGCGACGGCUGCGCUGCCGCCAGGCCGUACGGCACAACUUAACGGCGACGGUGAUCUCUGGCGCAGUGCAGCAGAUCCCGUUGGAGCCGUCACGGCCGGGGGCUGGUGCUGGCCGUACGGCAGUACGGCAAUGCGGCUUAGAAACUCCUCACAGCCAAGAGAUGUCGAUGGGUGUGUGGAAGCGAGUUUGCAGUACGGCUUCUGCAUCCGACGACACGUCAGAUCCAGGUCCAGGUCCAGGGAGGGAGUCCAGGGAGGGGGUGGGGAGGGGGACGGAUUGGUGUCCGCGGAGGCUGCUCGGGCUCGGGCUGUGAGGCUGUACCGCAGCGGGCGUAGCAGCAGCGGCAGUAGCAGUAGCAGCGACGGUAUUAUCAGCAGUAGCAGUAGCAGCAGCAGUAGUGACGGCGUCGCCGUGGAGGAGGAACAUGCGGAGGCCGAGGGUGACGAGGGAGGGGGAACAGCCUGGCGAUUUCCUUGGACGCCCCCUGUGGUGGGGAGCCUGGGUGGGCAGCAGCAGCAGCAGCAACAACAGCAGGAGGAGGAGGGCCGGCCGCCGGUGAGAGUACGGAAGGUGGACGAGCUACUGGCGGCUCCGGAUCCGGAAUGCGACGACGGCGUGGAUCCAGCCGAUGAUAUUCGGUUGGAGCCCGCCAUGACGGCAUUCUUUGACGAGUACUUGUGAGUGUAUUAGACAUACAUACAUACAUACAUACAUACAUACAUACAUACAUACAUACAUACAUACAUACGUACAUACAUACAUACAUCGAUGGGGUUUUGUAAUGAAAACAUACCAGGUUGUAUGUGUGUAUGUGUGAGCGAGCGAGCGUGCUUAUGCCGUACGCCGCAAAGGAGAGCGAACGGAGCAGUGGAAGGUCGUUCUGUUGUGUUCCUGGCGGUUAGGGCCCAGACAUCGGCAAACGCUUCGGGAGUUUCGGGUCGUACACCCAAACUCCCGAAACCAGAAAUAGAGUUCCCGAAGCUGGCCGGCUUGCAGAAAUAGGAUCAUAUGCCGUACACGAAAGGUGUUAUGCGGCCUGACGAGGCGCUCGACGACCUAUUGACCUUCCGCGGUCAAUGAUGAGAACAGGUCGCGGGCCAUUGUACUGGAAGACAGAAAUAGACCCAUUCCCCAAAAAAACAGAAAUACCCCAUUUUUGCCGAUGAUGUCUGUUAGGGCCGUCGAGUCAGUAGGUCAGCGGAAAACACCGUUGCGGUGGAAGGAAGAGGGAGGGGGGAGGAAGGAAGGGUAACCUGGGGGGCCUUAUGGAAGGGCAUUUCGUAACGCUUGCCCUGGCCCCCACGCGAGGCGAGGCGAGGCGGGUUGGGAUAACCCGCCCGCGUGUUUGUUUGUCUGUCUGCCUGUCUAUCUGUACGCGUAUGUAUGUUUUUAUGUGCUAUAAAAUGUUUGUAUUUGAUGGAAAUGGAAAAUAUUAGGAACAGGCCCGAACGAGACUCAUCCUAGCUGUGAGACAUCGCUCUUCAACCCUCCCCCCCGCUCUGCUGUUCUUCGUGCUGCUACUGCUACUGCUCUAGCAGCUGCUGCUGCUGAAACUCCCGGUGCCCCUUUUGCCCCCUCCCUCACACAUGUGCGGCAGCUGGGAGCAUGUCCGUACUGUACGGAAGCAGUACGAUUACAUCGUACGCGACGGGCCUGGACCAUCCGACCCUACACGUGCUGGUGGCGCCCAGAUGGGUGCGCCGCAGCAGCUGACGCGGCGGCAGCAGCGGUUGUUCGCACAUCGGGAGGUAGGGAGGUAGACGGGGCCUGUACGAGAGGGGGAGGCGUUGCGAGGGGGCCGCGUUCUCUGAUUUCUUCAUCAGCGACACCGAGGGGGGGUGUCACCGAGGGCGGAAGAGGAAGACGAAAGGGACGCAGCGGGAAAAGAGGUGGUGAGGUGGAAAAGGGGGGCAGGAAAGAGGUCCAGUGUACCUAUAUGGAGAGGGUUGAAGUGGAGGCUGCGCUUCCCCGCUUGCUCCCCACCUUCCGCUAGCUAGCUAGCGCUGUGGUUGGGUAGUUGGUUAGUUAGGGCUACUCAACAAUUUCGUUUUUCUUAACUUCCCCUCCCGUAUUUCCCCCCUUCCGCAUGUGCGGGAGUGUCUUCCCCUUUCUUUCCAAUUCAUCGGGUUGUGUGUAGCGAGGGGGGGGGCUGUAGGGCUUUUUAGAUCUGCUGCUGCGUUUCUGCGGUUAGUUCAGGUCUGAUAGAUUGUUUUCUCUUCUGUCUUUCCUUCUGUCUUUCCUUCCGGCUCCCUCCAACCUCCCCUCCUCUUCCCCCCCCCCCCUCCCGACGGCUUCACCUUCGCAGUACACGCUCCGUUGCGCACACCCCGGCUGCGGCGCCCUGAAGCUCAUCCACCUGCCGGCCACCGUCCCCCGACACCUAACUCCCGAACAGCUGGCCGCCUCGGGGCUGAGGGUGUGGGUGGUGCGACCCACGGGUCGGCGAGGCGGGGAACACACCCAUGCGGCACCCGGUGGUGGCGGGGUGCUGUGGCAGUCCGGGAGGCCGCUGUGUGAGCUGCAUCGACUGGUACCCCCCGGGAUACCAGGUGAGGGUGAUAUGCGUGUACGUACGUAUGUAUGUAUGAUGUGUGAAACAGGGGGGUGUAUCUUCGCCCGUGGCAGCUACCCUGCGAAACCCUGCCUUCCCCGGUAUUUCGGGCCACCCUCAUCUAGUCACCCUAGUCAACUUCUCAGUGGAUCGCUCAGGUUCCGCACCCACCACCAGCAUCCAACGGAAUCUGCCGGGUCGACAGCGGCCCAACUCCAUUCCUGGUCAGCUCGCAAGCCAUCUUUAUCCCAGGUCACCAUCGUCCAUCGAGUAGGGGCACUUUACCUUCCAUCAUCGGAAGGAUUUUCGACCUUGACAGGUCUCGAUCCCGGGAUCUCCCGGGGGCAAUGGUGCGUGCUCUACCAGUAGUGCCUGACCUGUGGCUGAAGUAUGUAUGUAUGUAUGUAUGUAUUCCCAAACCGUGCACUGUCAUUCCCAUCCCCACCGCCACUGUACAUCGCAGAUGACGUACCGCUGGCGGCGUCACUCCCAUUGCCGCUACCGGCCCUGAAAUGCCCGGAAUUGGGAGCCCCGCCACAGCAGCAGGAGCAGUUCGCGAGCGCAGCUGGCGGCGGCGGCGGCGGCGGUGGGGACCCCUCAGCGACAGCGGCAGCGGCGGGGACGUCGUCGUGUCUGCUGCCACCCAGUCAGCGGGCGGCGGCGGCUAUGUGGCUGUUGGAGCCUCCCCCCCCGCCCGUGUGGACAUGCAGGGGGCUGGUGUGGAGGAGGGCUCGGCAGCGGGGGGGAAGGUGCGUGCGUGUACGAAUGUGCGUGUCUCUGUUUGUGUUCGUCUGGGGGCCCGGGGGCAAAUGCUGCUGCUACUGCUGACGUUUCCUAUGCUUUCGUUCACAUACGUCCAUGUCAUAUUAACAACACAACAGCACGAAGACGUAAUGCCCAAAUGCCCACGCUUUGACGAUAUCCGAAGUACACACACAUGCAUACACACUCUCAGACAACAGAUAACACCGUCCGUGCUGGCCCCCGUCCCUUCUCCCCCGCGACCCCAAAAUCCUCCAUGUAUUUGUGAACCUCUCAGAGCGGAAUUCAGAACUCCACUCCUUCAUCCCCUCCCCCCCCUUCUAGUAACCCCCCUUCCCCCUCCCCUCCUCCCCCCCCCACCCCAACCCCCAACCAGCUGUUGUCUCGUCCGCUGUGGAGCCACCAACCCCGCGGCCAGUGGGGGCCGAGGCGGGACGGACGGGGCGGCGGCGGCGACGUCAAACCCCCACCCCGCAGCUUUCAGACGGAACGGUCCUCAUCCCGCCUCCCCACCCUCCUCCUCCUCACCACCCUCCUCCUCUUCACCGUCCUCCUCCUCGUCACCGUCCUCCUCCUCCUCACCGUCCUCCUCCUCUUCACCGUCCUCCUCCUCCUCCUCCUCACCAUCUUCUUCCUCACCAUCUUCUUCCUCCUCACCACCCUCCUCCUCACCCGCCGCCUCCCCUUCAGCCUCCCCUUCCUCAGCAGCAGACACAGCCGCAGUCUCAGCACUCCGCGGCCACCCCCCCUCCUCCUCCUCCUCCUCCUCCUCGUCGUGGUGCGCGGCCUGCGGCGCCCGACGGCCCGACGGCCCCCGGGGCUGGCUGCGGCAGCUCGUGGAGGCGGCUCUGGACAGCCUGGGCCCGAGCAGCGCCACACUGCGACAGGUGGUUGGGUGGGGGGGCGAGGGGAGGGGAGGGCGAGGGGAGAAAGGCGAAGGAGGCAGAAGAGGGACCCAAUGUGCAAAUUUGCAGUGCAAACAGCAAGUGCGACUGUAUGUGCGUAUGUGUUGUGUUUAUGAAAAGUGCUAUCAGCUACGUUUUUGGUCUUGUUUUGGUUCAUGGCGACGGCGGCGGUUUACCGCACCGCCCUGAGCCGCUUGCUUGCUUUGACCGCGGACGGACCGCGUGGAGGCUGGUGAGGUCGGUUACGAGCUGUGCACGUCGUAGGGCUGGAGUGUGAGGAGGAGAAGGAGGAGGGGGAGGAGGGGGAGGGAAAGCUCCUCAGCGGGUAUCAAGUCCACACGUGUCGAUACGCUAUGUUCACAGUGUUCGUCAUCAGCCUCGCCGCGCGAUCUGUUUUCGCGUUGUGCGGGUGGUGGUGGUGAUAUUCGUCGUAUCCUUUAAUUACUGCUUUAUUGCUUUCCGUAGGUGUACGACAGCGUGCUCAAGGCGACAAGGCCGACGGGUGCUGCCGCUGCCCGUGCUGGCGGUCGUGCUACUGCCGCUGCUGCUGCUGCUGCUGCUACCUCCCCCCCGGUGUUCAGUCGUCGGGAAGUGGCCGCCGACGCGUACGUGGUGCUAAUGCAACGAGCCGCCCGGGCCUUACUGGAGACCCACCUGCCGCCGCUGCCGUACCAGCCGCCGCCGCCGCCGUCGGCGGCGAGCUGCACGGCGGCGGUGGCGGAAGCCACCGGUGACCCGGCCGCCGCGCCGUCGGCGUCAGGUCCGCUGAUGGCGGCAGUGAUUAGCUCUGGAGCCUGGGCCUGGCCGGGACUGAAUAUGCUGAAGCUUUACGGUGGGGGCGGCGGCGCCGCCGCCGCCGUCGCUGGCGGCGGCGGCGGUGACGGCGGCAGCUUCAUCCGCAGGCUUCCGAAGAAGAUAAUGUUCGCAGGGAGAUGCUUGCUUCCGCCGCCGGACGCGGCGGCGAUGGUGAUGGCGGAGGGCGAGUACCGGAAUCUGCAGCGGGCGGCGGGUGUCUGGGGGGUGGCUGGCGGCAGUGGCGGCGGUGGCGGCGGCAACGGGCCGCGAGUUUGGGAUGUCGAGCAGCUCGGCGACUGGCACAUGCCGCUAGCCUUUCGGCACCUGCAGCGCGCGGCGGCGGCGGUCGCAAGCGCCCACCUAGCGGUUCCCGCCGAUCCGCCGGAGUUGGCGGCGGCGGCGCCGCCGGGCGAUCCCGUCGCGGCCAUUGCGGUGGCGGCGGCGGCAAAGCAGGCUUCGGCGCCGCCGUCGCGGGCGGCGGCGGCGGCGGCGGCGGUCAGCCACAUGCUUAUGGGCUUGAUGGGCAGCCUGGAGUGGCCGAUUGAUCUGAGGGACCCACAGGUUUGCGGUAUCCAUGUCAAUUAUGUGUGUGUGGGGGGUGUAUGUGUUACACCUUGAAUCGUAAGUAAUAUAAUCCCCCUGGGUUCCCCCGCACUUCUGCAUAGGUGUGUAUGUGUGUGUGUAUACGCGUCGGUAUGUAGGAGGCAUUCUACGGAUGUAAAAUCUGUAUGUAUAUCUGUACUGGGUGUGUGUGCGCAGUGUUUUGUCACCCCCCCCCCCCCAAGGACGUGUGAGGGGGCUCUCCACGGAUCCCCCCGCGAUGCCAUCAUCCUGGACUGGAAGGCCCCACUUCACAAAGGACCCCUUCUCCCUCCCUCUCCCCCCCUCUCCCCCCCUCUCCCCUCUCACACAACCUCCACCCGUCCCCUUCAUGUACACAUGCCCACACAUGUGCACUUACCCGCGCGCACAGGCACCCAAGCAUCCUGGUACGGCAGCGUUGCUGGGCGAUCCGUACGCCAGGCCCGCUGGCGGCGGCUGUCAGCAGGACAACGCACCCUCCGCUGCCGUACACGUCCCUGCACAUGGGGCCCUCGGCGUCCAGGGACCAGUCCCCCCCCCUGCCGCCACCCGCCGGGUGGUCUUUGGAGAUGGCGACCUUUACAUAGAAGGGGAUGCCGGUGGUGGUGGUGGUGGCGGUGGUGGUGGCGGCCAGCUGCCGCCUUCCGGCUCCGGUCCUGGAAGUGGAAGUGGAACUGGCGCGGGCGCGGGCGCGGGUGCUCAAGCCGUAGCUGCCGCAACAGCAGCAGCAGCAGCAGUCCCCCGGCCUGAAUCUGAAUCCGGAUCUCGGGGCGCUAAGGAGGUGAUCCAGAUCCUGCAUGGGGAGCUGCAGCGGAGUUGUCCAGCGGUGGGUGUGGGUGUGGGUGUGGGUGUGCAGUAGGGUGGAACCGGAGGGCGGGUGAGCGCGAGGAGGGCGGGGAGGUGACGCCGCGGCGGCCUCCUUACUUGGUGCUUGAGGAGGUCAACAAGCGAAGCAGCCCCGGGGUUGUAAGCACACGGCCUCCGGAGCCGCGGAAUGAUUUCUUACUGCAAUACAACAAACGAAAAUCCGCACCUAAAGUAGGAGUAGGAGUUACUAUGAGCUAAUAGGCUUCUGUUUGGGAGUGAUUUGCAGUCCUUGUUUUGUCCUGCUGGUUUGGUGUUAAGGUUGUUGCUGGUAUCGCUACUGCCGCUGCUACUGGUACUGCUGUUAAUGCUGUUACGGAGUGAUGCCAUUAAUUAUGGUGGUGGUGGCGCAGAUCGCCGCACUGGUAGCGCCCCUGGGGGCCAGUAGGGCGGCUGCGGACACUGCUGCUACUGCUGGUGGUAGUGGUGGCGGUGCCGCUGCUACUGCUGCUGGAGGGAAGGAGGGGGGCUCCCUGGCGUGGGACGGUCCAGCGGGGCUUCGUCCCACCUUGGAGCUGUGCGGCCCUGCCGUACGCCUGCACGACACAGAUGCGGACGGUGUCCAGGUACGGACAUCAGCUCCUUUGUAGUAGUAGUCCCCGGUCUAAGUCGCGGCCAACUGCCAACCCCGAUGGGACCGUGCGAUCCGGGCCCCAGGGCUUGGCUGUAUGACCGCUGUGUCGCUUCAUGUCUGAAUGCGUGUCGCGACUGGAAAACACAAAUCCCGUACUUUCCCCACCGCUCUCACCCCCGCGUCCCCCCGCGGGGAGUUCUCUUGACUUUUUCCUUCCCCUUGUACGCACCCCGCCGGACCCAGGACCACCCGAUUUGCAUGCCGUACAUGGUUUCGGAGCUUGGUAAACGGCGGCGGCUUAGCCCGCACGUCGUGCUUCCCGUGAAGAGCCUGCUUGAGGAGCGGCUUCAGGCUGCUCCGCCGCCGCCGGUCGCCGGCGUGGGAGUCGGUGUUGGUGCGGGCGACAAGGUGUACAAUUUAGGCAGUCGGGAAUGGUUUCUGCAUUGCUUACGUCAGCAGCUACACCCGGAGUGUGAGAUCUUCGGCGGACCCGUGGGUCAGUCGGCCGGCCUGCAGCUGCACGCCACGGGUCGCCUGCACUGGCUGCCUGCAGCCGCGCAGCAGCAGGUCGUGGCGGAGGCCGCGGCGGCGGCGGCGGCGGCGCUGCAGACCCAGAGCAGCACAGAGGAUCUGGCAUCCGCGCUGCAUGACGCCGUACGCUCCGCGCUUCACCGCCGACGCAACGCCUCGGCGGUACAUGCCCCUGCAGGCGGCAGCGGGGAGGGUAGCGCGGGGAUUUCUCCUGUCGGCGCUGGUGCUUUGGACGCCGCCGCCGCAGCGCAGCUGGACCUGCUGUCCCCCACUUUAAUCGUCCGACCGGCAGACCCAAGAAUCGCUGCCGCGGCGGUGGCGGCAGGCACCGGCCUCGGCACCGCUGCCGCCGCCGCAGCGUUGGCCGCGCCGGCGAUGCCAGCGGCGGCCGCCAUGUACGGCGCCGCGAUCCCGCUGAGCCGUGCCGCCGCUGCUCUACCUGCCCUCCGGCCCGCAUUCCAUCAUCGACCCUUGCCGCGAAGCACGAUAAGCCAAGUAGUUCAAUUCAGCAUCGCCGCGGAGUCGCGGCGGCUUGCGGCCGCCGCCGCCGCCACCACCGCUGCUCCACGUACGGCAUCAAACCACCAGCGGCAGCAGCAGCAGCGACAUCCGGAAUGGGUGCUACCCGGUGUGCCCAUGGGCGACCCCUGGGAUAUCGCCGGGGUCGCAGCGGCACAAGGCUUCCUGGGCUUCAGCGGCGCUGGCGGAGCCGCCGCUGCUAGCCACGGCUCCUCCCCCGCCGCCGCCGCCGAUGACGGGCGCAGCGGCGGCAUUCUCACGCGGCGUAUGCUGCGGGCUGCGACGCGCGCGUCGUCGGCAGCAGCAGCGCCUGCUACCGUUUCCGGCAGGAGGAAUAGAGCAGCCGCAGCCGGCGGUAGGAUGGGGGCCUACGCGUGGCGACUGUGGGUAUCGGAAGGUUUGGGGCCAAUCUUCGGAGGCGGCGGCGGCGCUGCUGCCACCAGGAAUCGGUCGGAACCCUCUGACAGGGAGGGGAGGAGCAGCAAAAAGAGGAAAUCGUCCGGUCACAGUGACAACGAUGGGGACGGGGAGGUGGGAGUGGUGGCAGCGGCAGGGACGGGGGCAGCGGCAGCAGCUCUGACGACUGACGGCGACGGCAGCAGGACAGCAGCAGAGGUUUCCUUGCCGCCGCGGGUGGCGAUGCUGAUGGAGACGGCACGCAAGUCGGCGAUUCGGGAGGAUGUCGUGGCUCGUGCAGCGGCGCGGUUCGCUGCGUUGAUGCGCGGCGGGGCUGCAGCGGCGGCGGCGGCCGCGGCGAAGUCGAAUGGAGUUCAGGGUCAGGGGGCCAGCGGCGCGGUUAGCAAGGACUGGCGCCAUUCUGCCGCCACCGGGGGUGGCGGUGCGUAUGGCUGAUCGGAGAGGUGGUGGUGUCCAAGUGCGAAGUGAGAGAGCGAGAGAGAGGGUGCAGCAGCAGCGGCAGCACACCGAGAUGUCGUGUUGGGGAGGUACCGGUACCCCGCGGAGUCCAGGGAGCAAGGGAGAUGUCUGUGGCUUAGGCUGUUGUGUCUUAGGGUUAGGGGAUAGAAAGGGCGCUUUGCACGGGUUGGGUUUCAUACAGCGUGAGGGAAUUAAGCCUUCCCCCUGCCUUAAAAGAGCAAUGGUGUGAUUGCUUGUGAAGGUUGGGAGAUGAAAGGAGGGAGUUGGGUUUCCCGUGCGGAUAGAUGUUGCUAGAGGGUGCGCAUGUAAUAGGGAUCUUAUUAAUAGGCGUAGGCAGGUGGGCUGAUGUUUGGCAGGUUGGACAAAUACUUGAGGAUUCUACAUCUGUUUUGGAAAGUGGGGUAUGGGGACCACGGAGCUUGAAAAUACGAUUGGCAUCCGUUACGGCGUUGGUUGCUCAACUCAUGGUUUGAAGUGCAGUUAUCAUGCCACGCCUUACGUCGAGUCGGGAUUUGUAAUCGAGUGAGAAUGAUAACGAUGCUGAUGGCGAAAUUGACGUUGAUGCACACAAAGAUAACUAUACACGCUGGCAUCGUAGCUCGUAAUCACUCAAUGUGGAGGUAUUAACAAAGCCAAUACAACGUUCAUUAAGGGGAACGGGUAUAACCAUAUACCCUUCACACAUGUAAAAAGUAUGUGUAUGUGUUCCUUCACCCCCUCCGGUGCAGAGGAAGAUCUCCACUACUUAAUUUGCAUUUUGAAUGUGUCAUCAUCGCAAAAACCGCCCUUACCCCUCCGCAUGUGCUUCACGGAAUACAAUUAUGCUCUCCUCAGACCGGGGUUUGAAUACUCCAUCUUUUCCCGUAUCAUCUUCUCCGAAAACAACACAAAGACCGUAUCUGCUUGAAUUUUAACAAAGCGCGCUAAAUUGCAAUGAAGCAUUUGUUCAAGCCUACUUCGCUGGACUUGCAAAAACGUCCUCGCCACUUCUCUCCCUUUGCCCUGUACCGUACCAUCGCGCUGUACCAAAAACGGGUCUCAGCUCUUCCUUGCGGGGAUUAUUGAGACACCAAAGACAAAAUUGCAAACCUGCCAAAGGCAGCAGCGCAAACCGGGCUUUGUGAAAAGAAGACAAGCCCUCCCUUCUCCGGCUAACAUUCUUACAGCUCGGCGAACAGGCGGUUGGUACUCUUAUCACCAUCGCCAUCCCCGGUGGGUAUGAGCGCACGGAGAUGACUCUUGCUCUCGACCACUACCACGACGACAGCAAUGCCGGGUCAACAACAACAACAACAACAACAACAACAUCAAAAAACUGAAACCAAACACGUCCAAUAAAAACGGGAUGGGCGGACGCCGUCCGACAGACUUAGGGCACGAUCACAUCCGAACACAGCAGGGCUGCCGCGACGCCAUGCCAUGCUUUCACAAGCCCGAUGCAGCCCGACGAGGAUGUGCAGAGCGCCCCGUACAUCCGACCACCCAACCGGUUUUGCAUCAGUGAGCGUUUCGCACCGCUGUCACUUUUCAAGGCAAAACUGUCGCACUUCCGAAGGCAGAUGCAAGUAGUCAAAAGAGUCCUUAAAACGUGUCCACACGGAAAGAGAAAGCACGCAAGUCCAGGUAAGCAAACCCGCUGUGUGCUCACGCACAUUCCUCACAGCUGGGGCAAAAACCUCUCAAAAGUUUUGCUCGGCAGAGUGUAGCCAAGCCCACGCGUGGCUGCGUGGCAGCAAUGCUCAGCCGACCUAUAGCAGCCGCUCGAAAGACCCUUACGGGCUGAUCUCAGCGCUCCGCGGCAAACAGACCAGCGGACGCAAGCAUUCGCCCUUCUUCGCCCCAUAACACCCCCACUGACCUACCCCCUUCAGUGCGCACUUCAGUGACACGUCGUAACACCCCCACCCCACCCCACCCCACACACACGUCGGCCUCCUGGGUGCAGCACAGCGGGACUAAAGCCACAACGGUCCUUUGGGCAGCACUUCGCGGCACUUGCGACAAGUGCCACACUACCUUCAUUCCUCUCAACCCUCCACCGCAGACAGAGAACAAACAAAACAGACGAGGCGCGCCGCGGCCGCGCCCACUUUCUGCGCCAUUGUGGCCCCAAAGUACCGCAACACCGUCUGAAUGGCCGGCCCCGAGAGCCCCGAACGCAACCACCGCACCUUUCACCAUCAUCAUCAUCAUCAUCACCAUUCGCCUUAAAGCCGCCAACUUAACGUCGGAGCAUCAAAGGAUGACAACAACAAGAACAACAAACUGGCUUCUCGUCUGCCGCGUCCCAAACGAAGCCACGCCAGUCCUUCUGGCCAGGCAUCACACAACGCGAGCGGGUGGCAGGAGCUGUGACCCCGCUGGGACAACAACCCUUCACCGCAUCCCCCUAGGUGGAGUGGACAUACCUACUGAGGAAAUCGACCGGCAGGCGAGGGACUACGGACUAGUGGAUCCACCACAGCGAAGACAGGCACAGGCACAGGGCAGGCGACACUGCUCCUAGCGCCUAGUGGUAGCCUCGCCUGGUGGGCUUUUGCGGUGGCGCCGUUCUCAGCUCACGUCCCAUGCUUGGGAGCCAGCCAAGCCUUGUUCUCCAAUCUCGAAACCUGUUAAGAGGCUCGAAUCCGGUUCAUGACGCGAGGCGAGGGGCCCACCACGACGUGGGGUAGGACCGGCUGCGACCCGAGUGGCCCUGAAGGCCUUUCACAGCGCCGCAGACAAUCACCUCGAAAAGUAGGGACCCAGGUCUUUGACGGCCAGACCCGGUAUACCGUGUGGCUUGCGGUCGGCGUCCUUAUCCGCCCAGGCGGCCGGGGCGUACACGGCGCAGGUGCGGGCAGGCGCGUACACCUGGAAGGAGUGCGGGCGGUUGUCGUAGUUGCCGGGCGUUGUCUGGAAGGUGGCGUCGGUCUCCUUGGUGAUGUUGCGGUAGCCGCCGAACACCUCUUCGUCACUGGACAGGACCAACUGCGGAGCGGAACGAGGGGGGGAAGGAGCGGGAGAGGAGAACGAGGGAGGGAGGUGGGACGGAGGCGGGAUGGAAGGGAACAUGUCCCGGUAAUAAAGAUGCUUAAGAAGUAGGUUUCGGGGGGGGGAGGAGGAGGCCCGUGGCGCGGGAAAGGGAGGUAAGCGACCAGAUGACGCGAGAUGCAGAGAUGCAACAGAGCUGCACAAGUAGAGGAACACACGGCAGGAGGAGAAGCUACGACGAAGCCGUCUCCCCAAAUAGAUAGCGCGUACCUCCAAGGCCAGAUAAAUCAGGGGGGAAACCGCAUGCAGAGCGCGAGACAUGACCCGAUAUGACCGGAUCCAGAUCCAGAUCCAGAUCGACAGCAAACCACACCCACCCAAAGGAAACGUGCCUCGACCCGCCCGCCGUAACCCCCGUAAAUCCGAGAAACCGGGUUGGGUGUGCGAGUGGCGGAGCAGCAGUACCUCGGCAGCAGCGCCCCGCCCUCCACCCUUUCAAGCCCCCCCCCCCUCUCGGCAUACCACUCCUCCCCCCGCCCCGCCCCGCCCCCGCACCUUGUACGGCCCCGCCUCGCGGCAGCCAACCCGGUAGUCCAUGAAGGACUGCGUGGGAUGGAAGUUGAACACGAACACGAGGUCACCCCGCUCGAACACGAUCAACUUGUCGCCCUCAUCCUUGCGGCUGAUGUAAGUGUUGGGGGCGCAAACGUAGCCGAACGCCUGCGCAGGCAGCAGAUACCCGGGGGGUGGGGGGGAGGUAGUGAGUAGCGACGAGAGUGCAGUGGUGUGGCGGUGGUGUGGUAUGGUGGGAGGGGCGCACGCGGAGGUGCAGCGGGAGAGAAACUAGAUGGAUAGCGGCAAAAAUCAUAAAACAUCCCGAGGAGGGGGUGGAGGGGGAGGAGGAGGGGGAGGCGUGUGCAGCCCGGGGCAGGGAAACGGACAAAAGAGAAGCGAAGAGGGGGCCGCCUAGCCAGUGCCAGGCCAGUGCUGGCAGAGCAGGCGCCUGUCCCCACGUCUCAGGAUGCUCGUGCACACACACAUACAUACAUACACAAAAACUCAGCAUGUGUGUUUGUGUAUGCGUGCGGGGGUUGACACACCUUAUCGAGGUGGCACAUGGCCCGGUCGAAGGCGUUCAGGAACUUGUACUUAAGGAAGUCGGAGUCCGCCAGGUCCCAGCGCCGACGGCACAGAUGCAGUGAGCCGCCAUUACCUUCGCCGGCGUCGGAGAAAGGGUGCGAUUGAGUGGGGGGUUGGGUGGGUGGGGAAGGUUGAGAUGCGGAGAGGUGGUGAGAUCGAUGGUGGGGGCUAAAGGAGAAAUCAUGUGAAAUGAUAUGCAAGGAAACAGGGAAUAUCGUAACACAAGGAGAGAGAGAAAUAAUAAAGGCGCAAGCAGUAUAUAAACAUGCCGCAGCCGAUCCUGAUCUGGUGUCGUAUUGGGACUAAAGCAACUAACCAAACUACCGAAGUGUCAAGCCUGAGUGUCCACUUUCCAACACUCCCACGCGCUCAGGACUUGCACACGUUCAUAGCUACACGAUGCUUCACAAAUUUCUCAGACGGCAAAGGCUUCGUUAGACAGUCGGCCACCAUAUCUUCGACCUGCAAUCUACCAUCACAAGCGUACCGAGUGNNNNNNNNNNNNNNNNNNNNNNNNNNNNNNNNNNNNNNNNNNNNNNNNNNCUCCCGUACAAAAUGAUAACGCACAGAAAUGUGCUUCGAUUGCAGGUCGAAGAUAUGGUAGCCGACUGUCUAACGAAGCCUUUGCCGUCUGAGAAAUUUGUGAAGCAUCGUGUAGCUAUGAACGUGUGCAAGUCCUGAGCGCGUGGGAGUGUUGGAAAGUGCCCUAAGGUACACUCAGGCUUGACACUUCGGUAGUUUGGUUAGUCCAGCACUCCCACGCACUAGCACUCCCACGCUCUAGCACUCCCACGCCCACCCCCACUCCACCCUCCACCCUCCACCCUCCACGCCCACCUCCCCGCCCACCUCCACCCCCACCAUCCACUCCCACCCCCACUCACACCUACCUGGCACGAAGCGGCCCGUGGAGGGGUCGUAGCUGUCCACGCGGGGGAAGUCGAUCCACUCGGGGUGGCCGAACUCGUUACCUGAUCAGGAUACACACCACAUAAGACAUACAGAGUCGGACGCUGAGGAUGGUGCACUGUGUGACAAGAAGGCGCUGGUUUGGAGCCGCAGGUGGGCGCCGGGGUGUAUCAAACAUUUUGAAUUGCACGUUCCUGGCGUGAACUGACACCAACUUCUCCAACCCUCACCACCCAUCACUCACCUACCCGUCACUGCUGUAACCCCUUUCUUUCCAAGCCACAGGCGACCCAGAGGAGCUGAAGGCCUUCGUCGAUAACACGACGCGAUGAUUUUUAAACAUCCCCCCAAUAGAAAAACACAUCCCUACAUACACACCCCCAGACUGCUCGAUACCAUAUACUACGAAAGACACACAUACACGGCGCUGCAGAGCGCGUCCCACGCCCAACUUGCCCGCCCCCAGUCCCGCCCCCAGUCCCGCCCCCAGUCCCGCCCCCAGUCCCGCCCCCAGUCUCGCCCCCAGUCCCGCCCCCAGUCCCGGCCCCCCUCGUCCAGUCUCUCUAGGACUCUCUAGGACUCUCUAGGUCCACCCCCCUCGGGCUCGCCCUCCCUCCAUCCCUUACUCCCUCCGUCCCGCCUACCCUCCCGCUCUCGCUCUCGCUUACCCAUGAAGUUGAGGUAGGACUCCCCUCCCAGGGCGAUGGUGAUGAGGCGGAUCAUCUUGUGCAGUGCAAUGCCGCGGUCCACAAUAAGAGACUGGGGGCCCAUGCCAGGUACGGCCUGUACGACAAAACAAACAAGUUAGGGUAGGGAGUGGAGGAUGUAAGGAUUGUUGGAUCAGCCGGCGAGUCAGUAGGCAUUCCAACACCGCGGCCGCGACGUGAUCACGGUCGGCAGGGGAGCGGGAGAGAAAACGAAGGAUGGGUGGGGAGUUGUAUGAUGUGAAGCAAAAGGUAAACGAUAAAGCUAUCGAGGUAACUUAGGGUUCGUGGGUGCGUAUUCUUGAGGAGAGGACAACCGUCUAGUCUGAAGAGAUGCAGCACGCGGAGGGUUGGGGCAGCGGAGCGGUCCUCCCUAAGACUGUCUGCGGGCUCCCGAGAGCUAAGAUGGCCCGAGAGACACAGAGCGCACCAGGGGACCCGGAAAUACAAGUACCCCCCCCCUUUGGUGGUUACUUUCUGAGACUACUCGUGCCUGGAGUUUCGGAGUUGUUUCGUGUCCGAGUUGCGUCCGGAUGAAAUGACCAAACUGGUCAGGGUUACCACAACACAACACAACAAGCCUUUUCGCUCCCAUACCGCACUUCCCACCCCAUCCCGCGUCGCCGCCGCGCAACGCUGGCACCACUUUGCCUUAGCUCGCCACCCCAAAAAAAACCGAUCUCCACGCUCUGCCGUACCAUGUAAUCGUACAUAUCCUUGUCCAUGAGCCAAAAGGCGAUGGUCUUAUCCCCCACCAGGGCCUGGUCAUGACUCUCCGCGUAGCCCACACACGCCUCCGCGUACCUGUUUCGAAGAGAGGAGAAGAGGGAGGAACAGGGCGGGGGCCAAGGGGGAAAGGGAGGGGGUUAAGAGGCCAGGUCAGUGAAGUGAGGCAACCAGCGAUGGCGUCCCCAGCACCAACCAGCCCCAAGCAAUAGCCGGGGGGGGGGGGCGGGUAGGGAGGUGAGAAGCAGCACACGAGGAAAUAUGGUGCGGGGACCGACUUGCGAUCUCAUCAUCAUGAAUCUCAUGAAUCUCAUGCAUGCAAGGGGAGAGAUGGCUCGAGAGACUACCGCAGCCUGGGCCUUCACAGCAGACCCCUUGCCGGGCAUACUAACAUAACGCAUGAAAAAACAUACAUACAUAGCGCCCUGACUUGCUACACACUGAUUCGCUAUGACCAGUACCUUCCCAAUCGCCCCCGCACUAGCCCCCUCGCGCCUGACCGGCCCUCACGCCCGGAAACACCUGGGGCGGGCCCCCGCCCCUCCCGCUGCCACUCUCCCCGCCCCUCUCUCACGCGCUCCAGAGUCUCCCGCCCGCUACGCUACCUGCGGUUCGUGAGCGUGUGCACGAUGUUGCCCAUGUUCCAGGCGAAGUCGUCGUGCAGCUUCAUCACCUCGAUCCACUUGUCCGCGAUGGCCAUCUGGAGGCGGUAGUCGAAACCCACACCGCCCUCGUGCCUGAUGAUGAUGAUGGUGAUGAUGGCGAUGGCAGCGACGACGAGGCGUAUCAAAUGAGAGACACACACGUGGAAUGGGGUGGGGGCGAUUGCGGGGCACGGUUAGGUUCGGUGGUUCGCGGGGUGAUGGGUGAGGAGACAAGCCAGACAGACAGACAGGGAGACAUUGUAAACAGACAGGGGCUGAGAACGCAGUGUCCCUGAGCUCCACCUUAACCCCCCGGGUAGACAGGCAGGGAGAGGGAGGGGAAUGGGGGGAAGGGCCAACCUAUACAAACGCGAGGGGGGAAAGCCCUUUUCCCGCCUGCUUCCCUCUCUUCGGGCGUCAGCACUGAUUUCACUUUUUGACUUUGCCACCCAUAUAAUCACCCCUAACCCCCUUCCCCUCCCUNNNNNNNNNNNNNNNNNNNNNNNNNNNNNNNNNNNNNNNNNNNNNNNNNNNNNNNNNNNNNNNNNNNNNNNNNNNNNNNNNNNNNNNNNNNNNNNNNNNNNNNNNNNNNNNNNNNNNNNNNNNNNNNNNNNNNNNNNNNNNNNNNNNNNNNNNNNNNNNNNNNNNNNNNNNNNNNNNNNNNNNNNNNNNNNNNNNNNNNNNNNNNNNNNNNNNNNNNNNNNNNNNNNNNNNNNNNNNNNNNNNNNNNNNNNNNNNNNNNNNNNNNNNNNNNNNNNNNNNNNNNNNNNNNNNNNNNNNNNNNNNNNNNNNNNNNNNNNNNNNNNNNNNNNNNNNNNNNNNNNNNNNNNNNNNNNNNNNNNNNNNNNNNNNNNNNNNNNNNNNNNNNNNNNNNNNNNNNNNNNNNNNNNNNNNNNNNNNNNNNNNNNNNNNNNNNNNNNNNNNNNNNNNNNNNNNNNNNNNNNNNNNNNNNNNNNNNNNNNCACUUUCUCACCAGUGCCCCACCCUCCUCCCUCUCCCCUCCAUCCCCCUCCCUCCCUUACCAUGGCCGGCAGAAGGAAGGCAUGCCGGACACGUCCUCCCCAAUGCUGAUGCAGCUGGGGAACAUGUCGUGAAGCAGGUUGUUCACCAGCAUCAGAUAAACCACCGCGUCGACGUCCGUGUUCAUGCCGAAGUACUCGCCGUAGUUGCCUGAGUAGGUGGGUGGGUGGGUACGGGAUCCGGGUGUGUUCGGCGGGGAAAGGUGUACGGGGAGUGGUUGAAACGGCGGUGAAGUGAGAGAAGACUGGUUUAACAACCUGCGCCGUGAUGAGAAUCACAGCGAUGGGUUGUACGGAAGUAAAGGUUUGGAAGAGAGAUCCUUAGUCCAGUUUGCGUGUGUGUGUAUGUGUGUGUGUUUUCGAGCACGUGCGCACAGGAGGCCGCGACUUGCGGGUUGACUCCGCCCGUCAUUGAGCUGAAAAAGCCACCUGCCCUCACAAGCCCUGUGGCUCAGAUCGGCAACACUAAACAUUAACCGUGUGACAACCCCUGGAGUUCCAUUACCGUACAUACCGGUGAACGUGUACGACAGGCCGUGAUGGUGGUACAUCAUGGACGUGACGCCGUCGAAACGGUAUCCGUCAAACUUGUAUUCGUCCAUCCACCAGCGGGCGUUGGACAGCAGGAAGCGCAUUGUCUCCCAGUUGCCUAAUCGGGCAUAUGAUGGAUGACACAGAUUGGACAUAUGGCAUGUAAUGUAAUGUUGGACAUAUGGCAUGACACAACACAGCAUGACACGGCAAGCAUAGGGGGUGGGUGGGGGGGGAAGAGGUUCAUCAGGCGUAAUGUAAUCAGAGUUAAAAUUUGUUGCGUAUUCAACAAAACGGACUGUAAUUAAGGAGCUGGGCACCUUUUUCACAUCUUCCACUUCAAAACCCCUUCCUAGGAUGGAUACAUCCUCUUUCUUCCACAAUCUCUCUCGUGCUGCCAUGUCUCCAUUACUCCACACACACACACACACACACAUACAUACAUACAUACACAUACACACAGAUCUGGCUGACCGAACCAGCUCCAAGUGGGAAGAGUCAACAGAUGGGCCCCCCCUCGAGCAGUUCCCCCACACCCCUCCUCAUGCCCCCGCGGGGUGUAGCAGGCAGCAGGCGUACGGCAGGUCCUUUCACCUGGGAUCCAUGCAGCAUCUCCGAUGGCAGUGAUAUAUAUACACACACAAAAACACACGCACGCGGUCCCUUCCCCCCUCUACCUCAGCUUCACUCGUUCGUGGUUCUUCUUCCCCCCUCCCCUCCCCUUUCCCCCCCCCCCCCGCCCCCUCCUCUUGCCGUACCGUAGUUGAAGCAGCGGCUGUCCCACAUCCAGUGGUUGCCCCGCGGGCCGCCGUGGAAGUACAUUCCGUCGGUGCCGUCGAACAUGUUGAUACCGUCGUUGGUGUUCUUGGAGGCGUGGCUGUGCACGAUGUCCAUCAGCACCUGAGGCACAGGAGAGGCAGGGAGGCGGUCGAGGGGUGGUUGGGAGGGGGUAGGUGGUUGGAGGGGUAGGAGUGUGCAAGCAUGGCUCAAGUGGGACGUGUACGCAACGAAAAGAAUGAAUGGGAGGGGGCACCGCCAACUCCAACGGCAAAAACAAAACAAAACAAAACAAAGCGAAGCGAAGGAUUAAAACAGCGAAAGUGACACUACCAGAGCCGCGACUGCUCGUCGCCCAUCCGUCCCUCCCGUCCGGUGACUGAAGACCGCAGCGACUUCAAACUGCCCCAAACCAGGCCACGGAUAUCUUGAGGUAUCCGUUUAUGGCUUUCCUUCUCGCAAAUCGUCUGUGCUUUGUCGUACCCUCCGGGGCCCCAAACCCUACAGACAUCAUUGCUCCAGGGGCGCAGCUUUCCCCCCGAGCAGUACCCGUACCCCCGACACGGUCGUGCAGCAGCCCGCGAACGCAACAAAGCCCCCUCGGAGAGGGCUUCAAAUGGGGGACGUUCCCAGUCCGCCCUCACCCCCCCUCAUCCGCCCCAUCCUUGACUGAACUAGUCAUUAGGCACCCAGAUGACGAUAUUUCAUGUAAUGACCCUUCAUGCCAUUUCUGAGGCUCUUAGGAGCCUCUGCUGGCUCGUGUAUGGGCCCCUAGGUUACACACCUCUCCAUCUGGGUAACGCAACCUGGAGGUGUAACAUGCGCGCGCACGCAUACACACGCACACACGUCGCCGUUUGUGUUUUAUGUAUACCGUCUAGCUUCCCGCCUAGGGUUGAGCUCGGCUCGGCUCUUUUGAGCUUCGGCACUGUAAACCUUGAAAAGCAACACCCAACCACGCCUUCGAUGUGUCUCACUGCGCCCCCGUCUUCCCCCGCUCCCAGGCGGCCCUCCAAUUCCAGCUGGUUCCUUUGACCUGUUUACUUUUGCAUGUAACCUUUUCCCUUUUUUCUCCCUCCCCCCGCCGCCAGACUUGCCCCAAAAACACACGUGCACACACCCUCCCUCCCUCCCCCCUCCCCUCGCCCGCCGUACCCACCACGAGACCCAUGCGGUGAGCCUCAUCCACCAGCGCCUUGAGCUCAUCGGGUGUACCGCAACGGCUGCUGACCUGAGGCAAGAGCGUGUGCACGUUCGUGUGUGUGUAUGGGUGCGUACGACGACGCCGCGGGGGAGGAGUGGUGGAUAUGAGGAGAGUUGGAAAUGGACUACCGCAACUGGGUGUGGGGUUCCUGGCAGGUACGACAUUUGUCAACGCACAUUGCAUAUAUACAUACAUACAUAUAUACAUGUAUGUGUUGCAUACAUACAUAUAUACAUGUAUGUGUUGCAUACAUACAUAUAUACACACCUUCACAAGGCCGCGCGUUUACGAAUAUGAGGACAUGGUCGCGUUGCACUAACAAACAAUCGCAAGAGCCGUCCUCCCUCUCCUCCCCUCCUCCCGAACUGCGGGACCGCUCCGUUAAGAGAUAAUAGUCGGUCUCGGAAGGACAGACCCUCCACACUACCGUGGCCAUACACACCGACACACACAAAGAUGCACAUACACAUACACACGCACACACACACGCAUGCAGAGACAUUCUCCAGAAUCUCGUCACCAUCUUUCCAUCUGCCUCGUUGCCCUCCCCCGCCUCCCCUCCCCUCCCUUACCUCUCACUCACCCGCCUGCAGUGUCCGACAAGGUUCCCCCCCUCCACAUCCCCCCUCUCACCCCCUGUAUCCCCCCCUCCCCUCCCCUUCCACGUCCCCCGCUUCCCCUCCCCUCCCCUCCCCUCCCCCUUCCACGUCCCCCCAUCCACAUUCCCCCGCCAACCCACCCCAAAGAAGUUGGUGACGUGGUAUCCGAAGGAGCCGUAGUAGCUGUGCUCCUGGAUGGCCAUGAUCUGAAUGGCGUUGUAGCCCAGCGCCCUGAUGCGCGGCAACACGUCCUUCCGGAACUCCAGGUAGCUGUUCACCUUGGGCUCCUGACUGCUCAUGCCCACGUGGCACUCGUAAAUACGCAGAGCGCGGGGCCUGGAGCACACAAGAGGGUUGGAUUCGAAUACGGGAGUAGGGGACACACGGAAGAGGUUGCGUGGAGGUAUAAUGGCGUCCAUAGGAUGUACGUAUUCGAAGGAUUAAUACAUAUAUACCCAUAUAAUCCAAUCCACAAUCCGAAUAUUUGAAAUCCCUCCCCCUGCCCUUCCCGCCCCCUCCCUACGCGCAGUCACAACCUCCAAAGAAGCCCUCCCAUACCGCGUAAAACGUCCCCAAACUCUCCGGACUCCCUUUCACCCCUUUUCCCCCCAACCCCCAUCCCACCCCCGCCCCAAACCCUACUUGGGCGGACGGGGGUACUUGAAGGUGUAUGCCUUGUUCUCCGCCACCUCGCCCGGGGCGCCCUUCUCCGGGGGGUCCCAGUGCACACCUGCGGCACAUCACGACGACCGUGAUAACAUCAAAACAUAACGAACAUGAACAUCAUGGACACAGACACAUGUACCUACCAGACACACCCGAAUACAUUGACUCAUUCACUCGCAUACACAUACACCCAUACAUACACGCAUACAUACAUACAUACAUACAUACAGCACCAGAUUCAUAGCACCGCUAACCUACACACGGAAGCCACCACCGCAAGUCCGCGAAGAGCAACCAACCCGCCCAUUUGGCUAACGGAGAUUUUGUUUUUGGACUGGGGAUCUUAUUAUCUAUCGGGAACCUACAAUCGGGAACGCACACCACCAUGUAGAGGGGGGGUGAGAGGGCGGAACCCAGCCCAGGGGUGAACAAGGCCCAAGGACACAGUCGGUAGGUCUAUCCCUCGCCCCUCGCAGCCUAGCCCCGGGUAAACAGCCCUGCACGUGUGUUUUGCCGGCACCGCACACCACCACUAGGUGUGGCGCAUCUCGGUGUGCGCACGUGCUGCACCGCACGCGGACAUGUAUCAAAACACUGUGCGCCACUACCACUACCAAUACUUCGACGCGUUUCCCCAUUUCGACUCUAUGAAGUCCGGCCACAGAUUAGCUCGCAUGGCUAAGCUACUCAUAUGCAAUGUAUCAGACUUUUUAAAAAGCGCGCUCUCCUGGUGUAUCCACUGCGCACAGCUCUGAGUUAAAGAAACGUUUGCGAAAGGGAAGACUGAGGGGAAAUUGAGGUGGUGGAAGGGGCGGGAUGGUGGCUGGGAGGACAGCAAGACAGGGUCGCUCCUGCUUCUCCCCCCCCUUUGGAGCUCUCCGCGCCUCCGCGCUCUUUUUUUUCACCUUUCCCCUUAACUUCUUUUUUUCUUCUCUUACCGUUAAAGAGGAUCUCGUUCCACUCCUGGGUGGCCCACUUGAUCCAGGCGGGGAUCUUGUCCAUCCAGUGGCCGUCAGCAGUCUCCAAACGACACUUCACCUUGGUCCUGCGGCCGCGACGUGGACGGGGGCAGGGCAGGGAAUCAUACGCAAGGGGAGGAAAUCAGAACUGAACCGGGGGCAGGGAGGGAAGGGAAGGGGGAAGGGGGGAAAGACGAACCACACACGAUUGAAGCUGCUGCCAGGGCAGGGGAGGGGGAACGGGGGGAGGAAAUAUAUGCUGAAUGUUGGGUGCAGAGACGCAUCCUUUCUGCCAAAACUACUGCCCGAUGUCCAUCAAUGUGUCAACUGCGGAGGGAAGAGAGGGAUGCCAGGAGAGCCAAAUGGAGGGCGGGAGAGGGAUGCCAGGAGAGCGGAAAAAUGAUUAUGGCUGGAAAAGCUGCGCGGGGGCGGGGGGCCCAAGGGGCUGCGUACGGCCGAGACCAGGAUAUUCUAAGCCCUCCGGACCCAAGAGAAAAAAGUCACCAAGACAUUCACCAUAUAGCCUGUGAUUGUAUAUCAGUCUCGUCCGCUGCACCGGCCGCAACUCAACUCCCAGCUCCGAAACCCCCGACCACAGCUACCCCCCCUGCUGCGACGCCCUUCCCCUCCGUAAAGCCCCCGAGAAGGUCGACCCACGCCGCCAAACCCCCCUCAUGUCUCUUUCACAAGUGAAUCCAAGGUCGUGCAUGUGCAAAGUUCCACAUCAAGUUCCAUAUCAAGUUUCGUUUCCCUUCAAGGCCCCACUGCAGCAGUGCUGAGCAGCUCGUUGCCCGGGAUGACUUCCCCUUCUUGUUCUUUCCCGAGAGGAGAAUCCCAUAAAAGUCAUCUUCAUCGUCCCCCACCUACCAAUGACCCCCUCCCCACAAGCCCCUAUCCGCCAACUCCCCCACCCGUCCCACCUGUGCGGGAUGGCGGGAGUGCCGUCCGGCAUAUCCGGCAGGAAGAGCUCCCAGGUGCCGAACUGGUUCUUAAAGGCCCAGUGGCUGUCAGCCGGGGUCCAGUUAUUGAAAUCACCAACCAGAGCCAGAGCCUGACAGACGACAGACAGGCAGACAGAGUGAAAGAAGUAUUGGCAGCGGGGAAGGUGCAAAAUUAUAAUGAGGAACGGGAACGGAGAGAUGAGACUAAAUGCGGAAAGAAAUGAAACGAUGAAAGCAGCGAAACGGGAAGAGGAAAGGAAGUGGUUGGGGGAACGUCUCUGGGUUUUACUUUGGGUAAGUACUGUUUCCUUUGGGAAGGCAUUACUCAUCAUCAUCAUCAUCUUCAUCAUCUUCGUCCCGUCCUAAAUCCCAAUUGUCAAUCUGCACUACCAGGCAUUCGUACCUUGGCUCCCGGAGCCCACUCGCGGUACCAAAUACCGGUUUGGCCGUUGCACUCCCCGCGGUUGAAGCCGUAGUAUUUAUAACCUGAGAAAAUAAGAAGCGGGAUGCUAAUAAGGGGUGUGUGAAGAUGGUGCGGGAAGUUCGGCCCCGAAACCCAGUUAAAUGGCCGUACAACCCUAUCGGAUCCGCACGGCCAAGUUUGGAUAAAAUCCAGACACGCACCGAAUAGGUUAAUAAGCUAUGGAUGGUACUUUUGAACUAAUGUAUCCCACACGCGUUCAGAUGCAUACCCUCUGUAAACUUCUCAAAGCCGCCCUCGUUCUGGUCGAUGGCGCUGCGGAUGUUCUUGAAAACGUUCCACCGGUACUGUGCGAUACCGUUAAUGUCGGCGGGUUAGUAUGCAAGGAAAGUUACCGGGUUCGACAACUUGCAAAAUAUGGAGAACGACCCUUCAAGCAUAAAUAAGAGCUCGAACAAAUUUAUUUGGUAACAGACGGUGGCAAACAAACCUUAAAAUGCUCGGCCGCAGACCAGAGUGUGUUAUCCCACUUAAAGCACAUCGUCCCAUCGUGGUUGGGGAUCGGCGAGAUAGGCCCAUAUUCAUCAACAUACUCCAUGUUGUCUGGAACUUCAACACUAGGGCUCCAAUACUCCUCAGGGCGCUCGAGCAUAGUCACCACACCGCCCAGCUCGUCAAGAAGGCUCAACCCGACACCGGCAUCGCUUCCCAGCGCCACCUCCUGAACUGACUUGCUGGUCAAAUUUGCUACCGCUGCACCAGUAGCGGGUGCCUCCGCGAUGCUAUCGAUGGGGACGUUAGCGACAUCAAGGGUUUGUCGCAGUAGUUCGUUCUCACGGCGCAGGAGCUCCAACGCUGACAGCUUCUCGCCCGGAGCAGCUGUUGCGGCCACAGUUCUAGGCACAACCCCUGCGAUGGAUUGCUGUCCGUCAACACCCUCGAACGCAACGAGAUCCCAAGCACUCGAACACCCUUACCACGACGCGCCUUGGGCGCGAUGCCUCCUGCAUGGGGCCUGCUUCCAGUUUGAAGCUUUCCGAGCUGCAUUUUCAAUUUCACAACGCGAUGUUGACAGCACCAGGCAGGGUCGCCUCGUUUGGGCGCCGAGCCACCCGACGAGGGCAGCAAUUGAGCAAUGAACUGUAGCUCUUAUCUUAGAAUAAUUUCCUGAUAAAGUAUAUAACAAUCUUCUCAACGCGCCAGCUAGCGUUGAGUUGGCAUCAAAUCUUCAGCCCUGAGGACUUUAUCUUCUUCAACGGCCGCAGUUCGCGCCGUACCACAAAUAAAAUUCUGUUGGUUGAGGAGCGUAUAGUAUUCCCUAUGAUAUGAGCCGUAUAAUCAAGAAUGUAUCCUGCAUGCUGAGAAGUUACAAUGCAAGAGCUUGGCAGGUACACAAUCAGCCACUUUUGGACUUCUACACGCGAAUCUGUGCACGUCAUUCUUGCAUACUAAGUUGCAGCUACGCAUACUAGUAUGGUGAUUCAUCAAAGGUUAUUACACUCGUUAUACCAGCAUGGCACUGGGCAUCCACCAGUGACUAGGCAUGGUAGUCUGUUUCCCGAAUGGACAACGAAGCCACUUUCUGAUGACCCGAUGGUCCAAGUCCAAGGCUGUAAGAUCAAGGCCCUUGCCCGCAUGGGCCUAAACGCCCCAUACAAAAAACAUGGCAUUAGGCUGGAUUUAAUCGUCGCCUUGCGCGCCACAUGCCGUCAUCAAUCUACGUUUCCUGGGCUACUGCACUCCUAUGCAUGUGUAUACAGCUCUAGGUCGCACAGCUCAUUAGAAUACUUGACGCAGUAAUAGAUGCGGUGAGCCCUGGUCACUCAAUACACAACACGGGCUAAACACCGCAUCAUCCGUUGCCUCGCACUUCGCAGCAGGGACAUGUUGCAGCUCACAACGUCUGCCAUAGAGCAAAAGCCAUGCCCCCUGUACACUGCAACAAAAACAUUUUCUACCCACGCCCAAAUACUGAAGGCAACACCGUCACCUUGAUAACACACGAAAUUACUGUAUUCAUGCACACGAUGCACACACUACUCAAGGAUCACGCCGUCAAUGUCGCAAAAUCACGGGGUCAAAGAUGCCACUCCCCAGAAGGUGCUAAUUCCCGCAAGAACGCGCACGCAACCAAAUUUCCAUGAUAGAGGUACGAUGAAAUGCCUUCACAAUCUCCCUUGCCGGAAUUUCCUCAAUCGCGAAUCAGGAUCGCGUGAUGAUGAUAGACCGUACAGGGACAAGUACCGUACAGGGACCGCACCAGCCCAUAGUAGAGCACUUGAGGUGGCACUCUGCGACUCGCGGAGAGCGGUUGAUAACUUGAUCUGUCAAAAAAUGUCGACUCGUGUAACAAAACAGUUUCGUCACAUCUGUUGUAUAAUAUUCUGUGUAUACUUCGGCACAUUGCUGCGCUGUCCCAAUCACUGUGCAUGUCAACGCUGAGAGGUUCGUCGUCACCACAUUCUAUAGCGACGGCUUCAGACGCCGCACGACGCGGUCCCCAUCGGCGGCUAGUGCGCCGCCACGAGAUGCAUUAGGCGCCUGUCGUCCGCAGGCGCCGCCGAGCUGUUGCAGCUGUCUUGGCCUUGACGGGUACGACACCCGCCACCCAGGGUACGAAUUCGGGGGCAGUUCGAUGCACCGCACGGAAAUCCGCAGAAAAGGCGCCUUGGUGGUUGAUCUCCUGGGCCGGCGCCAGUUGUCAAGUGCAAACGUCAGAGUGCGGCUUUUACCCAUGCAGCAAUCAACACCUAACGCAACAUCUUUACGCAACAUCUUUACGCAACAUCUUUACGCACGUAAAGAUAUUGCAAGCAACAACACCUGCCCAUGCCCCCAAGCAGCCGUGCAUCCAAGCAGACGGUGGUUUCUUUCUCGACUUGCAAUGGCGAGCAGGGCGGUGCAUAGGCGUUGCCAGGUGGAUGGCCUGGCAUGCGAAAAUCUCACCGUGGAUGCCACCCGGGCCCGGGUGAUCCCCUUCAUCCUUUGCUGACAGUUGCUGACUCCAACCCCGCUUGCAUGACGACCUCCUCUGCUUAAAUCCGGCAUACCAUUUUUGCAGGUGUGGGUAUACACCCGUCGCAGAAGACUGUCCGCGCGACAUCGCACCACCCCGCUACAGCACCCGUCAACCAGGGCCCUUCCCUUCCCAGCCCGAGAUCCCAUUGACAUACCAGGUUUGAUUUAGAUCGAUCUGGGUUGUUGUCCCACUUCGCCUGAUGCUUCAACCAACAGUCCCCAGUCGUGUGGUUGUGGAUGUCCUUUUGAGGGAAGAAAAGCAGAUGGCAGAGGGCAGAGGUGCAAAACGUCGCAGCUGGUCGCGGAAGGGGCGGAGCACACAGUGCACCGCAACCCAACCACCACCGCCCUACCGCCCGAAACAACUCCCGCCCAGACAUGGCAACAAGGUUGGCAAGCUCUCAAGGACAGCCUUAAUCCUUAAGGAGGCGGUGGUAGUGGCGGUGAUGGUGGCGGUGAUGGUGGCGGUGAUGGUGGCGGUGAUGGUGGCGGUGGUGGUGGCGGUGGCGAUUCCUUGGUGGUUGUGCAAUGCUACCUGAGUACCUAACAAGAAGUGUUGGGGUACGAGAAAGUGUCUCUCGUUCAUUGGAGCCCUCCCAGCAGCCUUUCCGUUACUCUUCGUUUGGUCCACAGGUUGGACCAAUGCUCUAGCCACUGGCCCCUUCGGCUCUCUUUGGCAGUAUGGUACAUCGGAGGUGAUCCCUUUCUGAGGAUCCCAUGUGGCGAAGGGCCAUUCAAUUUUGCUGAAUCCCUACCCUCCUCAACCUGGCCAGCACACAACCACCUAGCCAACACGGAAAAGCAACAUCAUACUUUACGCAUUUCCAAGGACCCUCUAGCAUCCCCAGCCACACCACCAGACGCGCUACCCACUGAACCAGAGCCCACUAAGCUCACCAUGGUCCAGCAAAUCCCGCUAGGAUCACCUGCACGUAUAGAAAAGGGCAGUCACAGCGCGCAUCGGGUCGUCUGCGGGAUGGAUAGCCACAUGCAUAGUUGCCCUACUCACCAAACCUCUUGAAGCAAACUCCGCAAAAACCAAUAGGGCUUCUCAUGACAGACAGCGCACACCGAAGGACCCACACGCUAGCGUGGCACGCUGCUCGCAGAGGAUCACAGCGUCGCGAUGCCCGUCCCAUCCCCCAACCCCCAUCCCACCCACACACACACACAAACACGCACACGACACACCGCAUUCAAGUGCUUGUUGAACGCCCAGUCUGCCCCGACCGGUGAUGUAUACAUGCAUUUAGGCAGCAUGACAGCAGCCGAGGCUCGAGACUCACCGCACCAGACCCAGAUGUUGCAAGGCAUGUUGCCCCCGGCCUUCAGCUGGUGGUCUCUGCAGGCCUGGCAACACUCAGCUGCUGAUGCCCUCUUGUGGCCGAGGCCCCACACCACCGCGUCACCGGCAUAAUCUGUGUGCUGGGGUUUCCGACAAAAGGACGCAGCGCCUCAACAUGGGUACGUUUUGGACAUAGCCCAGAGAGCGAUGGCUCCCCAAUCCCUGGAAGCUACAUUACACGGCGCUUGUAGGAGUGCUGAAGCCAGGGUUCGGUCCGUCCCGGAACAUGGUUUACUGAUCAUGGGACGACCUCCUAGGCGCGACCCAGGUGCAUAGCGACAGCGCAGCAUGGCACCGGUGCGGCGGCAAACCACAUGCGCCCGGAGGUAAGAGGUGCUGGCGACCGAGAUACGUCCGCUGCAUGCCAUUCACACACCUAGCCAUGCACAUCCAUCGGUCACGGACAUGAAGCAACCCGUAUGGUUAGCUUUCCAACUCUAAUGGGUAGCUUUCCAACUCUAAUGGGUAGCUUUCCAACUCUCUGACAGUGGGCUCUGGCGCCAAAGGCCGGCUAGGAAGCCAGUCGAAUGGGGCCCCAUAGGCAGCUAUGCAUGGGGCCGGGUUGCUGUCCCUCGCCAUGAUGAAGCGUCUGAGUUAAUGUGCGCGUCCCACGGAAAAAGCAAUGGCAAGCUGCAUGUGCCAGCAGCUGAGGCUACGAGCCUGGAACCCAAUCCCACAGCUAUCUACUGCUGACCUGUUGCGGAUAGCAGUCCUCCGGAAUGGGAACGUCCAAGAUCUGCGGGCCAGUGGGUAGGACAGCUUUUAACCCGAAGCGCAAUACGAUGAAGCAGCAGAGGCAUCGCUCCGAUGGAUUCGGUACGGUGGGACAGCGUGCUGUGCAGGGCAUGCUUCCUGAAAUCAUGGGGUGCAUUUGCCACCUCGGUCAUCGUACACGGGGGUUUGUUCGGUCGCUGGGAUGCCAAACCCUACGACUUGCCUGCAAUUUGCGUCCCUUAUCUUCGAUCUCAACGAUAACCCUUUGGGUUACUUCAGAUGACGUGCCAGCACCAGGUCCUAUAGCUGCGCCGGCAGCAGCUUUUCCUGUGCUCGUGGGUCCUUUCACCGGCGUCGCUUUUUGAUCAACAGAGGGUUGCACAGGUCUGCCUUGACCAAACUGCACAGCGAGAAGUGAGUGAGUGGAGCGCAACGACUACGAAACGGGACGUCGGAAUCCGCACCUGUGCGGCGACGAAAGCUCCAGAUGCUGCGCAACCGAAAAAAUGAGGAUGUACUUAAGCAUCAUAGAGGAGGAUUAUGCGAAACUUACCCUCAACGGCAGCUUUCAACUGAUCCCGACCAGCCCACGAGGCGAACCCGAUUACAGCAAGAAAUAACGCCAACGGUGCAGCAGCAGCUAUCCGCUGCGCUACCGUUCCGGUCAUAUUAGGCCUAGUAUACAUCUUGGAAGCACGCAGGUCACAAGAGGGGUUUUAUUGGUAGCCCAGCGGACGGGCGGCAACAGUGUAAGCGCUAGAGUCUAUAUUUAUUUAGAUGUAAGGCAUCACGUUGGGUAAGGAAGUCAGCCCUGGUGCUACGGAACCAAGGGGCAGGACGGCAAUUGACGCAGAGUAUGCGCUUGCGCAAAGAACUAAGAGUGUUGCAGGGAUGUGACCUAAAGCGAUCUUACAUUUGACCUCAUAAGACCAGGUAUGCCAAUUGACUAGUCCGCGUUGGUAGGCUCGAGCAUGCUGGGAAUGCUGUAACGCCGUGCAGGUUGUACGUGCAUUUUUAUUCAUGCACGAAUCCAGUCAGUCACCGAUCCGUGGUAGGUAGAUCACUGUGACCCAUACGUGCCUAAUUUGAGCUAGUUGCGGGCAAAGCACAAGCUUGACCUGUCGGAACGCUUUGCUAUGGCUGGAAAGCCAGACGGAAAUGCGACCUCGUUGUCUGCAACUAUAGAGGCUUUAAGAAACGCUGCUGAGCAGAGCAUAUCUGACAUCCAAAAGCAGGCAGACGCAGCUCUGAAGGAGGCGGCAUCUCAGCUGGUAGCCGGAGGUGCCGUAAUCGCCGACUUUGUCCGGCAAGGAGUUUCUGUCACACAGCAGUAUGCAGAUCAGGGAAAGGUAGAUAGCUAAGGCUAAUAAAGUCAUGUUGGCGCUGUCAUGACCCGCUGGCCACGUACCCGGCAAACAGGGCUAUAUCGGCUACGGCCUAUGCCAGCUGAAAAGGGCUGAGGAUGCAGCGAUUGCCGAGAUCAAGUGUAAGUGCCGGCUUGGGGAUUGUCGCUGAAAAGCACAACCCGAACUCUUGAACCCCCUGCCUGACUUCGUAUUUCACCCGACCCAACCAUUAUCCCCUGACGCCUCUUUCCUACCUCCCUUCCGGAUGCGUCAUAGGCGGCCUGGAGCUUGUCCAGAGCAACCCGUACCUUUCCUACCCGCUCCUAACCACCGGGAGCCUUAUGCUUCUGCCUGGUACGGCUCGGCGCACACGUGUCCCUUUCAAUUCCUACGCCCAUAGAACACAUCACACCUCUCCAGCUCUCUACACACACCUGCCCCCGUCCCCGCUAAUUAUCUUAACACCAACACAACAACAUGUACACAUGAGAAGCACUACCCGUUACCGGCGACGUCACACACGCAAAGUGCCGACCUACCCCUGAAGAUAAGGCCAACAAAGAACAGGCCGACACAAAUUGCGUAGCAGUUUCGCGUUUCAAUUCCCCCCCCCACACACACCGAUCGGUGCAGUGGACUCGCUCCUUUCUAGAUGCUGACGACUGCGUGUUAUAGAACUCGCCGUGUUUGUGUCUGUCGCAGCGCUGCUCUUCCGCUUCCCAACUCCCAACAAAAACCAACGUAAUGCAGUAAUGCAAUCCAAUGCACAAAACCCAUUUCUUUACGCAACCCCAAAGUCCACCAAAUGAAAUCAAAUCAAACCAAUAUCAAUAUCAUUCGCAGUCACUCGUCGGUUCCUGUACCGAGCCACGUUGGGUCGGCUGCGCAGUCCGGACAACAUCCUGAAGGGCUGCGAAGGCAAGGUGGAGGGGCUCCGUGUCAAGAUGGCCGACUACUCCACGGAGGCCAAGAAGCUGCAGGUGUUGGCUUGGGGCCGCUGGGGCUUGGGGCGGAAAAACGAUAGGUUGGUGGGUGAAAUGGGUCUCGAUCCAACGGAGGGAGUAAGGAAUGUGGUGCAAGGUAGGGGCCCGGUCUUGAGGGGGUGGGAAGAGGUCGGUCGGUCGGGUCAUUAGAAGCGCUGCCAGGGGUUGCGGGAUAGGGGUUCUUCCAGGGAUGGGGAGCCGAGAGAGGACGAGAUAGAACUUGGGACAGGCCAGGACAGGACCACGCAUUGGGGGAGCCACUGGGGCGGACAUGACAUGGGGGAGGAAGGAGAACGUGUGGGGGGUAAAUGACGAGGUGUUUUGACACGGAAAAGCAGCAUCCCGAGAGCGCAGUCGCAAUGCCUGCUCGAAGCCUCGCAGUCACUAACCUCAAGAUUUUUUUCUCUCAUUUCCGAUUGCUGGCUAAGAAUCGCGCCGCUUGCUGGAAAGCGGAUCGGUCAUCUCCUUCGUCCCUCUCCCCGGUUCCGCAGCUAAUUGGGUCAGGGCUGCGACACCGCUUUGAACUGCUCGGGCUCCGGCAGCCGCGGUGGUGCUUUUGGACCAAUCGGCUGUUGCUCUCCUUACCUGGGCACAUCAGUAUAAGAUUUUUUUCUCCUCGCAGCGUACAAAAUUGCUGCUCUUUCUUCCUCCCCUCUCCUCUCUACUUUCCUUCGCCCCUCGUCAGGAGCGCUUGGUGGCGGCGGAAGAAGAGUACAUCCGGGGCAGGGCGAAACUCAAGUGAGCGGGUGGGCCAGCAGCGGGUGGGCGGGUGAAAGGGACGUGACACUCGCGAAAACAGACCGGCGAAGGGGUGCAAGCAGCGCAAAAAGGCACGUCAUCAUCAUUGUGCGCUGUUCACAUCGCCUGCCGUCCUGCUCCGACCCGUCCCUUCCUUCACAUGGCCCGUCCGUCGGCGGCGAAGUUGGGCGCCGCCGGUUGUUUCUCCGGCUUUGCUGCCCUGGCGCGCCAAUUUAAUGCUGCCCAAUUUAAUUCGGCUCCCUCUUCCCGGUCUUGCGUCUUUAGGGCUACUCGGCACGAGUUGACUCGGCUGGCAUCAGUGGUGGGCAAGAGCGAGCGGGCGGCUGCAAGUGGGUGGGGUAGGGUUGAGAUGACACGCAGUAGGACUAGGGCCAGUCGGAUCUGUGUCGCCAAACUCUGCCGUCUGGUCUGGCCGUUACAUGGGUCUACCUAUCCCCCCCCCUCCCGCCGCUGCGUCCGAGGAGUUUAUAAAGUAGAGUUGCUGCCACCAGGUUGCCGCCUUUGUUCCCCGCUGCUCCUUUACUGGUUUCCUGCUUUACCUUAAGCAUUAGGUUCCGACCCGAUUGAUGACCCGACAAUUUACGGCGUCUUGUUUGUUGCUGGGUCGAAUUCGUGCUGGCGGCGUAAUUCGCUUGCGCCGUGCUGAUGAGCCCCCUGAGUGAUCUAUUGCCCUGUUAUAACAAUGCUGUGUGUGAUGUGGGUUUUGCGUUAUGCGCGUGUGCAGGUGUGCUCGAGGACCUGCGUAUCAUCCGGAAGCUGGACCAGGCGGUGCAGCUCCGAGCCGAGGUGGGGCGCCGGGGCGGUGAAGAGUGGGGGCCGACGCAGAGUCCUGUGUAGCCCUGUCCGUGUUGGCAUCCGUGCAGUCCGCCGGCUACUGCGGCCCCAGUGAAGGGCCACUGUUCGGUCCCACAAGACUUGGGACGAGGACCUUUUCCAAAUCCCCUGGGCUGCCUGACCACCACCACACCGCGGGUCGGGCCUCCGGUACUCUUGACUCGGCGGACCUGUGGAUAGGCUACUCUCUGACGCGUUUUGAUCAACUGACUUACUAAGGGUUCGUUCCUAACCCACAACCCGGAUUGUGAUUGGAUGUUCCCGACCGCUGGCAUCACACACCCGCGCAGGCCGCGUCGCAAGUUGCGGACCUGCGCUCGCAGCGCAAGACGUUGCUGCAGCACGCUGAGCGCAUCGCCAAGAGGGAUAUCUAAGGGGAGGAGCAGGAUCAUGAUCAUGAUCAGGAGGGGGAGGAGGAGCAGGAGUGGUGGGAGUUGAUUGACCGCUCGAAAAGGGCCCUGGGGGAGGAAGGGGAGGAGGAGGAGGAGGGGGGAAUUGAAGUUACCGGUAGAUGUAGCUGCGGUGCGUUGGAAGACCCUCCAGGUCAGCGGGGCCAGUAGCAGAAGCUAAUAGUUGCGGAAUGCGUGAGGCGUUAUCGUUUGGGUGGGCUAUGGCAUGGGGGGCUGGAAAAGGGGUUGGAAAGGAAACAAUCGGCUUUUGCGUGCGAGGUAGGGGAGAGGUGGGGACGAACACUGUGAUGGCGACGGGGGGGACGCCGUGAUGUCCACAUGUACUUGGCUUGGUGCGCAGGGGGAGCGCGUGCUGUGCCCGUGCUGAGCAUGGUUUGGUCCAGGGAGGGAGGGAUUCCCGGUGGAAUGGAACAUAGGUACGUGAAGGGUUUGAGGGUUUUGGAAAGAUGUGGCAUCGCCGGAUGGGAGCGCUGGAGUUUGUUUUAUAACACGCAGACGGAGUCUAGAGAACUGGUGGGAUGUGCGUAUGCGUGAGGGAGUGCAGCGUGCUUUAGUGUGCUUCAGGUUUUGCUCUAAGCUUCCUGUUGUUGCGUAGGCAUGGCCGCGCAGUUCAUUCUUUUCCCUGCGUGCAGGGCCGCUCGCGCUCCUUUCGGGGGUUUAGGGCUUUGUUCUGUCAGUCAAGGGGGUUUGCGGGUGAUGUGAUGUUUUUAGUGUUCAAGAGGAUUUCGGAGUGGGGGGUAGAGAAAGGCCGACCAGGGACCACACAUCUCAUACUGAGAAGUAAUUCGCGGAUUGGGUUGGCUGCCCUGACCUGUUGGCCUUCAGUAAUUGUAGCUUUCACGGCUGGAAGCAAAAACUUUUUGUGAGCGACUUAAUGCAGUUUGCUGCGGUAUAUCCACAAACUGAACAUCAGCAAUAUCAGUAAAAAGGUUCAGCAAACGUAAGAAGCUAGGCAGGUUACGACCCCUGUCGUUUUAACGGUCUGGUGCAGCCAAUGUGUGCAUGCAUUGUAUGUAUGUACACGUUGCGAAUAUGUACGACAUACAUAUGGCACGGUACGAUGACGGCGAUCGGUAUAAUCCGCGCUGUCCCGACUCAAACGCAACUCGUAGCUCCUGGUUGCUCCUCGCACACAGCUGCUUGAAUGUGGUGCUUGGACGUACUUUCCUCUUCGCCGUGCAUGCUCUCAUGUGCGACAGAUCCCCCCCCAAGGAACCCCCCAGGGCCCGACCGGACACCUAAACAGUUGAUUCUUAUGCGCUCCUACAUUUGUAGCCCUCACAGCAGCCACCUGCGGAGACGGCUUAUAUGGAUCCUGCUUACGUGCUCAGUUGCAUUAUACGGUGCUACGCUGUAUGUUUUCAUAUACUAGCAGACGAGCGUAGUGCUUGCGUGCAUUGGCGAUGCAAGGUACACUUUUCCCGGAGUUUCCUGAUCAGGAAACGGUCGCGUGUUUUUGUGGCACGCUUGAGCAGGAGAGCAAGGGAGGUGCCCGUCCAAGGCCUUGAGUAGGUGUGUAGCUUUCGGGGCGGCUUUUAGGCAGCAUCUUUAACUCUUGGGUUUGGGAGUCUUAUAUGUCUUUUGGAGUCGCCUUCGCUUUGCAAUUGUGGCUGUGAGGUUGUCUCAGAUGUCCAAGCUCGGCUGUCUCAGAUCGAGGCAGCUGCUGUGCUAUAUUCUUUCAGUUGCUGUCUGUUCCCGUGUGCGACACGAAUAGCGUGUUGGUUUUAGCGUGUCUUUCGGCCACGUAUAGAUAAGAGUUACAGACCGCGUACCUGACAGGGCCGUUGAGCCGAGUGGCAGUUAGCAAGCCGCGUAAGCAUGUGCCUAUAUUUCUCCGCUGUUUAAGUGCAGCGCAGACUAAAGCCGCAGACUGCUUUAUAAGGCUCUGCUGGGCCUGCUAGCCAGCUCGCUGACGCUCACGCAGACAAUCGCACCCUCGGCCGUGGGCGCCUGGCUGGGCCUGUGCUAAUGUGCUCAGCUUUUUAGGGCAUUUGCGCGUAAGGCCGCGUAACUUGACGACGCACGUACUUUGUCUAAUAAGCUGUAGCCUUGUGACGGGAGAAAUACCGUAAGAGCAGCAGCAGCAGCAGCAGCAGCAGCAGCAAUAACAACACGUAGAGCCGCGCGCCCGGCCCUGCGCUGGUGUGUUUCGGCCCCCGGUCAGGGCCCCCGGUGCUCGUCCUUUCUCGGGCGAGCCGCCCACAGUGUAACACCCCCCAUCAACAACAACAAUAACAACAGGAGGGACGUCGCGAAGUUUGAAACCCCCCAGGGGACAGGGACAGUGCCAAUCGAGGGAAGGGCCACGCUCCUCCCCACGGCCUACCUCUUAGCCAUACAACCGCCCGAAACCCCGGGGGGGGGGGCCGUCUUCAACAACGUUGGGCCUGACGUCCUGCUCUCGUCCUCCACUCCACACAUCGGUUGAAGUCAUUGCGUUAAUUAACAACCCGUCAAAACACACACACAUACAUACACACACACACCCCGGCAAGCACACCCCGGCAAGCACACAGCCGCGCCGCGGCCCUUUUCUCGGCGCCUACUUCGCCGUUGCAGCCCCUGCCAUCCAUGACCCCAACUGCCAGCCACUGCCGCAUUCGGAGUUACUCUUACUGCUAGUUAUAUGACCGCUCCGUCCUAAGCCGCCAAACCAUAAGCUGUGUGAGUUAAGACUCCCAACCAAAAUCCCCAAAGCCACAACCAACUCACCACCUCCUCGUUUUCGCUCGUGGCGGAUUCCUUUUCCCCCCCAUCCUCAUCCCCAUCCCCACCCCCCCAAAAAAUCAAAACUUCACCACGGAAAGCAACUCGAAGCGGAAAACAGGUUGUGAAACCUCUGCAGCUAUAGAAAGGAAAAAAAGGUCCCUGAAGCCCUAGUUGUUUUUCAGCAAACCGCACCGCAGGAAUGCAACACUCCGGGGGGUUUGGUAGAGAGGAAAGGAACACCGAAUGCAGGUGCCGCCAAGGUGUACGGCAUUCGGUAACUCUGCAACGGUCCUGCCGUACAACGGCUUGUUAAUAACUACUUCAACUACACAUACACACUCUUUCGCGCCACAAUGGGACGGGACGGGAUGACUCAAAAGUAAAGUCAGGGCCGCGUCCUCUCUCUCCCUCUCCCUCUAUCUCAAGCGAGGGUAGCCGGCGGCCGCAUCACAACCCCACCUCCAACCUACCCCAAUCAAUCAAAUCAGGGUGGCUGUUACAGACCAGUUAUAAGUCUUCCCCGCCCCCCGCCUCCGUGCGCUGUCCCCAGAGCUGAGUCUCGAACCGAGCCCCCCGGGCCCCAAGGCGCCCCCCCCGGGGGCCCUUGUUACAUGAGCUGGCCAACACAGUUGGGGGCGCCGCAGCCGCACUUCAUGUCGUACUGCGGAACAGCGCGGCUGGCCUGCGCGGUGUUCAGAUCCAGAUCGCAUCAAAGGGGGGAGGGGAAUGACUUAAAGGGGGGGGUGACUCUUCAAAAGGGGGGGAACUGCACCACCAAGUGGGAAGGAUAGCUGGACGCAUGGACGCCCGGGGACAGGGGAGAAUCAGUUGAAGAAUUCUGCAUGCCGUACAAAGGCCGUGCAGCCAUUCCGGCAUUCACUCCCAUCGGUGCGCUGCCUGAGUUGCCUUCACCGCCUCCCCCCCCUUGCCCCCGGGGGAGGGGGGAUCACGAGGGGACGGGGGGGGACCGCCCUCCCAGCCGCAGGUAGAACAGAAAAAAACCCGACCACGUUCGGUGGAUCCUCCGAAACCACAGGCUGCUGUGGCUGUGUUGCUCCGGAGCCCUUCUCCACAUCCGUCAUUCCGUGUUUUCGUUGCAGCCACUGCACCCCCCAGCUGCUAACCCGGGGGUUCUAACCCACACGACCCCCUCCUGUCGUACCUGGCUGUGGUAACCGUAGUUGUACGUGAGCUCUGGGGGGGGGGAAGAGGGGGAAGAGGGGGGAGAAGAGGGGGCAAGGGGGGGAGAGGUCGCAGCAGCAAAAGGGAUGGGACAUGUAACGAAUGAACAGCUCCCGGCUGGAGCCCCCAAGACGUGAUCCCCCUCUCGGGGGUGGGAACCCUCUACAAGGUUCCGGCCAUCUGCCCGCCCGUUCCGUACAUCCGACCCUCCGUACAUUCCGUCCAAACACGUCCAUCCCUGACCCUCCAGUCCGCCGUGACAUGGUUGACCACGGCGGCACGGUGGACGAAAAAUCGUCAUCUGCCUUUGCCGUACUUCCUGUUUUUCCUCCUAGUUAACGCACAUCAAGCCCCAUAUCGACACCCGUGACCAGGUGACGUCGCCCACCCACUCGCCCACCCACCCACCCACCCACCCACCCGUCAUUGGGGGAAUGUCCGUACAGGCGUACAGGCCUGUGGGUGCCGGACGUUGUGUCGCGUCAUCGUGCCGUGCGGGUUUCACCCCGGGGGUGCGGGGAGGGGGAAGGGGGAAAGGGAGGGAGUUCGAGCACGGUUUGAAGGUCACGUCCGUGUAAGGGCCCCUCUCACCGCCAUCACCACCAUCACCGCUCCAAACCACCACCUCUCAAAAUUGCUUACACCCGGCCCCCAGCUGUACAAACCCCCCACCGCAUACAUACAUACAUGACAUGGAAAUGACCGACACUCAUAUAUCAGUGAAUGGUAGCCACAGUAAUAGGACCCAACGGGGGUCCGGCGCUUUGCUGGUCUUAACAGGUUAUGAACCCCGAAUGGCGCAUUGCGCUGCCGAGAGAUCGCCGGAUCGAUACCCACUGGCUGUUGCCCAGAGAAUGGGAGACCGGGAUGAGGCACGGGAAGGCCCGUAGCGAGAGAGUGUCGCUCACGGGGGGGUGUUGGAAAUGACCGACACUCAUAUACCAGUGAAUGGUAGCCACAGUAAUAGGACCCAACGGGGGUCCGGCGCUUUGCUGGUCUUAACAGGUUUAGGCAGGCGGCUGGCAGAAGUUAAGGCCUGACUUCUGCUCCCAGUCGAUCCAGUCGACCCGGGUUCAAAUCCGCCUGCCAGCUCCUCGGGUGAUUGAGGAGUGAUGAAAUGGGAGGUGGCCCCCCAUCAUAUGGACGGUGUAGGACGUGAUAAUAUCAACUUGCGAGCUGACCAGGAACUAAGUUGAUGCGCCGUUGAUCCGCUAGAUUUGGUUUGAUGCUGGUGGUGAGUUGCCGAACCCAACGAAUACAUUCUGAAGUCGGAUGGGGUGACGGAUUAGGGUGCCCCUCUAGCAGGGGAGAGCAGGGACUGCCCCGGGAAAGGGGGCCGCUGGCGAAGUUAACCACCCUGUAACAACAUACAUACAUG
rnacentral:lncRNA from 1 species